rnacentral:lncRNA from 1 species
CCCGAAACUAAAAAUUCUACUCGGACUCGGGUCCGAAACUGACUCGAACUCUUUUUUUUUUUCGUUUUUUUUUUCUUUCUUUCCUUUUUUUUCUUUCCUUUCCAAACAACUUUAUCUCUAAACAAAAUUCGAUCUAUGAUGAAACACUUUCCAAAAGCACUCCUUAUUGGACUCGGACUCGGAUUCGCGGCUGAAAACUAUAACUUGCCGACUCGAUGUAGGACUCGACGAGGGACUCGGUGUAGGACUCGAAGAGGGACUCGGUGUAGGACUCGAUGAGGGACUCGGUGUAGGACUCCAAGAGGGACUCGGUGUAGGACUCAAAGAGGGACUCGGUGUAGGACUCCAAGAGGGACUCGGUGUAGGACUCGAAGAGGGACUCGGUGUAGGACUCGAUGAGGGACUCGAUGUAGGACUCAAAGAGGGACUCGGUGGAAGAUAUGGUGGCGGCGGAAGAUUAUGGCGGUGGUGUGGCAGGAAGUUUGGCGGCGGAAGAUUGAUGAAGGAAACCUGCGUCACACGAAGAACAAGAAAACCAAAAGCAAGUUCGAUCUAGUAGAAAAAAUCUGAAAAACGAUCCAAUCUAAUCCAGCAACUCGACACGAUUAAUGCAGCAAAGAUUCAACAAUGCAAAUACUAAUGUGAAAAUUGCAAGGCUCAGAUUGGUUCUAGGACAAGGUAACUAAUUCUAAUUUUUGUUUGGCUUUUUCUGGACGAUAGGUAAAAACAGAUCUAAACUACGGAUAAACUGGAAAAAUCUCACCGAGCAACCUUAAGCUCUGAUACCACGUGAUACGGGUGCGGGUGGCCCGAUCUUUCGAUGAGAUUGGUAACUCUCGAUUUGGGUAGGAGGUGACGUUGACGAUCCGACUACGGCCUAGGAGGCAGCGCCUUAGCAAUCGAUACACCAACUCCAAAGGGUUAUUGAUCACGCGGGGGCACGAUCAACCUGACCACGAAGGUCUUUGUUCCUGCAAGCAAUCGAAGAACAAGCAAGAACAAGAUAAAUAGCGGAUGCAAUCUAAAAUUGCGAAUAUACUAUAUCAAACCAAUGUCUCAACGAGACGAUAAGUUGGGGUUCCGAAAGCGGUAAAACAGGUGGUCUAACCGACACACGCGAUUACACGAAGUAGUAGCGAUGGCUAACUUUUAACUAAACAAAACCCCAGGCUCCUUAGGGGGGCUCAUGGGGUAUAUAAAGGAGGAAGAGAGAUAUUUUCGUCCACCUUGAAUAACGAGUCCGAAAUCCAACUCUAUCUCUAACUUUCCUAACAAACUACAACUCUUUAGGAAACAGAAAAACAGAUCCGUCAGCUUGUUUUGUCCGUCACGGUCAGCACGAGUCGAAUCUCUUGAUGGGGCCAGAUCCGUUGGAAAGCUCUUGUAAUUACCUUUCCAACAAGUACUUGUUUGCUUGAUUUGGACUCCGGAUGCGGCCUGGGUGAUUAAAACAAAUUCGGGUCUCCUGGCAGCUCGGACCCGAAUCGGAUUCAACUUUAAUUCGUGAUAUCUUUCUCUAGCAAGCUCCGAAUCAUGUGCCGUUUGAUUUGUUGCAAAGUACACUUUAAAUCCUUCCCUCUCAGCUGUAUGAAUGCUUGAUUCUUGUUGGCCCUCCCGUUCGCCUCCAUCGUAUCUCAUCUUCACCUUGGAUUUGAAAAGCUCGACAAGAUGCCUACGUAAUAAAACGAGACAAGAUAGUAGUAGCUCCGCCUCUUCAUAAAUAUGACAAUGAAAACAAUUACUACUUGAAUUCACCUGAUUAUAAAUCUUGUCAAAUAUUAUAGAAUUGAGGGCACCAAAGGUCGUAUCCAUGGUUAGCAUGUCCAUAUCAAACCUUAGGGAGAAAAGACUCAUCCUUGAGCCAAGAUAACUCAAAAUGAAAAUAUCUAUGUUUCCUUCUAGGAACACUAUCAUUGGUGUUAAGAAGUAGAGGAUUAUGAUCAGACUUAUUUCUAACCAAUUUAUGCACUGUAACUAAAUGGAACAAAUCCUCCCGUGUGUCAUCCAUCAGCACUCUAUCCAACUUUUCCAGAGUGGGAAUAGUUUGGUUAUUAGACCAAGUAUAAGCACCCCCAUUUAGAUGAAUCUCUCUUAGACCCAAAGAAUGUAUGAUAGAAUUAAACAAGUCAGAAGAAUGAGUAUGAUGAAACAACUUAUCCCCCCCCCCCCAUGUCUGAGAAUAUUGAAAUCCCCUCCCACCACAUAGGGGUGCGAGAUGGAGUUACAAAAAGAAGCUAACUCAGUAAGGAAAACCCCCUUAAAUUCCUCCUGGGCAGUCCUAUAAACAGUCAACAAACUCCAAGAUCUUUUCUUCUUCUUAUCGCAGAGAUCCAAUUGCAGAAUGAACCUCCCCAACUUAUGAGCUGUAAGUUGAAAGCAGUCAUUCUUAACCCCACAAAGAAUACCCCUAGAUCUACCAUUAGAAGAAAUCCAUUUCCAAAAAAAAUCAUUAUUAGGAUCCAACUUUCUAAAGAAGCAAGGUUUAUAAUCUUUCAAAUGAGUUUCUUGUAAACACACAAAAUCCAGGAAAUUAGCGUGGAUCAAAUCAGAGAGGCAGGCAACCAUGCCUUUUUUGCCCACCCCUCUGCAAUUCCAGAAGAUGCCAAUCAUCUAAAUCUGCUUGGCAUCUGUCUCUUUCUCUCAGCUUUGCUAGGAGGUACAGGGCAACUAGCUGAGGAAGAGACAGUUUUAUUUUGACUUCUAGUAAUAGGUCUAACACUGAUAGGAGAAAUUUUAACUCUCACUUUCCUCUGCCUCUUAGGUUGCACAGGAACAACAUUUUCAUCAUCUUCCUCCCCAUCAGAUAACCAGUCAAGUCUUAAUGGAGUUGAUUUCCCAUUAUUGCUAACAACCAACAGCUCAUCUUUCUUAGUUUUGCUAGAGAGUUUAUCAUAGAGAUUAGUUCUGGAUAAUUAUUCUCUAAUCAAGUUGAUAACAGUAAAAUCAUUAUUAGCUAUACAUACACCUAGAUUAGAAGCUCUAAGAACAAUCUCAGUAUUAGAUAGAUCAGCAAAAGGAAGAGAGGGAGAAGCACAGGAAUUAGUACCUUCCAAAUUUCUCUUCUUAGGUAGUUCAGUAGCUUUGGUCAUCACAUCCUCCAAACCCCCUCUGGCUACAUCUUAACUCUCGUGCAGAAAUAUCAUGGGAAACAGGAACUUUUUGUUCCCCCACAUGUACCUCCAAGAUAUCACCAGAAGGAGAAUGCACCACAUAGUCCUUAAUCUCAGAAAGAGCCAUUGCCUAAGAUUCAUUUAGUUCUACAAUAGUAGGAGUAAUAUUAACCAUGAUAGCAGGAGGAACACUCUGAGAAAAAGAAAACAGAGGAGCACCAACAAAAGUAGACAGUUUGGAAGCAACACACAUUCUGGCCAAAGCAGGAGUGGAAGGAGCAAAGGAAGGAGAAGAACAAGGGACUAGCCAAUUACCCAUCUCAUGCUUCCUAGCCUGCUUGUCAAUAUAAAGUUCAGAGUCCUCCUCAGUUCCAUCCACAGAAUCCUCAGACAAAUCAGAAUUCCCAUCAUGAGAGACCUCUUCUCCUUCAGGAAUCUGUGCAAGAACUGGAGGCAUAGUUUUAUCCAUAGUAUCAACCAUAGGAGAAAUAUCAUCCCCCUCAAUAGGAUCUGGUAAUGAAGUAUGGGAUACAAAAGCACCCCCCUUGCCCCCACUGAACUGAGAAGGAGCAGAUGGGGCAGGAUUAUCAUUGUUAGGUUGCAUAUCAGUUCUAGGACGUUUAGGGAGUGGCUGGGCAGAAGGAGCAUGCCCACCACUAACUGUGACAUCCUGAAUAGGUUUCAAAGGACCACCACUCACAACAGUAUCCACUUCAUAGAAAAAAUCAUAAAAAUGCCUUCCUAGGCAGCCUUCAGCAAUAGUAGGGAGUUUAGUGAUAUCCCUGCAAGCCAAAAGAACCCUAACAUGCUCCAGGCGAUGCAAAGAGGAAGUAUCAAUCUCCAAAGGCACUCCCACCAGAGAAGCAGCAAAAGCAGCAUUACACGCAGAUCGCUUAGUUGGAGGAAUAUUAGCAAUUUUAACCCAAGCAACAUGCAAUUCAGCCUUAGCCCCUGCGGCAUUAGUCCAAGGAGAUAGCCUCAAAGUAGCAGCACAACCUUUCAUCACAAAUUGAUCCUGAUAACAAGCUUUUUCUACUUCACGAGCCGAAGGAAAUCUCAUAACAUAUUUAUCUGGACCAAUUAAGCGAGCAGAGCACCUCCAUCUCGAAGCAAAAAAAUUAGUGAACUCAGUUUCAAUCUCACGACAAGAAGCAACACCCUUAAUCACCGAGAUCACAACACUGCUAGAUCUAUCCUUCAUCUGUUUUGCUGAAGUCGAAUCAUGAAUAUAGAAAAAACCCUGGCCCUUAGAUUGAAAGGCACACAUAGGUGCAAUGCACUCCCAAGGAAGCAAAACAUGACAAUCAACACGCAAAUGCCCAGAUUUACCACAUCUAUCACACAGCAGAGUAGGACAACGAGCAGAAACAUGAGCAAAAGAGCGACAGUGUAAGCAAGGAGCGAUGUUACCGGGGGCCUGGUUACGAUCUGCCUCCGCAUCAGGUUGGCCUGCAAAGUCCGGCCAGCCUGAGAUCCUUGUGUCGCUUCCGCCCAUCGAUCUCGUGUACCACCACCCGGCCGUGCCCCAUGAGUCGCCGCCGCCUCCCAGCGACCAUCUGGUGCCGAACCACCAGUAUUCGAUGAAGAUUGGCCUUGCUCAGGCGAGUUCCUCUGCCAGACGUUGGGACGACCCCGACCCCGAUCCAUCCGACUUGCCCCUCGACCUUGACGGCCAGAUGCAAACCCGUCAAGCCGAUGUCCGCGGUUGUAGCGAGCAUCUUGGUCCCCCAUCUUCGAGGUGGAAGCAACCUGCGCGAAAGUACGCGGGUCGCCGGCGACCUUCCUCGGCCACCAGCCAAAAGACUCACGCAAACCAGCAGGAGGAGAGGUAGGAGGAGAAACCCUAGAUCGCGACUAGAAGUGUGAAAGGCCGGUCUCAAGAUCGAACUCACCGGACGAAGACACCGAGAUGUUAUCCUCCGCCAGUGGGACCCUAGACGCACCACCACCAGGAGGAACGGUGGAUGAAGAGCCCACGCGUCGAUCGAUACCAGGCGUCGCCCCCACCAACCCUGGUUCAUCAGUACGUGGUGGAAUCGCACCCAGCACCAGUAUCUCAGGCCCGCGAUGAGUAAUCAAUGACGUAAGCCCUACAGGUGUCAAUGGUGGUGCACGGAAACCAUGUACCACGUGGCAGGGAAAAGUCAAAGUACCGCUCCUGUAUGCGAACGAUCCCGGUGGAAUCGGAAGAAGAUCGAUCGCCCUCUGACGAUCAUCCUAAGGGAGAAGACGACGCUUGUUCGCCCAGAACUCGAGCCAUCCCACAUGAAUCGUCGGCCAGGACGACGCAAUCGAUGUGGAGUAGGAGAUCUCCCAGCGGGAAAUCACGCUCGGAGCGGAGAAGAAGGGGUCCUCGUCGGCGGCAGUCAUCGGAGCCUGGUGCUCUGUGGUCUCUCUGCCCUGCUCGUCCUGUGGGCAGCCUCCCUGGCCCCGUUACUGCUCAGCUAGCUAGGACUAGGAGCAACUAUAAAACCUGAGAUUACUCAGAUAUUUGUUCUCUGCUCUAACUGUCUCUGUUUGGAUCCUUGCAGAUUCUUCCUUUAAUCUGGCCGUGUGGUCUUCUGUACGGCGCUAAUGUUUGGAUCCCAUCUCCCAGCUUAAGCAGUGGUUCAAUUCAAUGGCCGUACUCAUCGACCUCCGUCUCUGCUUUAUUCAAUUUGUAGGAGUUCCUUGUGUAUUCAGAGAUGAAACAUGUUUGGAGAUGAAGAUUUUAGUUCUUUGUGUAUUUGGAGAUGACGCCUCGCCAUCCCGCGGGCCGGCCGUGCAGGGUCUCAUCGCCGUCCGUCCAGGGGCUAGUCACGGCUGUCCAGAAGCUACCACCCCCCGGCCCUUCUUUCCCCCUUCUGCAGCCGAGGCCGCUGGACUAGAUGUUUCUUGCGUGUGUUCAGAAUUAGCAGCAGUGCUAUGUGCAUGUUCAGUUAUUCAAUGUUCAGAAUUGUGUGUGUUCAGAUGUUGCAGGACACACUUAAUGGUAGCUACGUUGGUCAUAUUUGAUUGCUGAUUUGGUGAAUAGCAGAGUGAUCCCUUUUGUUUAUGGAAUAUGAAGUUUCUGGUAAUUUCAUGCCUAUAUGUGUAUGCGUUGUGUAUGGUAUAAGAGAUUGUAUGCAUCAAAUAUAUACAUUAAGUAAUUGUUGGAAUCAUUACAAUGCAUGCUUAUUAAAGAUUAAGCACUUUAUUAUGUUUAAAAUACUUUAAACAGUCUGAAAUACUUGUAUGAACAAACCAAAAACGUCACAGAUCAUUCCAAGGGCAGUACAGACUUUUCCUUUAGACAUCAGACGACGAGCUGCAUUUUGAGAAGCUGAAAAGAAGGAAACAAAAUAGCUUCUCAGGGCUUCCUGUGGCAGCAGCUUCUCUCAGAAAUUCAGCUGAAGCUGGUUUCUGGAGAAGCUGCAGCCGAAAAGAAGGGGGCCUUUCUGUUCUCGUUUCUUCUUUCUGGGCAGGCUGAACCGGUAAUGAGGGGCCGAAUUCCCCCAAUACAGGGGUGCGUUCGGUUUUGUGGACAUGGGUGGAUAGGAUAGGGAUAUCCGGUUUUUAGGAUGACUUGUAUUUGGUUAGGUGGACAGGGUGGAUAGGGAUAUCCAACAAAAGGGAAUAUACCUCAAAUAUGCUGGCUCAGCCCAUCCGGGAAAUUUGGCCGGAUAUGACCAAUGGCCCGGUGCGGCCCGACAUGCAUUAAUCGGGCCUGGCCUAAGCAUGGCCUGGUGAAUGUAACAUCCCAAAAUUUCAAACUUUUACAUGUGCAUUGCAUCCAUGAGCAUCAUGCCACGAUUGCAUAUUUGAAUUCAAAUUUGAAUCUCAAAAGGCUUUGAAAGACUCUGUUUAUACCCAUUUAAGCUUUGGAUUUUCAAACCAAUAGGGUUUAUGUAUAAAAGGGGUUUAAUGCAUAUAUAAGCUAUCCCAUAAUUUUUGGAUAAUUAUUUGGAGUUGAAAAGGUAUUUUAUUUAAAUAGACAUAUAGCCCUAAAGGUAUUGAUAGGGCAAAUAUAUUUUUAUAUAGUUUAUUUGAGGGGAAACUACUCCCAAAAGUUGUAUCAUGAUAGAACAUGAUUUUACAAAUUUUCUGGAAUUUACUUGGAUCAAUUUGGAGUUCAAAAUCAAAAGAUACAAAAGACAAACAAAAAAAAAAAAAGGGAAAAAAAAGAAGAAAAAAAAAGGAAAGGAAACCGGACCGACCCAACUGGGCCGGCCCAGUCCCGCGCGCGCGCCCGCACCCGAGGCGGGCCCGCUGCCGCCCGCCCGCUCACCCACAAGCCGCAGCCCAGCCCCCCGCGCCGCGCGGAGUCACCGACAGGUGGGCCCCACCUGUCGGGUCGUCUCCUCCCUGGGCAAGCGCCCGCGAAUCCGCCGCUCGUCCCGCCCGUGUCCGCCUCCGCCAUCACCGGAUUCCCGUCUAUUCCGCGAUCCCCGCAGCCGCCCGAGCACGCCCCUAUAAAGCCUGGCUUUCCCUCUCUCUUUUCCCCCUCUUUCCCCUCUCUAUUGCGCCCCCAGGCUCGAGAAAUUUCUCGCCAGAGAAGCCCACGGCCGCCGCCGUUUUUGCGCCGCCGCCACCGCUCCGGUGAGGCUUACGCGCCGCUGAACCCCGCAUCUUCCUCCUCUCCUCCGCGCGCACCUAGUGACGCGACCCAUUUUGAUUUUGGUUGCCCAAAGCCACCGCGCCGUCGCCCGUGCUCGCCGCCGCCGCCGCCCGCCGCCCGACCCCGUCCUUGGCGCCGCCCCGAGCUGCCUUGACCGCGCCGUCCGCCCUGACCCGAGCCGCUGCCCCCGUGGGACGCGCCUCGCCGAGCCACCGCCUCCCCUGCUUCCCGAGCCGCCCGAGGAUCAGCGCCUCCGCCGCUCAACCGCCGUCGCCGCGUCCUCCUCCAACUCCGGCAGCCCGCGCCGCCGGUAAGCCCCUCCCCUGCCCUCCACACUUGGAUCUCGAUCUAACGGUCCAAAAAGAAACCCUAGCUUGAACCGGUACGGGCCAACCACAUCUAGACACGUGGCAUUGCUUUAUUAAAAUAAAAAAAUCUAAAUUUAAUUCCCGGAUGAAUUAAAAGGGCACUUUUGCAGAAAAGCCCCUGUAACUUCAAAUGAUCAUAACUUUAAAUCUGUUUGGCCAAAUUUAAUGAUCCACACCUUUUUGGAAUCCUUAGGAAGUGCAGAAUCUUUUGGCACUGUCCAAAUUCAAAUUUGAAUUUUUGAUCACAUUCAGAUUACAGAUUAGGGUUUUAUGCCAUUUAAAUCAUAACUAAUUAUCUAGAAGUCCUUUUUGAAUGAAACCAGUGCCCAAAAUUUUGUUUUAUUGUCCUCUGUCCAAUGGGACAGAGAAAUAAAUAUUUUGAAUUAAUUUUUUUUGCAGAUGCAAAUAAAACCUCAUUUUAGGGUUUAAACCCUAGCCAUUGCAAUUUGUUUAAAACCCUAAUUACAUGUGCUUAAUUAUCAAUGCCUUGGACCAGUAGAUCACCCAAAUAAAAUAAACCAAACACAUGUCACAUGUUUUGCAUUGCAUCAUGACAUACAUAUUCUUUUGCUUGUAUGGUGUGUUUAUGUAUGUGUAUGUUUGCUUGAUUGUAUAGUUUUCUCGGAGAGCGAACUGUGUGAUUGCGAAGAGUGUUUGAAUACCAACUACUAUCAAGGCAAGUUCAGUUUGAUCAUAUCCUGUUACUGUUUGUUUUUAAAAUACUUAUGCAUUAGAGUUGUUUGUAGAAAUGCAUUGAUAGGACUAUUACUCGUACUUAUGCUAGCUAUGAAUGACCUACUAGCUAUAGGGUUACCUUUGCCAUGAAUCCUACACCAAUAGCCAUCGUGAUUAGAAUUGCUUAGCCCUGCUAUGUUAGUAUACGUGGGAACGAAUCUCAAUCAAAUGUAAAAUGAUGAUGUGGAGUGAUUUCGGAAACUUGGCAAAAACAACCCUAAUGAACCAUCCUGGGUGGACUGCUUUGAGAUUUUGAGAUGUUAUGCGACGUCAGGUCCAUUUCUAUGGGUCCCUCUGAGUCGAGUCUCCAUGGAUUUGGAGAUGGAUCGUCCAUGCACGUCUCUUCCGUGGAUUCGGGGAGCGCUUGCGUCGCAAAUGUGGAAUGCCACCUGGGGUAUCAGAGACUGGACUAGUUUCCUGUUUAGUAGCUUCUAGUACAACCACAUGGUAAUAUGGGCUCUGCCCGGAUGGAGUAAGAAAUGUUUACCCAGAUCCGAGGGAUUGUACUGAGGUAGUUGUGUAGGUGGGAGCGCGGGUCCCUUAGGUGAUUUGAGUGAACAUGUUUUGAAAAUUCUUGAAGUCGAUGCCAUUCCUACUCCACCCGGAGGAUAGCAAAGGAUUAACACGUCGAUUUCUUGUGGGGAAUGUGUACAACCUCUCGAGAGUGUCAAACUAAGUACCUAACCGUGUCCCCGGUUACGGACAAUUAUGAGCAACUAGAUAUUGGGGCUGUAAGGAAAGUCUCACUUAUUCCAACUUCUUAAAUAAAAUGAAUGGUUUGAAGAGGGUAGGGGCACUUGAUGUUUUUACUCAAUGUGUUCUAGGUUAAUAGGAGCAUGGGUGUUUCUACCCCGUGUCCAAUAGAAUUCAAAACUAUUUGUUUAAAAAUGAUAGGAUUGAACAAUGAUGCUUUUAUGCAAAUAGCCAAAUGCACCUUGCCAAAUACUGCAUGUACUUGAUAGAUCUGUUAUAACCCUUUGGUGAACUUGCCAAUACAUUCAAUGUAUUGACCCCCUAGUGGCUGCAACGUUUAAAUGUUGCAGGUGAACCAGGUGAAGAGUGAGGUAUGAACUGUUAGGGUUGCGAGUUUACAUUCCAACAUGUUUCGACUGUGAAGUUGUUAUGGGACUUCUGUAUCUUCUGCCUUCCACUGCAAGAUUUUAUUUUCUUUUGAGAUAACCCAUGACGUUAUGCAAUAUGUAAGUUACUACUAAAUUCUGGAUCAAUGCGAUGUAAUAUACGUUUGACCUUUGUAUCUUGAUAUUACAUCUUGAAACUGUGUGUGCUAGCGAGUCGAUCCAGGGACUAGGACUAUAAGCACAGAGAUCGAACCCUUUGUAAGGGGGAGGAUCGCUUCAGUGAAGCCCGAGAUUAAAGGUGCCGGGCUGGGCCGGCCCCAAAUGGCCACCUCUCGGCCUAGGCGAGGCACGAGGCACGCAUCUGGCCGGCCCGGCACGGCAAGGGCCUCGGAAAAUGCAUGUGGGCACAGUCCAGCCCAGCGUCUUUUUUUGUGUGUGCUAGCGAGAUAAUGGGUCAAAAGGGCUCUGGCAUGUGACUUAGUGCAAGCAAUAACAUUACCUGGCCUGAUGGUUAGGAGGUGGUUCUUGAUGAAGACGUCUUGGGUUCGACCCUCCUUCCCACGGAUUUUUAUUCUCCUGCGAGAAUAUGAGGUCUAUUCCGAUUUUAAAAAAUAGCGAGAUUGGUAUGGUCGGCUAGAGGGGGGGGGGUGAAUAGACAACUAAAUUUUUUUACUAUUUCUUUUUCUUUUUUUAAAAGAUACAAACACUUAAUCCUAGGGUUUACUAGCUUCUCUAAAGGUAAUGCAACCCUAGUAUGAAGUGCAAUAGCCGAAGCAACAAGAUAGCAAGAAUGUAAAGGGUAAGAAUUGAUACCACACGCGGAGACGAAGAUUUCACCGGAGUUCCACCUAUUGGGGUCGGAGUACGUCUCUGUUUGGAGGAGUGCUCUACCACAAAAGGUAGAGGCCACAAAGGCUCACUCUAUUCUCCAACCCACCACACCACAAAGGUGGGAUGAGCUCUCACAACACCAUAAAGGUAAGGUGAGUUCCAUUAGUGGCUUCCUUGGGGGCGAUGUCCAAUCCCUUACAGACUUGACCAAGUUUAGCUCCACAACUCAAUUACAGGCUUCCAAUCCAAUCCUCGAGUCCUCACACCAAGGGAGAGCUCAAGGUAACCACUUCCGUAUAGGGCUCCCAAAUGCCCAAGAGAAACGAAAUCCACAAACGAAACAAGGGGAAUCAAGUUUUGGCUUCGUGAAACCGUAGAUCAAGAUCUUCUCCUCCAAUCCUCAAAGAAUCAAUAGUUGGCAGUGGCUAGGAAGGGAGAUCUUGGAGAUUUAAGCUUUUUGUGUUCUUGGGGUGAGAGGUGGUGUUCUUGGCUGCUUGCUUUGUCAGCUGGCUCGUUGGGGACGAAGGGGUAUAUAAAUGGGGUCCGCAAAGAUCGAGCCGUUAGGCACAGAUCGAGAUAGGCCAGAACUUCCGACAAACAGACGAAACUUCCAGCUAAUCGGAAGUUCCGAAGGAUCAUCGGAGGUUCCGCAUAUUCCCUCCGGGGCUAACCGAGAGCACCCGGAGGUUCGGGCAGAAGUUCUGGAACUUCCGCCGCCAGGUACCUGGAAUGCUAGAACUGGGAAUUUGAACUUUGUUUCUCCUCUCACCUUUUUGGGUAGGCUUUUUGGUGGGUGCAAAUUUGUGUAGAUGUGUACGUGAAAUGGAUUCACCCGUUACCUUCCCUUGUGGAUUCCCUCUUAAUAGUACGGAUGUCCUACGACUCAAAUCAACCGAAAAAGUCGCUAAACACCACUACGCUUCUUUUCUUUUCGAGGGUCCACUAAUCAUCUUGUGCCAAGUUCUUUAUAAAAUCUGAAAUGCUUAGCACACGAUUAGAUAACAAAACACGUUGUCAUCACCACCAAAACCACUUAGGAGAGAUAUGCCCUUUCAAUCUCCCCCUUUUUGGUGAUUGAUGACAACACAAAGAUUUGCAUAAAGAAUAAUCAAUUAAGCUAGAUGCAAGGAAUAUAAAAUAUAGACGGGCUCCCCUAGGUCUAUGCACCAAAUAAAUUUGCUUGAAAUGCAAAGUGCAUAUACACUAGGAUCAACACUCCUCCUAGAUUUUAUAAACCAAUAACUCAAUUGCAAAGGAUUAAAGAUACAACAAUAAGCUCUCUAAAGAAUAUGUAGAAUCGUUCAUUCAAAGAUUAGAUCAAUACCUCAUAAAGGCAUACCACAAGUGAAUGAACCUACAAGGAUUUAUCCACAACACAACAAAGCAAUGCUUCCAUGACGCAUAUAAGAUUAGAUAAAUCCCUACAAAAUAUUUACCUUUUGCAAUGAGAUCUUGUGAUGGAGCACUUCUAUAAGGGCAAAAAUGAACACAUCUCCACACAAGAUUAGUAAGACAAGAUAUAUAAGAGAUAAGCAUUAAAACCAUAGCUAGAACAAAUAAUCCAUCACACAUAGCUAGCUAUUACAUCACAAAUAGUUAUCAAGUCUUACACAAACCACAAAUUUAAAGUAGCUCACACAUAGUUCAACAAACUAGAUAACUAGCACAAGCAUAUUAAAACUUCAUGAAUAAACACGAGCUUGUGACUAAACCAUGCAAAUCCCCAAGGCCUAACUAAACACUCUCCCUCACAACUACACUCUCCCCCUUUGGCAUCAAGACAAAAAGGGAAGAAUCGUCCCAAGAGAGAAACAAGCAAAUCACUCAGAGGCCUCGUCUUCAUCAACUUCCUCAUCCUCAUUACAGGAGGCAUCCUCAUCAUUACCCUCAGCAACGGGCACUUCAUCAUCAUCAUCUUCAGCUUCUUCAUUGCCAUGCACCGGAGAAGGGAUAUGACCAUCAUUCCUUUCCUAAUCUCCAUGGGUGCUCCUCCAACCCUCAAAGUUCUCAACAUCAGACAUAGGAGAGCUAGGCAAGUUCAUGGAUUGGAAGAGACACUCUUGACGACAAAGUAUGCGAUGAUUGUCCUUGUCAAUCUUGUAUAUCCUCCUCUCAUUAGAUUGUUGCAUGCAAAAUAUCUUCCUUAGCAUACCUUUCCAACCACCUUGUUUGCGAGAACCACGAGUGCUAGAGGAGGGUCCAAAAUCCAAAUCUGCAGGUUCAUCCUCAUCCUCCUCCACCUCAACAUGGGCUUGAAAGUUAUUAGGAGGCGGUGCAAGGUGUCUCUUCUUCUUCAGUUUCUUGGAGGCAUGCUCCACGAACUCCAAAUCAUCCAUAAGAGGUGCCUUGGCAAUAACUAACUUCAUGAUGUACGGGGCAAAGGGAGGCACUCUCCUGGAGAGAAUCGCCGCAUGAAGCUCAUGCCACAAGUAGUCCAUCACAUCCAAAGGUGUAUCUCCAUUCUUCCUCCUAUGGGUCUCCAACAUGAGGUUAAAACCAAAUCCAUGAAUCUCAUCGGUGUUUGUCACGGAAACGGAUUACUGUACAUUGGAUUAUCCUAAGCUUAAUUGUACAGUUGUCCACUUAAGGGCAAUUGCACAACCAACCCUAAGUUAAUACAAUAUAAGUAUUCCAGGACCAGGAUAUUGUCGUACCAGCGGCCCACGGGGUCCCACUGAUACGGGAUGCGUGGGUCGCCAGUGACAAAGCCCCGUCAGGUUGGCCUCCCGGGAAGCGAUAGGUCCAGGAAGUCUGCCUCAAGGAGACGGUCCCUGUUGGCAAAGCCAAGGGCCAGAAUAGAAGAAGCGCCCGGGAACCCUGGUCCCGGGAAGUGGAAGAAACGCCUCCCUGGCAACUGGUCGGGUGCACUAGCCGGGAAGGGGCACCCCAGCAGCCCACGCUCAGGCAUGCAGGCGGGGCCCGCAGAACAGUGAAGACAGGAGAAGACGGCGGACGCAGUGCAUUUAAUGCACCGACAAGAGUCUUAUCAACAAACCAUCUUUUUCUACCGUGUACAGUGGACCGGGCGCUUCAGCGGGAGUGUAUUUCAUGUGGUUGUGACACGCGUCUAGGAGACGUGUCACGCUGCAUGCAUUGGCACCUGUGGUAUCCCCUUGUCUAUAAAAAGAGGACCAAUGCCACCGGUCAAAAGGUUCCGAUCAGUCUUAGUUCUAGCCCUAGUUAGAGUCAUCGCCAAGUAGCUCACCAGAAACUCCCGGGACACCUUGUAAGCCACAUACAUAAUCUUGAAUAUAACAAGAAGCAGGACGUGUCCACACUUCAUGUCUAUUGUCACACCGGUGAUCACCGGAGCGAUCGCCUCGCUCUCCACCGAUCCAAAAAUGGGGUGCUCGGCAUCCCCGGUGCCGGAGACCCGUGCUCUGACAUCUGGCGCGCCAGGUAGGGGGGGUGUGCAGAGAGCUUCGUGUGACCGCCGACGUCAUCGUCUUCAACACCGGCUUCUUCAUCUACGACAUCCUCAACGACUAGCUCGCCAUGCCACCCAAGAAGGCAGACGAGCCCCGGGUUGACUUGCGCGACACCCUCGCCAUGCGCACUCGAUCCCACGACGCCGCGCGCGCGUCGCAAGUUCAAGGGGACCCACGGCAGCAGCAGCAAUCGCAGCUGCCGCCUCCACCUCCUCGGCCAUUGGCGGACAACCGGCUGAGGGGGCCUGUGGCGCCAAGCGCCGGAGCCCGCCGUGCGAGCGACCAAAACAUCACGCGCGCCUGCCCGCGAGUCCACUCGCGGGCUGAGGACGUGCAGCGACAGCUGCGGCCCGAGGGCACCGGGUGACAGGGCGCAGGGCAGUCGGUCGGAGAACCGACAGCCUCCUGCCCAAACCCCAACGGAAGCUAUCAUUGCCGCGCGUGUCAUGGUGCGCUACGAGCCACCGCAAGGCACGCUGGCGCGUGACGCCUGGAGUGCGGAGCUAGAGGCGGUCCUCGCGCUCGCCGCCCAACGGCCGCAAGGCGAGGGCGGCCUGGCCGGUUCGGUCCGGGCACAUAACCCGAGACGCGGAGAUACGCCCCGCAUCUCGGGGCACGGAGAGCACCCUCCCCCUUCGGGAGGGAAAGGAGGCGAGGAUCCCGAGUGAUACUCGGACUCGUCACCGACCGUCACGCUAGGUGACGCGCGAGGCGUCCUGAACGCCCGCCAGUAGGAAGACCUCCGCCAGCGCAUGCAGCGCCGGCGCCGGCGCGAGGAAGAGCGCCCGCGUCCAGAGGAGCAGGAAGAUGCUCCCAUGGGCGCCGAUGACGACUGCGCCGCAUUCACUCGCGAGCUGCGCUGGGUGACAUGGCCCCACAAGUUCGGAGUGCUGACACUCGGGACAUACGACGGGACCAUGAAUGAAGUGAUCCCCCCCUUCACAACGGUUCGAUCUCUAUGCUUAUCUGUGCUUGUCCCUGGAUCGACUCACUAGCACACACAGUUCAGGAUGUAAUACCAAGAUACAAAGGUCAAAAGUACUUCAUUACAUCGUAUCAUCCAGAACUUAAAUUGUACUUACAAAGUUGCAUGACCUCUUAGGCCAGCAUAAACAAAUAAUGUUCAAAACCAUGAUAACAUUGUAUCAUAAAGCUGCAGCGGAAAGGUAGAGUAAAAGGGCCUCAUCUACUCCCAGAGGAGAAAGCAUGUUGGAAUGUAAGCACAUGACCCAAAGAAUAUCGACGAGCCUCACUCUUCGUCAGUUUCACCUGCAUUAUUAAUUGCAACCACUACGUGGUCAAUACAUUUGAAUGUAUUGGCAAGCUCACCUGGAAAUUAUAACAGAUCCUACCAAGUAUAUGCAAUUGAGGUAUAGUGGGGUUCAGGCUUUAUGGCGUGGUAGCAAAACAUAGUUUAUCUUACUACAUUGGAAUGUUACAAUAAUUGUUAACUGAUGGACACGGGGUAGAAACACCCAUGCUCCUAUUAACCUAGAGCACAUUGAGUAGAAACAUCAAGUGCCCCUACCCUGUUCAAACCAUUCAUUUUAUUUAAGAAGUUGGAAUGAGUGAGACUUUCCUUACAGCCCCAAUAUCCAGUUGCACAUAAUUGUCCGUAACCGGGGACACGGCUAAAUACUUAGUUUCACACUCUCGAGAGGUGGUACACUUUACCCACAAGAAAUCGACGUGUUAAUCCCUUGCUGUCCUCCAGGUGGAGUAGCAACGGCAUCGAUUACACGAAUUUUCAGAACAUAUUCCCCCAAACCACCUGAGGGACGCGUUCCAACCUACACUGCUACAUACCGAUGUCACCUCGGAUCCAGGUUCAUAUUUCUUACAUCCAUCCUGGCAGAGCCCAUAAUACCAUGUGGUUGUACUGGAAGCUACUCAACAGGAAACUAGUCCAGUCUCUGGUUAUCCCGGGUGGCAUCCCACAUUGUGACGCAGGCGCUCCCCGAAUCGCAGGGGGAGACGACCAUGGACGCUCCCGAAUCACACGGAGAGACGACACAACGGGCCCCAUAGAAAUGGACCUAACGUCACGACAUCCGAAAACUCAAAGCAGCCCACCCAGGACGAUUCAUUGAAUUACUUGUUUUGCCAUACACUAGGAAAAUCAUAUUGUAAUUCAAUAGUAUCACAUUGUAAUAAUACCAACCUCGUAUAUUAUCAUAGCAUAGCAUUUUACUACUACGAUGGCAAUUGGUGGUAAGGUCAUGACAAGGGUAUCCUAUACUACCAGGACAGAUCAUAGCUAGCAUAGAUACAGUAAUAAUCCUGACAAUGCAACUAAUAAAAUCUAGUGCAUAAUAAAAUAAUGGGAUGAUGGUCAAAGUGAACUUGCCUUGAUAGUAGUUGGUAUUCAAACACUCUUCACAGUCACACAGUUCGCUCUCUGAGAAAACUAUACAAUCAAGCAAACAUACACAUACAUAAACACACCAUACAAGCAAAAGAAUAUGUAUGCCAUGAUGCAAUGCAAAACAUGGGACAUGAGUUUGGUUUAUUUUAUUUGGGUGAUCUACUGAUCCAAAGCCUUGAGAAUUAAGCACAUGCAAUUAAGGUUUUAAACAAUUGGCAAAGGCUAGGGUUUAAACCCUAAAAUGAGGUUUAUUUGCAACUGCAAAGCAAUUUAAUUCAAAAUAUUUCUUUAUCUGUCCCAUUGGACAGAGGACAAUAAAAUAAAAUUUUGGGCACUGGUUCCAUUCAAAAGGGACUUCUAGAUAACUAGUUAUGAUUUAAAUGGCAUAAGACCCUAAUCUGUAAUUUGAAUGUGAUUCAAAUAGUCAAAUUUGAAAUUGGACCGUUCCAAUAGAUUCUACAUAACCUAAGGAUUCCAAAAAGGUGUGGAUCACUAAAUUUGGCCAAACAGAUUUAAAGUUAUGAUCGUUUGAAAAGACAGGGGUUUUUCUGCAAAAAAGCCAUUUACUUAUUCCUGAUUGGUGCAUACCGGUUCGGUUUAAGUGGAUUAAUCUGAUCUAACCUACACCGUUGGAGAUGGAUGGACGGACGGGAUUGAUCAAGGAGUUCACCGGCGCUAGGGUUUCGGCCGGGGUCAGAGACGAAGGCAGCGGCGACAGCGUGGGGCGGCGGCGCGGGGUCUCGGGCGACGCGGGCGGCUCGGGAACGGGCUAGGUCGACGCGGCGCGUCGGGGCGAAGGCGGGGGCGCGGUCGGGCGCGGGGUCGGGCGGUCGGGGCCUCGCCUAGACCGAAUACGAGCAGGCGGCGCGAGCGGCGGACGGCGGCGGGGCCUCGGGCGUUCGUCGGCCGGGACCUGCAGCGCGCGAAAAGAAAAAAGGAGCGCGUCAUCUUGACCGCGAGGGAGAGAGAAGAAGAGAGAGAGGGACGGCUUCGAGGUUUACUCACGGAGCAUGUCGGCGUGACGCGAAGACGGCGACGGCGCGGGUGCGGCUCUGGCGAGCGAUUUCGGCGGCCUGGCGGCAUAACCGAGGGGAAGGGCAGACGGGAAAAGAGGAGGGGGCUGCGGGGUUUAAAUGGACGCGCUCAGGGCUACGAGAUAGGGACGGAGCGCGGAGUUUCCGGCGGUGACGGCGCGCGGCGGCGAAGAAGGAAGGCGGCGCGCGUCGCGGGCGCCUUCCAAACGGGGAAGAAGCCCCUGACAGGUGGGGCCCACCUGUCAGCGGGUGCGGGCGCGGCGCGGGCGAGCGGCGGGGCCGGCCGGGCUGCGGCGCGCGCGAGGGAUUGGGCCGGUUCGGCUCAAAGUGGCCGGGCCGGUCCGGUUUCCUCUUUUUUUUUUCUUUUAGCCUUUUCUUUUUCUGCUUUUCUCAAUUCUUUGAUAACUUUUGAUUUUGAACUCCAAAUCGGUCCAAAUAAAUUUCAGAAAAUUUGUAAAAUCAUGUUCUACCAUGAUACAACUUUUGGGAGUAGUUUCCCCUCAAAAUAAAAUGCAUAAAAAAACAUUUUCCCUAUAAAUGCCUUUAGGGCUAUAUAUCUAUUUAAAUAAAAUACGUUUUCAACUCCAAAUAAUUAUCCAAAAAUUAUGAGAUAGCUUAUAUAUGCAUUAAACCCCUUCUAUGCAUAAACCCUAUUGGUUUCAAAAUUCCAAAGCCCAGAUGGGUGUAAACAAAGUCUUUUAAAGCCUUUUGAGAUUCAAAUUUGAAUUCAAACAUGCGAUUGUGGCAUGAUGCUUAUGGAUGCAAUGCACAUGUCAAAGUUCGAAAUUUUUGGGAUGUUACAGACCUAACCCCCUUAAGAUGAAUCUCGUCCUUGAGAUUCGGUGUGGUUAGCAAAAAGGUGUGGGUGGUCUUCUUUAAGAUCAUCUUCGCGCUCCCAAGUGGCUUCUUCUUCUGUGUCAUGGUCCCACUGGACUUUGCAAAACUUGAUGGUCUUGGAUCGGGUUUGUCUCUCAGCUGUAUCCAAGAUCCUGAUUGGUUUCUCCUCAUAGGUGAGGUCACUCUGCAAUUGCACUUCCUCAAGGGGUAUCGUAUCCCUUAGUGGUGUGUCGGCCAUCUCAGGGUGACACUUCUUUAGUUGCGAUACAUGGAAGACAUUGUGGACAUUGGACAGUGUUUCUGGUAAGUCCAACUUGUAAGCCACUUCUCCUUGGCGUGACAAGAUCUUGAAAGGCCCAAUGAAACGGGGUGCUAGCUUUCCCUUGAUUCCAAAUCUUUUAACUCCGCGUAUCGGUGAAACUCUGAGAUACGCUCUCUCCUUAGCCUCGUAGGUCACCUGCCUACGUCUGGUAUUGGCGUAGCUCUUUUGUCUUGACUGGGCUACCUUCAGCCGGUCUCGGAUGAGUCUAACCUUUUCUUCGGCAUCCUUUAUCAGGUCUGGGCCGAAUAGGCUACGGUCUUCUACACCAUCCCAUAACAAUGGUGUUCUGCACUUCCUUCCAUACAAAGCUUCAAACGGUGACAUUCCAAUGCUGGCUUGGAAGCUAUUGUUGUAUGAGAAUUCUGCAUAAGGCAGAUUGUCAUCCCAACUGGAUCCAUAAUCUAGAGCACAGGCUCUCAACAUAUCUUCAAGGAUCUGAUUUACUCUCUCGGUCUGUCCAUCCGUCUGCGGAUGAAAAGCUGUGCUGAAUUCUAGUCUCGUUCCUAGAGACUCAUGUAGUUGUCCCCAAAAUCUUGAGGUAAAUUUGGUACCUCUGUUUGAAACUAUUUCCUUGGGUACUCCGUGUAAACACACUAUUCUGGAUAUGUAGCGUUUCGCUAACUGUGCGCUGGUGUAAGUAGUCUUUACUGGUAUGAAGUGGGCAACCUUGGUCAAACGAUCAACCACUACCCAAAUAGAAUCGUAUCCUGAUCUGGUCCUUGGUAAACCGGUGAUAAAGUCCAUGCCAACUUUAUCCCAUUUCUAGUCUGGGGUCCUUGAACUGUUCGCAUAGCUUUGGUGGUCAUUCUCGAGCUGUUAGUCCAUUCAAAUAGCCCUUGCGGCUCAAAGCAUCGGCUACGACGUUAGCCUUGCCUGGAUGAUAUUGUAAAUUCAGGUCGUAAUCUUUUAUCAGUUCUAACCAUCUUCUCUAUCUCAGGUUCAACUUCUUCUGACUGAAAAUGUACUUCAGACUCUUGUGGUCAGUAAACAGCUCACAAUGCUUUCCCAUCAGAUAGUGUCUCCAAGUCUUCAGGGCGUGCACUACCGGUGCUAACUCCAAGUCAUGAGUGGGAUAGUUGCCUUCGUGGCUCUUUAGUUGCCGCGAAGCGUACGCUACAACUCUUCCUCCUUGCAUUAACACUCCUCCCAAUCCUUGACGUGAGGCGUCACAGUAUACUUGAAAAUCCUCUUGUAGGUCAGGCAAAACAAGGAUGGGUGCAGACACUAGUCUUUUCUUCAAUUCCUGGAAGCUCUCUUCACAAAACUCAUUCCAGGCAAACUUCUUUUCCUUCUUCAAGAGCUCAGUCAUGGGUUUCGCUAUUUUAGAGAAGUUCUCAAUGAACCUCCGGUAGUAGCCAGCAAGUCCAAGGAAACUACGGACUUCUCCGACGUUCUUCGGUGCCUCCCAUUCUGUAACUGCUGCAACCUUAGUGGGAUCAACAGCUACUCCGGCUCCUGAAACUAUGUGUCCUAGAAAGCUGACUUCUGAUAACCAAAAUUCACACUUGCUAAAUUUGGCGUACAGCUUGUGUGCUCUCAACUUCUCCAAAAUCAUGCGCAGAUGCUGCUCAUGCUCUUCCUUGCUCUUGGAGUAGACCAAUAUGUCAUCGAUGAAUACUACGACAAACUUGUCCAAGAAUUCCAUGAACACCUUGUUCAUCAUGUUCAUGAAGUAUGCAGGUGCAUUGGUCAAUCCAAAAGGCAUCACGGUAUACUCAUACAGUCCAUACCUAGUGGUGAAUGCCGUCUUGGGUAUAUCCAUCUGUCGGAUCUUCAGCUGGAAAUACCCUGAUCGCAGGUCGAUCUUUGAGAAUACUUGAGCUCCCUUCAACUGGUCGAAUAAAUCAUUGAUUAUGGGUAAGGGAUACUUAUUCUUUAUCGUCACCUCGUUUAGUGAACGAUAGUCAAUGCACAUCCAUUGGCUCUUGUCCUUCUUUUCUACAAACAGGACAAGUGCUCCCCAUGGUGAUGAACUGGGGCGGAUGAAACCUUUCGCUAACUGUUCAGCUAGCUGCUUCUUCAAUUCCUUUAACUCAUCCACAGCCAUCUUAUAUGGUCUCUUGGCUAUGGGUCCACUUCCGGGCAUUAACUCAAUGAGAACUCCACAUCACGAUCCGGUGGCAUGCCUGGUAAUUCCUCUGGAAACACGUCUGGGUAUUCCUUCACUAUUGGUACAUCGUCCAUGCUAACCCCCUUAAGAGCAUUAACCUUGGGUUUCUUAAGCUCGUGGGUUGACUUGUACCGGAUGCAUCUCUUGUCUGGGGUUGUGAGUGUGACAGUUCUCUGGGCACAGUCUACUAAUCCUUCAUAUAGGGUCAGCCAGUCCAUUCCUAGGAUUAGGUCCAGUCCUCGGGAAUCUAUAACUAUGAGAUCAGAGGGAAAAUUGUGUCUCCCAAUACUUAGCGGUAGCUGGUGGCAAUGUCGGGUUGCUAGCAUUAUUCCACCCGGUGAGUUUACUUUCAUAGGUCUACUCAUGGUCUCAGAGGGUAAUUUGCCUCUUUCUACCAAUACUCUUGAAAUGAAUGAAUGCGAUGCUCCAGUGUCAAACAGAGCUAGUACUUCAAAAGCAUUAAUGUGGAAGGUGCCAAGUAUGAUACCUGGUUCCUCGGUGAUCUCUUCCACGUCCACGUGAUUCACGUGGCCCUUCUGGAAUGGAUUGGGCUUGUUCCCAGUGCCAUCCUGGUUGUCCGGGCAGUUGCUGGUAUAGUGUCCCAUCUUGUGACACUUGUAGCACUCCACCUUGCUCAUGUCCUUAUUGGCAUUGUGGUUCUGACCAUUGUUGUUCUGGCCAUUGCUGUUGUUCUUGCCAUUCCCGUUGCCAUUGAUGUGCCUUAGGCGAGCGAACUGAUGCUGUUGCUGAUGCUGGUGCUGCUGAUGGUGCCGGUUCACAUUGCCACCCUGAUGGUGGUGUCCUUGGUUUCCCUGGCGGUGGUGGUGACUAUUUCCCCCACUGCGGUGGCUGUUCUGGUUCCCGUUCCUGCUCAAGGAGGAACUGCCAUUUCCAUCAUAGGAGGUGCGCUGCUUCUGGUGCGGGCCAGUGUGAGAGCCUCUUUGGUGAAGUCUCUUCUUGCGGUUUUCCAACUGAGUGAGCUUACUCUCCAGAAUGAUGGCCUUGUCAAUCAAAGACUGGUAGGUGGGGGUGUAAGCAAUAGCAAGUUGAACUGACAGCUCGUCGUUCAGACCGUCCAAAAGCUUCUCCCUGCGGUUGGCAUCGGUGUUCACAUCAUCCGGUGCAUAGCGGGAUAGUUGGUUGAAAACCUCUAUAUAUUCUAACACAGAGCGGCUUCCCUGUCGCAGCCUGUGGAAUUCUUUCUUCUUCAGGCUGAGCACUCCCGCAGAGAUGUGGGCGGUGCGGAAAGCUUCCUGGAACAUGUCCCAGGUGACAUCCUCGAUGGGGGUGGUAAUCUGAAAAUUCUCCCACCAAGAUGCUGCGGGUCCUUCUAGCAAAUGAGCUGCAAACCGCACUUUCUCUUCCUCAGUGCAGUUGAUGGUGACCAAAUUCUUAUUGACUGAACGAAACCAAUCGUCAGCCAUAAUAGGCUCAGUGGAGCUGGAAAAAGUGGGCGGGCGCAAACGUAGAAAUCUGGUCAGCAUAUCCACUUGGGGUGGGUGGUGCUGCUGGUUGCUGUGGUUCUACUAGUUGUUGUUGCUGUUGUUGGCCAACUGUUGGGUGAUCAUCUGGAAGAAUUGGGUCUGGGCGGCCAAUAACUGCUGCAUGGUGGCAGCAUUCCCUUCUGCGUCGGCAUUGUUAGCCUCGGCGUUGUUGGCGGGGUUCCGGCGUCUCGGAGGCAUCUGUUUAGGGUAGCAUAGAUGAGGAAACAGAUAGAAUAGAGCUAAGGAUAACUAAACCCCCAAACAAGAUAUACUCAAACAUAUAUCAAUCAUACACUCAUCAAUCAAAAAGGUUUUGAAAAAAAUCAUAGCAAAACACACUUGUUUAUGGUGGGAAAUUUUUGGGAUGUUACAAUGAAUCCCAAGCACUUUCUCUUGACCUACGCGUUGGGUAUGCACGCUAUCGGUACCGACGACAAGGUCAGGGCCAACUGGUUCCCGAUGGUCCUCAAAGGAUCAGGGAGGACUUGGUUGCUCAACUUGCCUGCCGGGUCCAUAGCCUCCUGCGAUGACCUGCGCGAGCAGUAUGUGAAUGCGUUCCAAUGCGGCUACAAGCGCCCAGGAACCAUGGCGGAACUGCACACGGUAGUGCAGAAACCAGGGGAGACGUUGCGGGACUUCACCAACAGGUUCUCCAACCUCUCCUACUCCAUCCCUGAAGCGGAAGCGGCCGCCAUCAUCAACAUGUACGCCAUCAACGCUCGUGACCCAAAGAUGUGUGAGAAGCUGAACACGCACCGGAUCCGAACUACAAGGGAUCUCUACGCCCUCGCGCACAAGGGUGCGAGGGCCGAGGAAGGGCGCUUGGCGCCCGAGCUUACCGCCAAAGCAGCGGCAAACCCACCCGAGGGUUCUAGAAAAAAGGGCUCCCAGAAACGCGGCGGGAAGCAAGUGCUUGCCGCAGAGCCGGGGGCUCCCGAGGCCCACCAAGACGGUGGCGUCGGUGGGAGCAUCGGGUAGCAAGCCAGCGGUGGCCGCGCGCUGCCCCAUCCACACCCACGCCACCCACGACAUGCAGGACUGUCGCACUAUCCAGACCAUCAAGGAGAAGUGCGAGCAGCGCCACGAGGAGCGUCGUGCUGCCGGGGCUUGCUUCAACUGCACGGACAUCGGGCACCUCUCCUGGGACUGCCCGAACAACCCCCGCAGCGGAGCAUGCCGGGGCGCAGCCGGCGAUGAUAAAGGAGAACCCACGGGGGGUCGCGGUCAAGCCGGUGGAGGCAAGGACCGGCCUCCCCAGGGACACGACAAGCCUCACGCCGAAUAGCGCGAGGAUGACUGCAGUGAUGACGCCGACGAGCCCGGCUUUCAGGAGCCUCACGAUGUCGCCUCCAUCCAUGGGGGAGCGUACGCUCUCACGUCUCACGUUGCCGUGAAGCGGCUUACGCGUGAGGUCUAUGCCCUCCUCCCCAGCGUGGAGGCGCAGCAGCCGUUGAGGUGGUCACAUGUGCCGAUCACCUUCAACUCGGAUGAUCACCCGAUCCGUCUCUUGGGGUCAGGGGUACUUCCCCUCGUGGUGUCUCCGAUCAUAAACAACGUGACGGUGACAAAGGUACUGGUGGACAGCGGGGCAAGCCUCAACCUCCUAUCCUCCAAGCUGGUGGAGAAGCUUUAGCUGCCCCUGGAGCAGAUGAAGCCCACCGAUCCGUUCCAGGGGAUCAACCCCGGAGUGGUGCAGCCCAUGGGGCGAAUUACGCUCCCGGUGACCUUUGGUUCCCGGGAAGCGUUCCGGACUGAGCACAUCAUUUUCGAUGUAGCUCACACCCCGUUGCCGUACAACGGGAUCAUUGGUCGGCCGGCGCUGAUCAAGUUCAUGGCGACAACCCAUGGCGCCUAUGGUCUGGUGACGAUGCCGUCAACAUACGGCGUAGUCUCCAUCAAGGCGAUCGGAAGGAUGCUGCUUGGUGCGUGGGCGAGGUCGUGAAGACCUCCGCAGUGGUGGAUCCCGGCGACUAUGAUGUUGCCGGGAACGAGGAUCCACUUGCGGGUGAGCAACCCGCACAGAAGAAGGCGCGAGCCGCUCCCGGACAUGACGCCGGGGCCCGUUCCAGCUCCAGCCUACGCGUCAGCAAGGGCGCGACGCUGAAGGAGGAGGGCACCAAGGUCAAGAAGGUGCCCCUGCAUGCCGGCAACGAAGCGCGCACUCUCCAUUUGAGCCUCGGCGACAAAUAGGAAAGCGCCCUCGUCGCCUUCCUCCAGGAGAACUCUGACGUAUUCGCUUGGGAGCCGUCAGAUCUUCCCGGAGUCCCCAGGGAGGUGAUCGAGCAUCGGCUGGCGGUGCGGCCAGACACGCGGCCCGUCAAGCAGAAGGUUCACCGGCAAGAACAAGAACGGAAAGACUUCAUCCAGCAGGAAGUGGAGAAGCUCAAGAACGCCAGGGCGAUCAGGAAAGUGUUGUACCCUACUUGGUUAGAAAAUCCUGUUGUAGUCCCUAAAGCUGGAAAAAAAUUGUGCAUGUGUGUAGAUUUUACUGAUCUUAAUCUUGCAUGUCCUAAGGACCCCUUCCCUGUACCCCGAAUCGAUCAAAUAGUAGAUUCUACAGCAGGUUGUGAGUCUUUGUGCUUUCUCGAUGCCUUCUUCGGCUACCAUCAGAUUAAGAUGGCAGUCGAAGACGAGGAGAAAACAACGUUUAUCACCCCGGUUGGCUGCUACUGUUACACGUGCAUGCCUUUCGGGCUGAAGAACGCGGGCUCGACAUUUCAGCGCGCCCUGCACAAGUGUCUGGGACCCCAGCUAGGCCAGAAUAUCGAGACCUACAUGGACGAUAUUGUCGUCAAAUCGCGGUGUAGGGACUCGCUCGUCGGUGACCUGCAGGAAAUGUUUAACAACCUCCGCAGGAUCAAGCUCAAACUUAACCCCGAGAAAUGCACAUUCGGUGUGGACUUGGGGCACUUGCUAGGCUUCCUGGUCUCUCACAGGGGAAUCGAAGCCAACCCACAGAAGAUCGAGGCGAUCGAGAAGAUGGAGGCACCCCGCAAGGUUGGAGACGUCCAGCGCCUCAACAAUGCGUUGCGGCGCUUGGCCAUUUCAUCUCAAGGCUGGGCGAGUGAGCCCUGCCUUUCUUCAAGGUGAUGAAGAAGAAGGGUCCAAUCAAUUGGACUCCCGUGGCGAAAGCGGCGUUCCAGGACUUGAAGCAGUACCUGAAGUCACCGUCGGUCCUCGUCACACCCAAGCCGGGCGAGCCGUUGCUGCUAUACCUGGCAGCGAUGGACCAGGUAGUGAGCUCCGUGCUCGUUACCGAGAGGGAAGAGCAAGUCCCGGGGGCUGAGACGGAAGGGCCGGGGGCUCCCGACGAGCUGGAGGAACCCUCGGCUACCACUUCCGCCCCUGGGCCUGAGGGACAGCCCAUGCAGGCUGCCCCCCGCAAACGGCUAGUGCAGCAUCCCGUGUACUUCGUCAGCACGGUGCCGCACGAUGUCCGGGUACAGUACCCGCAGGUCCAGAAGCUUCUGCUUGGGAUCCAGCUCGCUCCACAGAAGCUGCGCCAUUACUUUCAUGUGCACAGCAUCACGGUAGUGUCGGGGUUCUGCCUAGAACGGGCUCUCAUCAACCGUGAAGCCACCGGGAGGGUGGCCAAGUGGAGGAUGGAGCUGGCGGAGUUCGGACUGCGUUUCGCAAACACCAAGAGAAUCAAGAGCUCCGCUCUUGCCGACUUCAUCGCGGAGUGGACAUCGACGGGCAUAGAGGAAGAAGAGCCGGAAGCGAGCCUUCCUAGCAGAUUGCACGAAGGGUACAAGGUCAUGUACAUCGACAGUGCCUUCUGCUUGCAGGGCGCCAGUGUCGAAGUGGUGAUCGAGUCACCCACUGGAGAUCAACUCAAGUUCGUAAUACAUCUCGACUUCGCCAACUCCACCAACAACACAGCAGAGUACAAGGGACUGCUUGCCAGGCUGCGCGCGGCGAUCGCCCUCGACAUCAAGCGCUUGGUUGUUCAUGGGGACUCCCAACUUGUGAUCAACCAGGUAAAUAAGGACUACGACUGCCCCCAAAUGGCAGCGUACGUCGAGGAAGUGCGGAAACGGGAGUCCAGGUUCAAAGGACUUCGGUUUGAGCACGUGGAACGCAAGGACAACUUUGUUGCGGAUGAGCUGUCCAAAUGGGCAACGGAACGCAGCAAGGUGCCUCCUGGGGUGUUCAUACAGAGGCAGUCAAGGCCCUCUGUCGACCCCAAGACGGUUGCCGGGGAAGCCCCCCGAGCAACUCAAGGUGACCCUGCAACUGCGGGGGACCAUGCCACCAAGCUUGUGGCAUACACUAGCCGGGAACCACCACCCUGGGGGACGGAUAUUAUUCGUUACCUCAGGGACGGGACCCUUCCGAAGGAAGACGUUGCUGCGGAGCGAGUAGCCUGGCAAGCCAAAUGUACGCCCUGGUGGAUGGGGAACUCUACCGGAGGCGUCCUAACGGAGUCAUGCUCCUCUGUGUGCCCCAGGAAGAAGGGCGCACGUUGCUGGAGGAUAUACAUCGAGGCACAUGCUCGCACCAUGUGGCCUCCAGGGCACUAGCUAGGAAAGCAUUCCGGCACGGCUUUUACUGGCCGAUAGCACUAGCCGACACCGAGCAGUUAGUCAAGACCUGUGAAGCGUACCAGUUUCACGCGUCUGGUCACCUGCACUACCCAGAAAGGGCCUUCCCAGAUUGGAGUCAACUUGUUCCCGGCCUUCGUUCCUUGUAUCCGGCGCAGGAAGAGGUCUCCAACCUCGAGCCCUCGGGGACGGACUCUCCUGUCAUGAUAACGACGGAGUCCCUGCUGGUAGCUUGUAGCUCGCACAGCAGCCCAGCAUCGAAUCUCCUCGAUGAAGGUAAGGUCAUCAAUCCUCUGCGCGUGUUGCCUCUUGUCUCCGUACGCGCGUACUCGAGGUGACCCAUGCUUGAGCUCGAGCGGCGGCACAGCUUCUGCACCGUAUAUGAGGGAAAACGGAGUUUGACCCGUCGCCCGACUUGGUGUGGUCCGCAAUGACCACAACACGGGCUGGAUUUCUUCAACCCAGUGUUUCCCGUGGCCCUUGAGCUUGUCAAAGGUUCUCGUUUUGAGCCCCCGCAGCACUUCCGCGUUGGCUCACUCCACUUGCCCAUUGCUUCUCGGAUGAGCGACGGAGGCAAAGUGAAUUUUAGGGCCCAUGUCCUCGCAAUAAGCUUGGAACACCGCACUAGCAAAUUGUGUGCCAUUAUCGGUGAUGAUGCCGUUGGGCACACCAAACCGGCACACAGUGCUCUUGAAAAACUUGAUGGCUGCCUGUGCCGUGACGGCUCAGACAGGCUCCACCUCGAUCCACUUCGAGUACUCGUAGCUGCCAACUGCUCUCGGAUAUUUCCCGAUGAUGUCUAGCCCCCAGACCGAGAACGGUCACAAGGACGGGUUGACUUGCAGGGCUUGCGCUGGUUGGUUGCUCUUCUUGGCGUGAAACUGGCACGCUUCACAGGUCUUGACUAGUUGUUCGACAUCGGCUAAUGCUAUUGGCCAGCAGAAGCCGUGCUGGAAUGCUUUCCCAACUAGCAUGUGCCUCGAUGGAUAUCUUCCAGCAGCACGCGUCCUUCUUCCUGGGGCACGCAAAGGAGCAUAACUCCGUUAGGACGCCUCCGGUAGAGUUCCCCGUCCACCAGAGCGUACAUUUUAGCUUGCCGGGCUACUCGCUCCACGGCAACGUCUUGCAGGGUGGCGGUUCCUGACUCGUGCAUGCCACAAGCUUGGUGGCAUGGUGCCCCGCAGCUGCGGGGUCUCCUUGAGUUGCCGGAGGGGCUUCCCCGGCAACCGUCUUGGGAUCGACAGAGGGCUUGUGCCUCUGCACGAACACCCCAGGAGGCACCUUGCUGCGUUCCGCUACCCACUUGGACAGUUCAUCUGCAACAAAGUUGUCCUUGUGCUUCAUGUGCUCAAAGCGAAGUCCCUUGAACUUGGACUCCCGUUUUCGCACUUCUUCCACGUACGCUGCCAUUUGGGGGAGUCCGUAGUCCUUGUUCACCUGGUUUAUCACGAGUUUGUGAGUCCCUGCGAACAACCAGGCGCGUCAUCGAAGUACCUGACCCAGUACCCCUCGUCCAUCUUUCCGGGAAGGCUUGCUUCCGGUUCUUCUUCCUCUACGCCCGUUGACGUCCACUCCGUGACAAAGUCGGCGAGAAUGGCCUCUUGAUGAUUUUGGAAUCGCGAAACGCAGCCCGAACUCCGCCAGCUCCAUUCUCAACUCGGCCACCCUCCCGGUGGCUUCAUGGUUGAUGAGGGACCACUCCAGGAAGAACCCCGACACCACCGUGAUGCUGUGCGCCUGAAAAUAAUGGCGCAGCUUCCGUGAAGCGAGCAGGAUCCCAAGCAGAAGCUUCUGGACCUGCCGAUACUGUAUCCGGGCAUCGCGCAACACCGUGCAGACGAAGUAUAUGGGGUGCUGCACUAGCCGCUUGCGGGGGGCCGCCUGAGUGGACCGCCCCUCGGCUCCUGGGGGAGAGGUAGUGGCCUGGGGUUCCUCCGGCUCACCGGGAGCCCCGGGCCCCCUGUUCCAGCCCCCGGGACUCACUCUUCCCUCUCGGCAACGAGCACUGAGCUCACUACCUGGUCCAUUGCCGCCAAGUAUAGCAGCAACGGCUCGCCCGGCUUGGGGGCGACGAGGACUGGCGGCGACUUCAGGUACUGCUUCAAGUCCUGGAACGCUGCUUUCGCCUCGGGGUCCAAUUUAUUGGGCCCUUCUUCUUCAUGACCUUGAAGAAAGGCAGGGCUCGCUCGCCUAGCCUUGAGAUGAAAUGCCCGAGCGCCGCAACGCACCCGUUGAGGUGCUGGACGUGUUUAACCUUGCGGGGUGCGUGCAUCUUCUCGAUCGCCUCGAUCAUCUAUGGAUUGGCUUCGAUUCCCCGGUGAGACACGAGGAAGCCCAGCAAGUGCUCUGGGUCCACGCCGAACGUGCACUUCUCACGGUUAAGCUUGAGCUUGAUCCUACGGAAAUUGUCGAAUGUCUCCUGCAGGUCGCCGACGAGCGAGCCCCUGUGCCCCAACUUGAUGACGAUAUCGUCCAUGUAGGCCUCGAUGUUCCGGCCUAGCUGGGGUCCUAGACACUUGCGCGAAGCGCGCUGAAAUGUCGAGCCCGCGUUCUUCAGCACAAAAGUCAUGCAUGUAUAACAGUAGCAGCCAACCGGGGUGAUAAACGUUGUUUUCUUCUCAUCUUCGACCGCCAUCUUAAUAUGAUGGUAGCCGGAGAAGGCAUCCAGAAAGCACAAAGACUCACAACCUGCUGUGGAAUCUACUAUUUGAUCGAUCCGGGGUAAUCUCUUCAUCGAUAUCAAGAUCAGACAAGCAAGACGUAGGGGUAUUACCUUUCGAGGGCCCUGAACCUGGGUAAAUCGUGUCCCUUGUGUCCUUGUUAGCCGACGGUGUCGCUGAUACGCACACUACGUGUCUUCUCCCUGAUCUAAAGCUCAUCAACAUGGGCACUGUCGAAGGUGACCCUUCGUCAUUGGCACCGACCGUGGGGAAGACAUGUGUCGGAUCUACGAUUCCGGCGGCCUCAUCUUCAUCGGGCGAGUCGUCGACUCAGGCGGAGUCGAUGACUCUCGGCUCCUUCCACUUCACCUGUAACAUCCGAAAAUUUCAAAAACCUUCCAUAUGCAUUGCACUCAUAAGCAUCAUGCCACAUUUGCAUUUCUGAAUUCAAAUUUGAAUCUCAAAAGGCUUUAAAAAUAUUUUUAUUUCAAUUUAAACCCUAGGGUUUCACCCAUUUGAGCUUUGAAUCUUUAAUCCAAUAGGGUUUAACUAUAAAAGGGGUUUAUUGCAUAAAUGAGCUAUCCCAUAAUUAAUUAAGAUUUUAUUUGGAGGGGAAAAAGUAUUUCAUUUAAAUACUUAUAUAGCCCUAAAGGCAUUUAUAGGGCAAAAGUAUUUUUUAUAUAUUUUAUUUUGAGGGGAAAUUACUCCCAAAAGUUGAAUCAUGAUAAAACAUGAUUUUACAAAUUUUUUGGAAUUUAUUUGGACCAAUUUGGAGUUCAAAAUCAAAAGUUAUCAAAGAAAUCAGAAAAAGAAAAAGAGAAAAGGCUAAAAGAAAAAAAAAGGAGUAAACCGGACCGGCCCGGCCAAAUGGAUGAACCAGCCCCGUUCCGCGCGAACCGACCGAGCCAGACUGGCCCAGCGCUGCACACGCGCGCACCUGCAGCCGCUGACAGGUGGGGUCCGCCUGUCAGGGCCUUCGUCUUCCCCGAAGGAAACCCCGCGCAUCACGCCGCCGCCUGCCGUUUUUGCCGCCGCGCCAUCCCCGCCGAGAUCUCCUCGCUCCGUCCAUAAUUCGCAGCACCGACCACGUCCCUAUAAAGGCCACGGCCUCCUCUCCUCUUUUCCCCUAAAACCCCACGCGCACACGCCCCCAGGCUGCCGGAAUUUACCGCCGGAGAACUCCACUGCCGCCGCCAUCCAUCGCUUCGUGACGACACGCCGGUGAGCCCUCGCGUGCGAGUCUUCAAAUUUCCGGAGCUCCUCGACCAUGCGCACAUUUUGACAUGCACGAUUGUGUUUAUGGUGCCCCCUAGCCGCCAGAGCCAUGCCGCCCGACCUCGCCGGAGAUGCACCACAAGUCGCCGGAGCCUUCCCGUCGUCCUAGGCGUCGCUGUGAACCUCCUCUCGCCGUUCCAAGCGCGUCACCGCCUCCACCGCGUCGCGCCGCUCACGUCCCCGGCCUUCCCCGAGCCGCCCGCUUCGCCGGAACCACCCGCCCGUGCCGCGCCGCCGCCGGACCCCAUCGCCGGAACCCUAGGGUUUCCUGGAUGAGAGCCCGAACGAUCUCAGCCGUCCGAUCUUGGCCAACGGCCGAGAUUACAUCUCCUAUUAUUUUUAAACGAACCGGUACCGACCAAUGAGGAUGCGACACGUGGCACUUUAAUAGAAAAAUAAAAAUGUAAUUUUAAUCCCCCGGUUUAAUUAAAUGGCGCAUUUGCAGAAAGCCCCUGUAACUUCUGCAAGUUUGUAAGUACAAUUUAAAUUCUGGAUGAUACGAUGUAAUAAAGUACUUUUGACCUUUGUAUCUUGGUAUUACAUGUUGAACUGUCUGUGCUGUAGCAAAGUCUUAUCCUCCUGCCAUUGGGUCUUCUCCUCUAGCAGAUGACCGACUAGCUUCUCAGCAUCGUCAGUCCUGGUCAUCUCCUCACCAAGGCAGGUCUCCAGAUCCUCGGUGUUCUUCUCCAUGCUCUCGAACUGGGCAGCCACCUCGGACACCUCUUGGUCGUCGGCUGCUGGAAGGGCCUGGCACGUGUGGUCCCGCCUUCCAAAGAGACGGAAGGGAGAGGUCUCAGUGAACUCGUGGCGAUAGUCCCGGCACACCUGCGCGAAGGCGCACUGCAUGGCAAACUAAAGGCCUUGCUCGAAGGUGGGGUAGCGGGCGAUGAAGGUGAUAUCCUGUGUAGCAGGCGCGAUCUCACGCCCGCGGAUCUUCGCCUCGAUCUCCCACCGUGGCUGCCAUCCUUCUGGCACGGCGGGCUCGACUCGGCCUCUGAACCUCGGUGGUGGAAGGUCGAGGGACGCACACAGUGCUGCCAAAGGGGCACUGAACAACUGGUCGUCGUCCGUGGAGGGGUAGUAGACUCGGGUGAACGGCGGUACAUUGCCGAACCCAUCUAUAGAAAACCAAGAAGGUAGAUAAGGGAGUAUCAGUGACAUGAUCAAAUGGUCGGAUAUAUGGAAGAAAAACAAGGUAAAUGUAGUAGAGUGGGAAUGAAGUAAUAAACAUUAAUGUUAGGGUGGAAAUGUCAAUAUAAUAUUGGAUGCAUAAUAUUAUGUGGAUAACAUGGCAACAUGAUUAUAGUGGUGUAUGGGGUAAUAAAAAUAAAUAUGCAUCUGUGGUAUAAAGCAUAGUAUAUGGUGUAUAUGUGGAAUAAAACAAUAAACAUGUCAUGCAUAUGUAAGCUAUAAAUGCAAAGGUUUAGAUGAAUAGGGAGAAGGAAUAUAUAUAUAUAUAUAUAUAUAUAAAGAUCAGAUAGGGAUAAGAAGUAGUCCUAAGGUUUGGUCUUUGGUAUGUCUUAUCCUAAUCCAAGGCUAGGGUCACGUUCCUACAGGCAACACAUUGCUCUGAUACCAUCUGAAGCGACCGCUCCCUUACUAGGGUUCGAUCUCUGUGCUUAAUUGUGCUAGUCCCUAGAUCGACUCACUAGCACACACAGUUCAAGAUGUAAUACCUAGAUACAAAGGUCAAAAGUACUUUAUUACAUCGUAUCAUCCAGAACUUAAUUGUACUUACAAACUUGCAUGACCUCCCAGGCCAGCAUUAACAAAUAUUGUUUCAAAACCAUGAUAACAUUGUAUCAUAAAACUGCAGCGGAAAGGUAGAGCAAAUGGGCCUCAUCUACUCCCAGAGGAGAGAGCAUGUUGGAAUGUAAGCACAUGACCCAAAGAACAUCAACGAACCUCAAUCUUCGUCUGAUUCACCGGCAUUAUUAAUUGCAGCCACUACGUGGUCAAUACAUUGAAUGUAUUGGCAAGCUCACCUGGAAGUUAUAACAGAUCCUACCAAGUAUAUGCAAUUGAGGUAGUGGGGUUCAUGCUUUAUGGCGUGGUAGCAAAACAUAGUUUAUCUUACUACAAUUGAAUGUUACAAUAUUGUUAACUAAUGGACAUAGGGUAGAAAUACCCAUGCUCCUAUUAACCUAGAGCACAUUGAGUAGAAACAUCAAGUGCCCCUACCCUGUUCAAACCAUUCAUUUUAUUUAAGAAGUUGGAAUGAGUGAGACCUUCCUUACAGCCCCUAUAUCCAGUUGCUCAUAAUUGUCCGUAACCGGGGACACGGCUAAGUACUUAGUUUGACACUCUCGAGAGGUUGUACACAUUCCCCACAAGAAUUCGACGUGUUAAUCCCCUGCCGUCCUCCAGGUGGAGAGGUUGCUCAUAAUAGUCCUAUCAAUGCAUUUCUACAAACAACUCUAAUGUAUGCUAUGAUGCAGUUGGAGUUCAAACACUCGUCACAAUCACAAGGUUUGCUCUCCGAGAAAACCAUACGAAACAAGCAAUAUACACACACAUAAACACACAAUUCAAACAUGACAAAAGAAUGUAUGCUAUGAUGCGAUGCAACAUAUGACAUGAUUGGAUUUGUUUUAUUCGGAUGAUCUAAUGGUCCAAAGCAUUGAUAAUUAAGCACAUGUAAUUAGGGUUUUAAACAAUUAGCAAAGGUUGGGGUUUAAACCCUAAAAUGAGGUUUUAUUGGCAUCAGCCAAACAAAUAAUUCAAAAUAUUCAUUUCCCUGUCCCAAUGGACAGAGGAUAGUAAAACAAAUUUUUGGGCACUGGUUUCAUUUAAAAAGGGCUUCUAAAUAAUUAGUUAUGAAUUAAAAGGUAUUAAACCCUAUUCUGUAAUUUGAAUGUGAUUCAAAAACUCAAAUUUGAAAACGGACAGUGCCAAAAGAUUCUACAUUUCCUAAGGAUUCCAAAAAGGUGUGGAUCAUCAAAUUUGGCCAAACAGAUUAAAAGAUAUGAUCAUUUGAAGUUACAAGGGCUUUUCUGCAAAAGUGCCAUUUAAUUAUUCUGGGGGAUUUAAAUUAGAUUUUCAUUUUAUAAUUCGGGUUCCACGUGUCGCACCCUUAUUGGCGCGUACCGAUUCGAUUAAAAAUAAAAGCUAGUUCUAAUCCUAGCCGUUGGAGAUGGAUGGACGGUCGAGAUCUCACCUCCGGGAACUAGGGUUCCGGCGAGGCGUCCGGCGGCGGCGGGGCGUUCCGGGGGUCCCCGGAGCUCGAGGAAGCAACGGGCGAGGGCGGCGCGGGGCGGUGAAGACCGUGACACGGUCCGCACGACGAAAUGAGGUCGAGGGCGACGCCGAGGAUGGCGGGGACUCCCGGCGGCGUGGGCGCGGCUCCGGUGAGGUUCGGGCGGCGCGUUCCGGCGGCUAGGGGGCACCAUAAACAAAGCUACGCAUGUCAAAAGAUGCGCAUGGACGAGAGUCUCCAGAAAUUUGAAGAUGCGGGAGGAAUGGCUCACCGGCGAGGUCGGCGGCGCGAGGACGGCGGCGGCGCGAAGCUUUUCCGGCGAGCAAAUUCGUCGGCAUGUGUCGUUGCUCGGUGCUUCGACACCGUGGGCGUGCGGCCACGUCCCCCUUUUAGGUUCGGUAGGGGCGUCUGGGGCGGAGACCCGGUGAUCGCCGGCACGGCCGAUGAGGCCCUACGGGGCCGGCGAGACGAAGUGCUAGGGGUACGCGCUAGUCCAAGAACAGACGCACGCACGUUUUUUACCCAGGUUCGGGCCACCCGGAGGUGUAAAACCCUACGUCCUGCCUGUCUGAGCUGAUAUUGAUUACGGAUCAAAUGUUUACAGAUUGCCGGGCAAGCUCCCGGGCUUUCUCUCAGUGGUUAGGCACUCCUCACCGCUCUCUGCUGGCUGCCUACUGGAUCCACUAAGCAUCUAUUAAGCGAGCUUCGUCCGAACCAACUAACUGACCAACUGACCAAUCCCCUUGACCGUUGGCAUGGGUCCUCCUUUUAUACACAAGGGGACGCCACAUGUGCCACGGUGCAUGAGCUACAAGUGUCCAACGGGGAGGCAUGCAACUCCCCCCGGUGAGCUGGUGGCGUGCAUGGGUGCCACCCCGGCUGCUAGGGGCCUAAGACCCUAGGGUAGGAUUAGACAACCACUGUUCCUUGGAUCGGACAGGUAACUACCCGUCGGUCGGCUCGCUUACUGAGUCGUGCGCCUUACUCCUUGCUUCGGUGGGACCGCGCGUCCGGCGCCUGCCCCGCGCCCGCGCGGCGCUGUAAACGGGGCCCAACGACCCGAGGCAGGGGUACGUGCCCGGGAACCCCCAGUCCCAGCAAGUCGACCUCGGGAAGCACCUGGGCCCAACGCACCCAGGAACCCCCUCCCGGGAAGCAGCUUCCCGGGAGGUGCCCAAGCGGGAAUAUUCCCCGAAGCCACUCUAGCCCCUUUCGGGCUGGUAGCUUGCCGGGGAGCUCAUAGACGUUCCCCGGGAUGAGACCUUCCCGGGAACUCGGGAGAGGGGCCCGCGUGUCGCGCAGCGAUGGUACCCCGGGUACCACUGGUGCGACAGCGGGGGCGCGUGAUGACGUGGGCAAACAGAGGGGAAAGAGGCGGGUGGCUUGGGCUUUAUAGGUGCGCGGGCUGUUCGCUUCGGGAAGGCCUAAAUCGGCAGGGGCGGCGAUGGCGCGCGGCGAAUCUGGCGCGGACACAGCGCCGUGACGCGGGCGGCUUUCCUAACGAGGAAGAAGGCCCUGAUAGGUGGGCCCCACCUGUCAGUGGCAGCGGGCGCGCGCGCGGGGCGGACCGGGCCGGUUGGGCCGGCUCGCGUGCAGUCGGGCGGGGCCGGUUUUCCUUUUUUUUCUUUUCUUUUUUUUCCCUUUUCUCAUUUCUUUGAUAACUUUUGAUUUUGAACUCCAAAUUGGUCCAAAUAAAUUCCAGAAAAUUUGUAAAAUCAUGUUCUAUCAUGAUACAACUUUUGGGAGUAGUUUCCCCUCAAAAUAAAAUACACAAAAAUACAUUUGCCCUAUAAAUGCCUUUAGGGCUAUAUAACUAUUUAAAUAAAAUAGUUUUUCAACUCCAAAUAAUUAUCUUAAAAUUAUGGGAUACCUUAUUUAUGCAAUAAACCCCUCUUAUAAAUAAACCUUAUUGGUUUGAAGAUCCAAAGCCCAAAUGGGUGUAAACCCUAGGGUUUAAAUUGAAACAAAAUCUUUUAAAGCCUUUUGAGAUUCAAAUUUGAAUUCAAAAAUGCAAUUGUGGCAUGAUGCUCGUGGAUGCAUUGCACAUGUAAAAGUAUGAAAUUUUGGGAUGUUACAAACGACGAACUCGCCGUUAACCUGGCAGUUGUUUACAUCCCGACCUACCAGUCACUCAUGGACAAAGCCAUCAUUCUUGAAAACAAGCAAAAUUAGAUGGAAAACCGGAGGAAGAGGCCUCACCAUGGCAACAACCACGCUGGUCCACACCAGAAGCCGCGCACCUCGUACGAGGGUAGUGGCAGCUCUUCGAUGGUUAAGCAUGGUAACAACCAUCAGGGUCACCAUGGAGGGAGUGGACACCAUCACCGUCAUGGAGGUCAAGGACACCACCACCACCAGGGAGGUAAUGGCAGCCGGAACCACCAGCACCAGCAUCAGCAUCAGCAUCAGCACCAGUGUCCAAGGAUCAACAAUAGCAAGGGCAAUGGUCAGAACAACGGAGGCAACCCAGGGCAGAGCCGUACUAUUGGCAGAGAUUUGAGUCAAGUGGAAUGCUUUAAGUGUCACAAGAUGGGGCACUGCUCCAAUGAUUGCCCUGAGAAGUUCAAUGAGGCGGGAGCAAAGCCCAACCCAUUCCAGAAGGGCAACGUGAACCAUGUCAACGUGGAGGAAAUCACGAAGGAGCAAGGUAUCGUAAUCGGCACCUUCCGCCUAAAUUCUUUUGAAGCACUCGUACUGUUUGAUACCGGUGCAUCGCAUUCUUUCAUCUCAAAGAUUUUUGUGCAUAAGAAUGGAUUAACCACUAGUACCUUAGUGAACCCUAUGAAGGUGAAGUCACCUAGGGGAGAGAUGAUAACGGCUUAUGAAUGCGGAAUGCUGACACUAUGGAAAACACAACUUCCCCACAGACCUGAUAGUGUUAGGAUCAAAAGGUUUGGAUGUGAUCCUAGGAAUGGAUUGGUUAGCCAAGUAUAAAAGACUCAUAAAUUGUGUCAAGAGGACAAUCACACUCACAACCCCGAAGAAGAAGCGAAUCCGCUUCAAGUCAACCUAUGAGCUUGAGAUACCCAAGGUGAAUUCUCUUAAGGGGGUUAGCCUAGUGAUAGCCUCGAGGGUGUCCCGAUCUUUCGAUGAGAUACCUAAUUAUCGAUUUGGUAGGAGGUGACGUUGACGAUCCGACUACAACCUAGGAGGCAGCGCCUUAGCGAUCGAUACACCAACUCCAGAAGGUUAUUGAUCCCGCGGGGGCACGAUCAACCUGACCACGAAGGUCUUUGUUCCUGCAAGCAAUCGAAGAACAAGCAAGAACAAGAUGAAAAGCAAUCUGAAAUUGCGAAUAGGAGAUAUGAAGGUUCACGAAUCUGAAUACUCAAUAUAGUUGGAGUCUUGAUGACGGUAAAACAGGUGGUCUAACCGACACACGCGAUUACACGAAAGUAGCAAAGGCUAAACUUUAUCUAAUCAAAACCCAAGGCUCCAUGGGGGGGCUCAUGGGGUAUAAAUAGGAGGGGAACUAGGUGGUUUUCGGACAGGUCCUUGAGGGACUCCGAAACGGCCUAGGAAUCCUCCUAAAACACAACGAAAACAUCUAAAAAUUGGCUGGACCCUAUUACAUGGCCUUAGGCCCAAUAAAGCAAGGUUAUAACCCUCAUCUUUGGCCCAUAGAUACCCAUUGGAGGGAGAAUCCUCCACUUGGCCGAAAUCCCAUUGAUGAAGAGGAUGCGGCCUUCUUCUCAUCUCUCGUUAUGGCGGUUUCAAUGUUCUGAAAUCAUCACUUGAGCUAGCUCCCGCCACCUUGCUGCCACCUCCAUGGUUUGCUGUCCAACGCUGAUCCUUGAGGUGCAAGCUAGGUCCUUCAUUCCUAAAACACAUAAAAGAACCCAUCUUAGGCAGCAGCAUGUUCUCAUUAAUAUUAAAUGAAGUACCGAGGAACGAAAGUACCUGAUAAUUUAGUUGUCGUGCACGAGCUCUAGUAAUUGGUCCAUGUAUCUCCGGUACUUGAGGUGUAUGUGCUGUAGGGGCUGUGGUUGUAUCAUUAGUUGGGAUGUCCUCAUCAUCCUCCCCUUCUUGAAUCGAAGUCGUCCUCGACGGUAGUUCAUCUUCUUCUCCCAAAUAAGGCUUCAAAUCUGCAAUAUUAAACGUGGGACUAACCCCAAAAUCUGCAGGUAGCUCAAGUUUAUAUGCAUUAUCAUUAAUUUUUGCUAACACCUUAAAGGGACCAUCAGCUCGUGGCAUUAACUUAGACUUGCGCAAAUCAGGGAAACGAUCUUUGCGCAAAUGCAACCAAACAAGAUCUCCAGGUUCAAACACAAUUUGUUUUCUGCCCCUAUCUCCCGCAAGUUUAUACUUAGAAUUCAUGCGCUCAAUGUUCUCUUUAGUCGUCUCAUGCAUUUUUAUUAUAAGUUCAGCACGUUCCUUAGCAUCAAAGUUAACUUUUUCAGAAGUUGGCAAAGGUAACAAAUCAAUUGGUGCACGAGGCAUAAAACCAUAAACAAUUUCAAAAGGGCACAAUUUUGUGGUUGAAUGCAGUGCACGAUUAUAAGCAAAUUCAAUAUGAGGUAAACAUUCUUCCCACAUUUUCAAGUUCUUCUUUAAAACAGCCCUAAGCAUAGUAGAUAAUGUUCUAUUAACAACUUCAGUUUGUCCAUCUGUUUGGGGAUGACAUGUAGUACUAAAAAGCAGUUUGGUCCCCAACUUAGCCCAUAAACAUCUCCAAAAGUGGCUAAGAAAUUUUGUGUCACGAUCUGAAACUAUAGUAUUGGGCACACCAUGCAAGCGAACAAUUUCACGAAAGAAUAAAUCAGCAACAUUUGUAGCAUCAUCGCUCUUAUGACAAGGUAUAAAAUGUGCCAUCUUAGAAAAUCUAUCAACAACAACAAAUAUGCUAUCCCUCCCCUUCUUAGUUCGAGGCAAUCCCAAAACAAAAUCCAUUGAUAUAUCUUCCCAAGGAACAUUAGGAACAGGGAGAGGCAUAUAUAAACCAUGAGGAUUGAGUCGUGACUUAGCUUUUUGACAUGUAGUGCAACGAGCGAUAAAUCUCUCAACAUCCCGUCUCAUCCGAGGCCAAAAGAAAUGAUCAGCGAGCACAUCUUCGGUCUUUUUCACGCCGAAGUGACCCAUCAACCCUCCUCCAUGUGCCUCCUGUAACAACAAAAGACGAACGGAGCUAUCUGGGAUGCAUAGCUUGUUAGCACGGAACACAAAUCCAUCAUUAAUGACGAACUUGUUCCAUGUUCUGCCCUCUUUACAAUGCUGCAAAACAUCCUUAAAAUCUGCAUCAUGUUCGUAUUGUUCUUUUAUAGUCUCCAAUCCAAAUAUCCGAAAAUCAAGCUGAGAUAACAAGGUAUAACGACGUGAUAACGCAUCAGCAAUAACAUUAUCUUUACCCUUCUUAUGUUUAAUAACAUACGGAAAAGACUCAAUAAAUUCAACCCAUUUAGCAUGACGACGGUUCAGCUUUGCUUGACUACGAAUAUGCUUCAAAGAUUCAUGAUCAGAAUGUAUAACAAAUUCUUUGGGCCAUAAAUAAUGUUGCCAUGUUUCUAAAGUCCGAACGAGAGCAUAUAAUUCCUUAUCAUAAGUAGAAUAAUUCAGACUAGGCCCACUCAAUUUUUCACUAAAGUAUGCAACAGGUUUUCCGCCUUGUAACAACACACCUCCUAAACCGAUUCCACUAGCAUCACACUCCAACUCAAAAGUCUUAUUAAAAUCAGGAAGUUGGAGUAAAGGAGCAUGUGUCAACUUAUCUUUCAAUAUGAGAAAAGCUUCUUCUUGUGCAGCGCCCCAUACAUAUGGAACGUCCUUCUUUGUGAGCUCAUUAAGCGGUGCAGCAAGGGUGCUGAAAUCCUUUACAAAGCGGCGAUAAAACCCAGCGAGUCCAAGAAAGCUCCUCACUUGGGUGACCGUUGUUGGAGUUGGCCAGCUUUGAAUUGCGUCGAUCUUGGCCUUAUCAACUUCUAUGCCCUGUGGAGUGACAACAUAGCCAAGAAACGAAACUCGAUCGGUGCAAAAGGUGCACUUCUCAAGGUUACCAAACAAACGUGCAUCUCUCAAAGCAUCAAAAACAGCACGUAAAUGAUUCAAGUGGUCUUCUAAAGAGCUGCUGUAAAUCAAUAUAUCAUCAAAAUAAACCACCACAAAUCGUCCUAUGAAAGCACGUAAAACUUCGUUCAUUAACCGCAUGAAAGUGCUAGGUGCGUUAGUAAGACCGAAAGGCAUGACUAACCACUCAUAUAGUCCAAACUUAGUUUUAAAUGCUGUUUUCCAUUCAUCGCCUAAUUUCAUUCGAAUUUGGUGGUAACCACUACGUAAAUCAACUUUAGAGAACACGGUAGAGCCACUUAAUUCAUCUAACAUAUCAUCAAGUCUAGGAAUUGGGUGACGAUAGCGAAUAGUGAUGUUAUUAAUAGCUCUACAAUCUACACACAUACGCCAAGAACCAUCUUUCUUUGGUACCAAAAUAACAGGAACAGCACAAGGACUAAGGGAUUCACGAAUAUAACCUUUGUCGAGCAAUUCUUGAACUUGUCGUUGAAUCUCCUUCGUCUCCUCUGGAUUGGUACGGUAGGGCGCACGGUUGGGCAGCGAAGCACCAGGAAUUAAAUCAAUUUGAUGUUCAAUCCCUCGAAUAGGUGGUAAUCCUGGUGGUACGUCUUGUGGAAAGAUGUCGGAAUACUCCUGCAAAACGUGAGUAACAGCAGGGGGCAAAGAGGGAGGCAUAUCCUCAAAUGAAAACAAAGCCUCUUUGCAAAUGAAUGCAUAGCAAACAGAAUUAUUCGUAUCUAACUCAGAAAUAUCGGAUUUACUUGCAAGCAAGCAUGCACGUUUCAAUUUAAUUUCAUUAACAUGUUUCGGUUCAGAUUUGCUAGUAGACGCUUGGUGCUUAAAUUCUUUAGCGACAUUAUGGUUCUCACUCUUAUCCUUCUCUUUGCUCUUUGCUCUACUAGCUCUAGCAAGAUCAUCUUUCACAAUUUGUUCAGGAGUCAUAGGUUUCAAACCAAUUUUCUUACCAGCAUGCAUAAAAGAAUAAUGAUUAGUUCUACCAUGAUGAACAGAAUCUGUAUCAUAUUGCCAUGGACGACCGAGUAACAUAGAACAUGCUUGCAUAGGUACCACAUCACAAUCCACAAAAUCAGAAUAUGUACCAAUAGUAAAGUGUGCACGGACUGUUCUAGUUACCUUGAGCUUACCGCUGUUGUUAAACCAUUGAAUGUAGUAAGGGUGGGGGUGCGGCCUGGUGGUAAGAACAAGUUUUUCCACCAUCUCCGUGCUGGCCAAAUUAUUGCAACUUCCCCCAUCUAUGAUGAUACGAACAGCGCGUUCCUUGAUGACCCCUUUUGUUUGGAACAAGUUAUGCCGCUGAUUUUGUUCGGCGUGACUCAUUUGGACGCUCAAGGUGCGUUGUGCAAUCAAACUCAAGUACUGAUCAGCGGCUUCAGCUCCCAUUAACUCCUCGUCAUGGUGGGCAGCGGGGUCUUCUUGCUCUUCCUCGACAAUGAGAGCAUAGGUAGCUUCGUCAAAAUCACUGGCUGAAUCAUAUACUCCGUCUUCACGUAUGAUCAUAACGCGUUUGGUUGGACAGUCCCGCUGAAAAUGCCCGUAUCCUUUGCACCUACGACAUUGGUUAUCUCCGGUCCGUCCGGUGGAAGCAACGGACGCUGCUGAACUUUGUGCAGAGGCAGCGGGUGUAUUUCUUGUUGCUGCUGGUCCAACCUUUGCGGAUGUAGGUGUAGAGGUACUUUGCUUGUUGGUGGAAGUAGUCGGAACAGCCGGACGUGUAGGGGGUGCAGCUGGGCGUGUGGAAGGGGCAGCGGGGCUGCGUGCUGCCCAUGAGGAAGUACGACCUGCAGAAAAGUUAGUCCGCGCGUUCGCGUGUCGUCCCUGCACUUCCCUUUCAGCUUUGCAAGCAAUGUGAAACAAUCGAUUGAUAGAAUUAUACUCCUUAUAAUCAACAAUGUCAGCAAUUUCACGAUUUAAACCACCAAAGAAUCUAGCCAUAGCAGCUUCCUCAUUCUCAACUAAACCACAACGUAACAUGUUCUUUUGCAUUUCUUGAUAAUAAUCUUGGACAGAAUUACUACCUUGCCUUAAUUGUUGUAGUUUCUUUAACAAGUCACGCGAAUAGUAUGAAGGAACAUAUCUAGCGCGCAUAAUUCUUUUCAAAUCAUCCCAUGUUGGUGGUAUAGCGUUAGGAUGUGCAAUACAAUACUCAUGCCACCAAACAGAAGCAAAAUCAGUAAACUCACUAGUAGCAGCCCUAACCCUCUUAUUAGCAGGAAAAUCAUGGCAAGUAAAUUUUUGACUCAAUUCUAAUUCCCAUGUAAGGUAAGCAUCAGGGUCAUAUUUUCCAUCAAAAGGAGGAACCUUAAGUUUAAUAGAAUGCAGCGAGUCAUGUUCCUCUCUGUGAGGUCGUGUCGGUCCCAUACCUCGGCGGUUGAAACGAGUUCGGCGAUGAUCACGGUCGUUGUGAUGGUUUACGGCCCCGUCGUGUUCCGUAUCCGCGGAGUAGUCGUCGUCGUUCUCCUCAACCUCGCUUGCGAAGGUACCGUUAUUAGCGGUCCGCUGGUUGUGUGUAUUGUUUCCUCCCGGUGUAGCGAUGGUCGUUGCAGCAAUUGCCGCCAGUUGCGUCGUGAUUUCUGCCAGAGAAGUACUAAUGGUAGCAACAGAAUUCUGUAAAGAUGUUAGCUUGGUAUUUGUUUCAAUGUGCGCGCUCUCCAAGGUUCCAAGUCUCUCAUUCGCAACCCGAACGUCCUCAUCCAGCUCCUCGUUACGGAGCCUAAGCUUGCGAUCAAAAUGUGAAAUAAUGCCCUUUGUGCGUGGAGAGUGGCCUUGUAAAUCAUCGUCAGAACCUGCCAUCGUUAGGAGAAAACAAGAAACAAAUCACAAGGAAAAGUCCCUAUGCACUACUAGGAUGUGGGGUUCCAAAGAUCACUCCACUCAACUUUUAAUCAAGUUCUUACUCGUUCUUACCCCGCAAACAGGAAGGUGAUGGCCAGCGGCGAGAACAAGCCCUCCGAAGAUUAGUGUAUCGAUGCCUCGAGGCAAACCAACCUAGGUGUAGAAUCUGUGGAGCUUGGAGGCUUAUGUGAGUAGCAAGGAAAAGCGAAUAAUCAAAUCAGCAAUGCAAAGUUGAAAAUAUGCUCAAAAAUGCUAGUCCUAGUUGCUGGAGUCGACAAGAACGAAUUACAGAAAUUAACUAAGCCUAGAUACUGAAAAAGGUAGAAAGGAAAGAUCAAAUGAAAGGUAAAACAAGUAAAUCUCUGGGGAAUAUUUUUUCUCUCUUUUUUUUUUCUUUUUGUGGCCUUCUGUUUGGCUUCUUAUUCUUUUCUAUAUUUUUUUUUUAUCCCCAGAAACUCACGCAAAAGAAGUUAAGACCGGAAAGCUGCACGUCGGUCUGUAGGAGAAUAGCAAAGGCUGUAGUAAGGAAAACUCAGAAAAAUAUGAGAAAAUAUGGGUUAGAAGCGUAUCAAAACAAGCUUUCCAACAAGUGCAAGAUCACUCGAAACGGAGGUCGGACGGUGGAGAAAACUGAGAUAUACUGCGCUGCCCCGGUGCCGUAAAACGGGUGCAGAAACUUUGGAGCUCGAAAAGUCCACCUUAGAGGCCGAAUUUGAGGGUCAAAGUGCAGGGCGUUGCCCUGGAUAUUUCCUGAUGCGCCUCGUCGUGAGCUUUCCAAAAAGUCCAAAAACGUCCAAAUCCGAGUUGGUAUGCAAAAGAUACGUCCGUUUUACUGAACACGGGUCAAACCCACCCGAAACUAAAAUUCUACUCGGACUCGGGUCCGAAACUGACUCGAACUCUUUCUCUCUUCUUUUUUUCCGUUUUUUUUUCUUUCUUUCUUCCUUUUUUUUUUCUUUCCCUUCUUUUUUUUUCACAACUUUCCGAACAACUUGAUCUCUAAACAAAAAUCGAUCUAUUAUGAAUCACUUUCCAAAAGCACUCUUGAUUGGACUCGGACUCGAACUCGCGGCUGAAAACUAUAACUUGCCGACUCGAUGUAGGACUCGGUGUAGGACUCGAAGAGGGACUCGGUGUAGGACUCGAAGAGGGACUCGGUGUAGGACUCGAAGAAGGACUCGGUGUAGGACUCGAAGAGGGACUCGGUGGAAGAUACUCUGAUACCACGUGAUACGGGUGCGGCAGGAAGUUUGGCGGCGGAAGAUUGAUGAAGGAAACCUGCGUCACACGAAGAACAAGAAAACCAAAAGCAAGUUCGAUCUAGUAGAAAAAAUCUGAAAAACGAUCCAAUCUAAUCCAGCAACUCGACACGAUUAAUGCAGCAAAGAUUCAACAAUGCAAAUACUAAUGUGAAAAUUGCAAGGCUCAGAUUGGUUCUAGGACAAGGUAACUAAUUCUAAUUUUUGUUUGGCCUUUUCUGGACGAUAGGUAAAAACAGAUCUAAACUACGGAUAAACUGGAAAAAUCUCACCGAGCAACCUUAAGCUCUGAUACCACGUGAUAGCCUCGAGGGUGUCCCGAUCUUUCGAUGAGAUACCUAAUUAUCGAUUUGGUAGGAGGUGACGUUGACGAUCCGACUACAACCUAGGAGGCAGCGCCUUAGCGAUCGAUACACCAACUCCAGAAGGUUAUUGAUCCCGCGGGGGCACGAUCAACCUGACCACGAAGGUCUUUGUUCCUGCAAGCAAUCGAAGAACAAGCAAGAACAAGAUGAAAAGCAAUCUGAAAUUGCGAAUAGGAGAUAUGAAGGUUCACGAAUCUGAAUACUCAAUAUAGUUGGAGUCUUGAUGACGGUAAAACAGGUGGUCUAACCGACACACGCGAUUACACGAAAGUAGCAAAGGCUAAACUUUAUCUAAUCAAAACCCAAGGCUCCAUGGGGGGGCUCAUGGGGUAUAAAUAGGAGGGGAACUAGGUGGUUUUCGGACAGGUCCUUGAGGGACUCCGAAACGGCCUAGGAAUCCUCCUAAAACACAACGAAAACAUCUAAAAAUUGGCUGGACCCUAUUACAUGGCCUUAGGCCCAAUAAAGCAAGGUUAUAACCCUCAUCUUUGGCCCAUAGAUACCCAUUGGAGGGAGAAUCCUCCACUUGGCCGAAAUCCCAUUGAUGAAGAGGAUGCGGCCUUCUUCUCAUCUCUCGUUAUGGCGGUUUCAAUGUUCUGAAAUCAUCACUUGAGCUAGCUCCCGCCACCUUGCUGCCACCUCCAUGGUUUGCUGUCCAACGCUGAUCCUUGAGGUGCAAGCUAGGUCCUUCAUUCCUAAAACACAUAAAAGAACCCAUCUUAGGCAGCAGCAUGUUCUCAUUAAUAUUAAAUGAAGUACCGAGGAACGAAAGUACCUGAUAAUUUAGUUGUCGUGCACGAGCUCUAGUAAUUGGUCCAUGUAUCUCCGGUACUUGAGGUGUAUGUGCUGUAGGGGCUGUGGUUGUAUCAUUAGUUGGGAUGUCCUCAUCACCUAGAAGAGGUACCGAUAGUGAAGGAAUAUCCGGAUGUGUUUCCAGAGGAAUUACCAGGCAUGCCACCGGACCGUGAUGUGGAAUUCCUUAUCGAGUUAUUGCCUGGAAGUGGACCUAUAGCCAAGAGACCGUAUAAGAUGGCUGCAGAUGAAUUGAAGGAACUGAAGAAGUAACUCGCAGAAAAGUUGGCCAAAGGAUUUAUUUGCCCUAGCUCAUCACCAUGGGGAGCACCUGUCCUAUUUGUGGAAAAGAAAGACAAGAGCCAAAGGAUGUGCAUAGACUAUCGUUCACUAAAUGAGGUGACGAUAAAGAACAAGUACCCACUACCCAUAAUCAAUGAUCUAUUCGAUCAAUUGAAAGGAGCAUGUGUAUUCUCAAAGGUCGAUCUUCGAUCAGGUUACUUUCAAUUAAAGAUCCGAGAAGUGGACAUACCCAAGACGGCAUUUACCACUAGGUAUGGCCUGUACGAGUACACAGUGAUGCCUUUUGGAUUAACCAAUGCUCCAACAUACUUCAUGAAUAUGAUGAACAAGGUAUUCAUGGAAUAUUUGGACAAGUUUGUCGUAGUGUUCAUCGACGACAUUUUGAUCUACUCGAAGAGCAAAGAAGAACAUGAAGAACAUUUGCGUCUGAUCAUGGAAAAACUUAGAGAACACAAACUUUAUGCCAAAUUCAGCAAGUGUGAGUUUUGGCUGUCCAAAGUAGGAUUCUUGGGACACAUUGUGUGAGGAGAUGGAGUUGCUGUUGACCCUGCUAAGGUAGCAGCGGUAACUAAAUGGGAAGACCCUAAGAACAUCGGUGGUGUUCGCAGCUUCUUAGGACUUGCCGGAUAUUGCCGGAGAUUCAUUGAGAAUUUCUCCAAGAUUGCCAAACCUAUGACUGAACUUUUGAAGAAGGAGAAGAAAUUUGAUUGGAUGGAUAAGUGUGAAGAAAGUUUUCAAGAUUUGAAGAAGAGAUUAGUGUCAGCACCCAUCCUUGUUUUUCCCGACCUACUAGAAGAUUUCCAAGUGUACUGUGAUGCCUCGCGUCUGGGAUUGGGAUGUGUUUUGAUGCAAGGAGGAAGAGUCAUAGCAUACGCCUCAAGAUAACUUAAGAAUCAUGAGAGAAAUUACACCACUCAUAAUUUGGAGCUAGCAUCUGUGGUGCACGCACUCAAGACUUAGAGGCACUAUCUCAUGGGAAAACAUUGUGAGUUAUUCACCGAUCACAAAAGCUUGAAGUAUAUAUUCACCCAGAAGGAGUUGAACUUGAGACAAAGGAGAUGGUUCGAGUUAAUCAAGGAUUAUAAUUUGAAUCUGCAAUACCAUCCAGGUAAGGCUAAUGUGAUAGCCGACGCUUUGAGCCGCAAGGGCUAUGUUAAUGGACUUAUAGCUGGAGAGUUACCUGCUGAAUUGUGUGAGCAAUUCAAGGAUCUCAGAUUAGAGAUAGUCCCGGAAGGUUACUUAGCCAACAUGGAAGUACAACCCCCCUUGCUGGACAGAAUUAGAGAAGCCCAGAAAGAAGACUCAGAAAUUAGAGCGAUAAAAGAUAAUAUGGCUAUUGGAAAGGCAAAAGGAUUCAUUGAGGAUGACCAGAGUACCAUAUGGUUUGAGAAACGUAUUUGUGUACCACGGAACCCCGAGAUCAGAAAGUUAAUACUACAGGAAGCUCACGAUUCACCGUACUCAAUCCACCCUGAGAAUACCAAGAUGUACAUGGACUUGAAAGAAAAGUUUUGGUGGACAGGAUUGAAGCGAGAUAUCGCCGAGUAUAUCGCUCUGUGUGAUGUUUGUAGCAAAGUCAAGGCGGAACAUCAGAAACCAGUUGGAUUACUACGACCGUUGCUCGUGCCGGACUAGAAAUGGGAUAAAGUAGGCAUGGACUUCAUCACCCGCUUGCCUAGGACAAGAUCUUGUUAUGAUUCAAUAUGGGUAGUAGUUGACCGUUUGACCAAGGUUGCCCAUUUCGUACCUGUGAAGACCACCUAUACAAGUGCUCAGUUGGCCAAACGCUACAUGUCUAGGAUUGUAUGCCUACAUGGAGUUCCUAAGGAAAUUGUCUCAGACAGAGGUACCCAAUUUACCUCAAGAUUUUGGGGACAAUUGCACGAGUCUCUAGGCACGAGACUAGAGUUUAGCACAGCGUUCCAUCCACAGACGGAUGGACAAACAGAAAGAGUGAACCAAAUCCUCGAGGAUAUGUGAAGAGCUUGCGCUCUGGACUAUGGUUCUAGCUAGGAUGAGAAUCUACCUUAUGCAGAGUUCUCAUACAACAAUAGUUUUCAAGCGAGUAUCGGAAUGGCACCAUUCGAAGCUUUGUAUGGCAAGAAAUGCAGGACACCUUUGCGAUGGGAUGGUGUAGGAGACCGUAGCAUAUUCGGACCCAACAUGAUAAAGGAUGCCGAAGAGAAAGUCAGGCUGAUUCGAGACAGGCUUCAGAUAGCUCAAUCCAGGCAAAAGAGUUCUGCAGAUUCCAAGUGAAGGGAGGUCACCUAUGAGGUUGGUGACAGAGCGUAUCUCAGAGUUUCCCCGAUACGCAGAGUUAAGAGAUUUGAGAUUAAAGGAAAAUUAGUGCCACGCUUUAUUAGACCCUACAAGGUUUUAGCACGCCAAGGAAAGGUAGCUUACAAGUUGGAGUUACCUGAAGUGUUGACAAGUGUCCACGACGUAUUCCACAUGUCGCAGUUGAAGAAAUGCCACCCGGAAAUGGCUGAUAUGUCACUAAGGGAUACAAUUCCACUUGAUGAAGUUGAGAUUCAAAGCGAUCUCACCUAUGAAGAGAAACCAACCAAGAUCUUGGAAACAGCUAAAAGACAAACCCGUUCCAAGACCAUCAAAUUUUGCAAGGUUCAAUGGAAUCACCACACCGAAGAAAAAGCUACGUGGGAACGCGAGGAUGAUCUUCGAGAAGACCACCCACACAUUUUUGCUAAGCAACAUGAAUCUCGAGGAUGAGAUUCAUCUUAAGGGGGUUAGGUCUGUAACAUCCCAAUUUUCAAAACCCUUCAUAUGCAUUGCAUUUCAUAAGCAUCAUGUCACCCUUGCGUUUGAUCACAUUUGAAAACCCUAAAAUCAACCCAGAAAACCCUUUAUAAAAGUGCUUUCAUUUGAAUUUGGUCUUUGUUCUUGCUUUUGAUUAAUUUGUAUUUCAACCCAUGGGGGUAUUGGCAUAAAAAGGGAUGUGAUGCUUAUAUAAAGAUAUCCCAUAAAGUUGCUUUUGAAAUUAUUUGGAAAAUAAUUUAUUUUGAUAGCCUAAAAGGCCCUAAAAGCCAUUUCAUAGGCAAAUGUAUUUUUAAAUAUUUUAUUUUGAGGAAAUUCUUGUUCCAAACGUUAGAUCAUAUGAAAAUAUGAUUUUACAAAUUUUAUUGCAAUUUAUUUGGAGUGAUUUGGAGCCUUGAAUCAAAAUUUGAGUUCAAAACAGAAAAUAGGAAAAAGAAAAGAAAAACCGAAGCCGAACCGGCCGUACCGGACCGAGCCGACCGGCCCCGCCCACAUCCGAGCCGCUCGCGGCCCCUGCCAGGCAGGCCCUGCCAUCGUCUUCAACCCCAACUGCAUCCGGAUUCCACAGCCACGCACGCCCCGAACCGCCCACGACUCCUCUCGCGAUUUCGUCGCGCACGAGCCACCAUAUCCAAAACCCCGCGUGUCACUUUGAAGCUCUCGGCCUCCUCUACCUUUCCCCCAAACCCCCACGCCCGAUUGAGCUUUGGUUAGAGACUAAUUUCUCGCUAGAGGAGCUCUCUGCCGCCGCUGUCUUCGAGGAACCGCCGCCGCACCGGUGAGCCUCCCGUCCGCCGGCCGCCCUUCCCUUGCUUCCCUCUCCUUUCCGCAGCCUUUGACGCGCUCAGUUUUGUGUUUGCUUGACCGCAGCUCACCGUCCGCCGCCCGUGCCUUCCGUCGGCGGCCACCUGUCGCCGAGCCCCGAGCCGCCCGUUCACGACCCCGACCGAAGCCGUGACCGCCGCCGGACGCGCCCCGCCGAGCCGCCCCGCCUCCUCUGCUCUCCGAGCCGCCGGACCGCCCCGCCGUCGCUGCCCGACUGCCGGCCGCCGCCUUCUCCUUCGUCUCCGGCAGCCGCGCCACCCCGGUAAGCUCUCCCCCUCUCUCCACCGUAGAUCUCUAAUCUAACGGCCCAGAUUAGAACCCUAAUUCCGAACCGGUACCGACAAAUCCCGUCUUGACACGUGGCAAAGUAAUUUUAUUCUUUUUCUCGACCAAAAUUAAAAUUGCACUUUUGCAUAAAAGCCCUUAGAACUUCAAAACAUCAUAGCUUUCAAACUGUUUGGCCAAAUUUAAAGUUCUAUACCUUUCUGGAAUCCUCACAACCUGUAGAAUCUUUUGGCAUAGUCCAAUUUUAAUUUUGAACAACUUUAACAGAAGCAAAUUACAGAAUCCUUAAUUAUGGUUUCAUUUUCAAAUGAAUUAUUUCAAAAUGGUUUUGAGCAUAUUAGCUUGCUGCAAAAUUAUUUAAGUAUGCUCUCUGUCCAUUAGGACUGGAGGAGAAAUUAUUUUAUAAAGGAUGUUGACAUACAAAUUUAAUCUUGCUCUAUGCUUUGCAAAAACCAUAUAAGCUUUUAAUUAAAGUCUAUCUUUGUUUCAUGCAUAAUAAUUACCUCUUUGUUAUCAUAUAAUCUGUCCAAAUCUUUUGUGAAGCUCUUCAAAAAUAGAAACUAAACAAGUUAUAAUUAGAAGUAACCAAGUGUGCAUCAUCAUGGCAUAUGCAUCAUAGCAUGUUUUUGUAUUGAAUGUUGUGUUUAUUGUGUGUAUGCUUUCUUUUAUUUUAGAUUGUGUGGAUUGUGAACCUUGUUGUUGCGAGGAGUGCGAGAACUACCAUAACCUUGGACAAGGCAAGUUCACUUUGAUCAUUCUCCCAAAUAUUUUUACUAUGCACUAGUUGUUUUAUUAGUUGCAUUAGGAAUAUUAAAUGUACCUCUAUGCUAGCUAUAAAUCUCAGGUAGUGUAGUUUACCCUUGCCAUUACCUUGCUACCAAAUUGCCAUCGAUUGUAGUUGAAUGCUAGGCUAUGGUAGUAUCAUGGGGGAAAUUACUACAUUAUAAUAUUGUUAUGCCUUUGGCGAUAUGAAAUGUUUUGAUAGUUUAAGGCAAAACAAUUUAUUCAAUGAAUCGUCCUGGGUGGGCUGCUUUGAGGAUUUUGAGGAUUUGCGGCGUCAGGUCCAUUUCUAUGGGUCCCUCUGAGUCAAGUUCCCGUGGAUUCGGGAAUGGGUCGUCCAUGGACGUUUCUCCCGUGGAUUCGGGGAGUGCCUACGUUGCAAAUGUGGAAUGCGACCUGGGGUAACCGAGACUGGACUAGUUUCCUAUUUAGCAGCUUCCAGUACAACCACAAUGCUAUAUGGGCUCUGGCGAGACAAGAGUAGGUUGUAUGAACCUAGAUCCGAGAAAUUGUACUGAGGUAGAUUGUGUAGGGGGAGCGUGAUUCUCUCUUGGUUUAGGGAAUUACCUCUGAAAAUCUCGUAAUCGAUGUCGUUGCUACUCUACCCUGAGGACAGCAAGGGAUUAACCCGUCGGUUUCUUAUGGGGAAUGUGUACAAACUCUCGAGAGCGUCAAAACUAAGUACUUAGACGUGUCGCAGGCAAUGGACAAUUUGAGCAACUAGAUGUGGAGCUGUAAGGAAAGUCUCACUCAUUCAAAUUUCUUAAUAAAAAGAGUGGUUUGAAUUUGGGUUUAGGAGCAUUGAUGUGUCUACUCAAUGUCCUUAGUUUAAUAGGAGCAUGGGUGUGUCUACCCCAUGUCCAAUAGUGAUAAAAUUCUAUUUGAUUAAAAGAUAGGAUUAAAAAACUAAGCUUUUAUGCAAAUAGCCUUGAACCCCACUUUGCCACAUUAUGCAUAUACUUGGUAGGUUCUGAUAUAACUACUGGUGAAUCUUGCCAAUACAUUCAAUGUAUUGACCCUAGUGGCUGCAUCGUUUAAUGAUGCAGGAAGCUCCGACGAAGAGUAAGAGUACGUUCUGCUUGUUUGGGUUACGGGCCUAUAUUCCAACACGCUCUCACCGUGGUGUUGAUUUAGCCCUUUUAUCUUUCGCUUCCCGUUGCAAAACAGUUGUUUUAUUUCCAGCUAACCCCUGGGGUUAUGCGAGUUGUAAGUACCUUUUAAACUCUGGAUUAUACAUUGUAAUAUUGAGACCUUUGUUCUAUGAUAUUACAUCUUGAAACUGUGUGUGCUAGUGAGUCGAUCCAGGGACUAGCACUAAAGCACAGAGAUCGAACCCGUGUACAGGGGCGGUCGCUUCAGUGGGGAAGACGUGUGUCGGAUGUACGGCUCCAGCGGCCUCAUCUUCAUCAGGCGAGUCGUCGACUCAGGCGGAGUCGAUGACUCUCGGCUCCUUCCACUUCACCGCUCACCCGCCGGCCAGACGCGCGGCUUUCGACUCGCUCCAAUCUGGCGUUGAUCUCACGUUUGGAGAUUACCGCAUACGGGCCGAUGGGACAGGAAUCCUGCAAUUCCCAGAUCUCAUCACGCACCCCACUCGAAGAGCCACGACCCUUCGCUGCGGUCAAAUCACUCUCGACAUCCGAUGCCUCUCGUCCCAGUGGCGUCAGGAAGUCGGAUCCCGAUCUGGUCUCUACUGGAUCAGAUCAAUCCUUUCCAGCAGAAAGCCCCAUCCCUAGCAACGUUGGCGACUGCUCUGAUCAAGGAAGUUGCCACGAUGGCAACGACUCGGAGCCUCAGGGCAACAUCGCUCAAGUCUUCAUGACGACUGCCGCCUCCGAUCCUCAGGCGUCGCAAGUCAAUUGCACUCCAGAGGAGACGGCUCACGUCCAAGAAGCCACCAACUCCGGAGUGCCCAUAACCAACCCUACCGCCGCAGAGUUACAACUCUUCAACAGUUGUCUCCUCAAGGCCCGUGGGGAUCUGGCCAGAGAAAGACAGGAUCUCGAUCUGGCGAGCAGGCAGCACGAAGCACGAGCACGACGAACAACUCGAGACGACUCGCUCAGCGAGUCAUCUCACGAGUCGUCUCCUCGCAGGCGUACUAACCGCAGGACCCGACUCAACAGGGCGCCAGCGGGCGGCCGAACGACUCGAAACCUUGACGCGAGUUUCCUGUCGGUCGACGAUCGUGGUGACAUGAUCCCCGAAACCCCACAAGCUGCCAUCCUCGCAGCUGGUACCUAUCUUCAGACGAUUCAACCGCCGGAAGGAGACCCGCAGUCUGAUGUCCACAAGCAGAUCCUGGCGAGCUUGAACAAGGCUGGAGCCUCCUGCGUCAGCCAGGAGCCACGCGACCGAAGGACAAGCCGGGUCAGGACUCCACCUCUUGACGCGAGUCAUCGAGAACGCCGUUCACCCCGACUGAGGCGAGAACCCUGUCUAGCACGGGAAACGCCUCCUCGGGUCGAUGAACGCGACCGCAGUCGCCGAGUCGAUCAUCGCGAUUACUCGUGCGAAUCAGAUCUCGAGUCCGACGUAUGCGAAGCACCAUGCUUCAGACACCGCAUCCGCCGCACCCGGAUGCCGCGAAACUUCAAACCUCCGUCCGACUUGGCCAAGUACGACGGCACCCUGGAGCCGAGAACCUGGUUGGAGGACUACCUCACCAGAAUCCGCUGCUAGGGUGGCUCCCGCACCACCACCAUGCAGUGCAUACAGCUCCAACUCUGGGUGCCGGCGCGCACUAGGCUAAACAGCCUUCCCAGUGGAGAGAUUGCCUCCUGGGAUGAGUUGGUGCAAGCUUUUACUCGAAAUUUCAGGUCAACAUACAAGCGUCUAGUCUCCCUGGAAGAACUCCGAGCCUGCUCUCAGCGAGAUGGCGAGUCCAUCCGCUGCUACAUCCAGCGGUGGACCAACACCAAACCAGCGGCCGAGGAGAUCUCCGACGAGAGCGCAAUAGUCGCUUUCAAGCGGGAGCUCCGACGAGUCGAGCUCAAAGAAGAACUGGGUCGAGUCCGACCUGCUACCAUCAACUACUUGAUGGAGAUAGCCAACCGGUGGGCUGAUGGCGAAGACUCGGUACGCAAUGAGUGACAUCGAUCCCCUGAUGGCGACGACGACCGCGGGCACGAGCGUAGGAAGAAACGCAAGGGCCGCGCCUUCGAAGAAGCCAACACCCCAGACUUCAUCGCAGCUGGCUUCGGCUCCAGUGAAGGGAGGAGCCACUCCGGUGGGUUCUCCGGGACCGACAAGCGCAAACCGCAGUGGCAACGGAAGGCACGUGAAGGAGGGCAGCCGACUCUCGCCCAGCAGCUGGCGGCUCCCUACCCCUUUCACGUCUACAAGGAUGAACAAGGCAACAUCAAGCAAGUCAAUCACUUAUGGACUGCAGGCGUUUUAAGGAGCUGCAAAGAGAAAUGGCAAGAACCCAGCAGGCAGCUACAAACGCUACAAACGCUGGAUUUCAGCAGGUACCGGGCACUCACCCGUACGCAAACAUGGGCAUGGCUGUACCUCAGCCACCUCCCAUACUAGGAACUUUGGCCAUUGGUGCACCACCACUUCCGGCAAAUUUCGCUAGAGCAAUUAAUCCAGUCCAAUGCGCGCCGCAGUCAGAGCCUGCGCUCAUUAACGAGGAGUACUAUCCCACUCCAGUGGGCCAUAUCUGCAUGAUACAAGUGGCUACCACAGCCGAGGGAGCACGGGAGGAGGCGCAGCAACUCGAGUCGAUAAGCAUCCGUCCUCAUUUGCCCGCCACCUCAACCGCCGCUCAACCAAACGGAGUUGGACAUACCCAUGACGACUCCACUUUGCUCCGCGAGCACCUCCAAGAGGACCACUCAGUCCUGCACCUGGCAAACCAGGUUGCCGACUUAACCCUCAGGUACUCGACCUGAUAAAGGGAGCAUGGAGAUCUACGACCCAAGACGAGCGGCGCGUAUCCACACUUAUCCUUUGUAUUAUUUCAUUCCUUGACGUAAACCCCUCUCUUAGGAUGCUUUAAUUCUUUAGCCUUGCUAUGCUUUGUUUUCUUCCUCGACUAUGUACUCCGGUACACCACAAGAUAUUAUUCGUCAAAUAGUCUUGGUUGCGCCUCUCAUACGAAGAUUGCCCUCAAUCGACUCGUCAAAUAGUCUUGGUUGCGCCUCUCAUACGAAGACUGCACCUAAUCGACUCGCCAAAUAGUCUUGGUUGCGCCUCUCAUACGAAGACUGAACCCAAUCAACUCGCCAAAUAGUCUUGGUUGCGCCUCUCCUACGAAGACUGCGCCCAAUCAACUCGUCAAACAGUCUGGGCCGCACGCCUCACUCGGGGGUUGCGCCCAAUCGACUCAUCAAACAGUCUCGGCCGCACCCCUCACUCGGGGGAUCCGCCCAAUCGACUCCUCAAACAGUCUCGGCCUCACCCCUCACUUGGGGGCUGCGCCCAAUCGACUCAUCAAACAGUCUCGGCCGCACCCCUCACUCGGAAGCUGCGCCCAAUCGACUCAUCAAACAGUCUCGGCCGCACCCCUCACUCGGAGGCUGCGCCCAAUCGACUAAUCAAACAAUCUCGGCCGCACCCCUCACUCGGGGGCUACGUCCAAUCGACUCAUCAAAUAGUAUUGGCCGUGCCAAUCGACUCAUUAAAUAGUCUUGGCCGCACCUCUCACUCGGGGGUUGCGUCCGAUCGACUCAUGGAUGAAUCCUGAUCCCACUACUUACGGGAAAAUCAAGACACAAACAAAUGCCGCCUGAAUUCGGCUGAUUAGUUCAUACUGGGCUUAUUUGCUACCCUACAGCAACUUAUAAUACGAAUUCAGGAUAUCUACAUCUGCUCGUCAGCUAUGAUAUUCCUCAUGGAAUUUCAUCUCAGUAUCUUUACAAUCGGGACCCCACACUCAAGAGGUACGCGUUUCAGUUGUUUUUAUUACACUUAAAAUUCUGACAUUACAGACAGACGGAAGCAAAAGGCACUUGGGUCUACCCCCGGCUGCAAAUAGUCGCGCAUAGACCCGGGGGCUACUCCCGUCGGGAGCGCUGGUCGCGGACCCGACAGGCAACUAAGCUUACAACCGCACUUAAAGAAAGACUCGAUCAAGAGAUAUUCUACUCUAAUGUCAUGGCCGCGAUCAGUUGGCGAGCCACGAGCUCCACUGAAUCGUAAACUGGCCCCAGUGGAAGAUCUUCUGGCACUGAUGGAGGUGGAACAUGCAACAUCUCUAAAUUGAGUGAAGGGUAGCGAAGCCGAACAAAUGCAAGGGACACGACUGCUCCUUCUACCAUUUGUUCCAGCAAAACCCCCUUCACCAAUCCACCUCCACUAAAUCUCUGGAUCAAACCCUUCAGAUCUUUCGGACUCGUCAAUUCUGGAAACAGGAUAUUGUGCUUAGUCGUCAAGCAAUCUUGACAUGACUCAAGGCAGGUCACAGCCCAAGCGACUCGGUCUUGCAGCAGCGCAAGUGUGUACCCUCUGUCACGAUUGAACCUCAGCCGGACCAGAAUACAAAAUCCGGUUCAGUCGAUUCUUGACUCUUUCGGCUUCCGAUGCGGUUUUGUCACAGUCCCUAGCCAAAAAAAAGGGAUGAUUAGUCAAAGGGCACCUUCAUCAAGGACUUUAGCAAGAAGAAUUAUUCAUACCUCUAAGAUCAAGACUCAGCUUCACCAAUUCUCCAAGAAGAAAGUGCUCUCGACUCGAAGCAGCCUGGAGUUUCGACUCAAGCACAGCAAUCAUUCCACGGGCAACCAAAAGCUGACGCUCCACGUAUCAAUCGCGUGCGCAUCACCUCAAGAUCAUCGGAGGACCUCAUCGCAAGCACCCCACUCCUCGGGCUGGAUUUAAACCUGAGUCUGUGCCUUACUAUUUAUAGUCAACCACACACUCGGGGGCUACUCCCGUCGGGAGUCAAGAUUCAAACUGAGUUCAUACCCAAUUUCUACCGGAAAUCAGAGUUCAAAUCAAAUUCAUGUCCGGAGUCAUCAAGCCUUGUGCGGACAGAUACUUUAUUUCAAGUAUACAAGGUUACAGAAGAUAACAAAAUACAAGACUCAGUCUAGUCACGACUCCUCACAGUCGCAACCGGACUCGGGGACAACUCCCAUCGGGAGCGCUGGUCGCGCAACCGAUAGAUCCUACUUCAGCCUCAGGUCAUGAGUAAGGUUGUUCGUCACGCUGCAAAGCGAUUUCCUCUUCGGCUGCUGCCUGCCACUGGAUCAUAGCCUUCGCUAUACCACGUACCAUGGCGAAGUACGGGCACAUAUCAAAUUCAUCACCAGGAUUUAUUGGGAGAACGUAAGCGUGACUCAGGUCAAGUUCUGGAUAGUGGAUCUUAACAAAUGAAAGCGCAAUCUUGGCUCCCCUCACCGGCUGGAGUCGAAGUUGCUCCCUGAUAGCCACCCCGUUCUGGAACUUCUUCAUCAACUCUCCAAGAGCCGAAGGAGCAUCCCUCAACGGACAGAGAGACUGAUGAAUCAGUGUUAACGCAUCUCUGCACAAACCGAAGUACUCCUGGACUUGCUCGACUCAAACUCUGAGUAGCGCUAAAUCAUGACCCCUCGCUCGAUCGGACCAUAAAGAGGAGCGGUCGUCCGUAUGACGAGCAUUGAGAAUGCCUUUCACUCGAUCUUGCUCAUCACGGGAGUCAAGUUGGAAGCCUACGCGUAAAGCAGGUCGUCAUGUAAAGAAGUCAAGAUGCUACUUCAACUCGAAAGGAAUAAACUCUUACAUUGGAGUUCAGCACUGAAGUCAUGAAGCUGCGAAAAGACAAGCUCCUCCCGAUUUGUAGCUGCCUUCACUUUGCUCCGAGCAAUCUGGAUCUUGGCGGCAGAAUUCCGAGCCCGUGUCACAGCAUCCUUGGCCUGAGCUUCAGCGUCCCUCAGGCGUCUCCGCAAAAACUCCAGUUCACUCUUGGCUCUUUCCAGAGCCAAUGAGUCAAUCACUCCCUUCGGCUACGGAGUCCUCAUCGUCUGAGUCGCACUCGUUGGAGCAGUCGAAGGCACCAACUCCCUGCCUAUUGGAGGAAUCGACGUGUCCCACGCCGGAGUCUCCUUGGUCGACUCUCUCACCAUCGGAGGACUCGGCGCAGUGUCGGCCCUCUGCAGAAGGAAAAAUUCACUCACAUACUGCAUAAAUCAAAGAAAUCACGACAAGGUUUUUCGGGCCUAUCACAGCAAGGCGUACUAUGAUUAUCAACGUAAGGUUUAUUAUUUCAGGAUUUCAUUCAAGAUCUACAAGUAUUGCUUACAAAAGCAAGGUCAAAAAGACUACGACAUUUCGAAAAAUCAGCUUCGCUAACCUCUUGGUUUGCCGGGUCGCCCAGCUGCUGGGCCCAGACACCCGACAAUUCUCUGCUAAGAGAGAAGUAAGGCGUCAUGUCGACUUCCUCGCCAGUCUUCAGUCGACGAGGUCCAGUCGCCACCCGGCGCAACAGGUCUUCAUCAACACCGUGCGCAAGAGCUAGCAGAAAUAUCGACUCGGCUCCUGCGAUGUUCUAAGUGCGAUGAUAGUUCCCCAGCGGACCAGGUAACGACUCGAAGAGAUCAAUAAGACCUGCCAACGACUCCGGGAUCAGUUGGCUCGGGAGCAUCUUCCUCGCAAGGCUAGACAGUAGCCUCGUCAACUGGCGCAGCCUGCUCUUGGCCACAGCAUUCACGACCUCAACUGCCUCGAGGGAUUCAGAUAUUGGUCUCCUCCUCGGAUCAAACUGGACCUAGGAAUCCGGGUCGAGUAUUCCUGUACAGAAAGGACUCACGCUAAGAGCCAGCAUCGACUCGCAAGAAAACAGAAUACAGAUUAACCGACUUACCAGCAAUGGAGCGUAUCGCACUGUCAAUACGAUCACUCCAAAUCCCUUCUUGCUCCUUCUCUGCAGCGAGUUGGCAGUCGGCAGCCUCCUUCGCUUGGCGCCCUUCAGCCGCCAAUUCUUUGGACGACUCUGCCGUCAAAGCAAAGACCAAGUAUUGGAGUCAGUAGCUCAAUCGACUCAUGAAGCAAACCAGUCAUCUACAAACUCACCAUUGGCAGCCAACAGCUCGGUUUGGCACUUCAUCGCCUCGAAUUGAUCGAUAAACUCCAUCAUGGAGGAAACGAUCGGCUGCAAAUUACACAGGAGUCAUCUUCAUUGACUCUUCCUCCCGUUGGGAGAACAAACAAAAACAAAAACUCUCAUCAUACGUAAAGUGAUACGGGUGCGGGUGGCCCGAUCUUUCGAUGAGAUUGGUAACUCUCGAUUUGGGUAGGAGGUGACGUUGACGAUCCGACUACGGCCUAGGAGGCAGCGUCUUAGCAAUCAAUACACCAACUCCAGAGGGUUAUUGAUCACGCGGGGGCACGAUCAACCUGACCACGAAGGUCUUUGUUCCUGCAAACAAUCGAAGAACAAGCAAGAACAAGAUAAAUAGCGGAUGCAAUCUAAAAUUGCGAAUAUACUAUAUCAAACCAAUUGUCUCAACGAGACGAUAAGUUGGGGUUCCGAAAGCGGUAAAACAGGUGGUCUAACCGACACACGCGAUUACACGAAGUAGUAGCAAUGGCUAACUUUUAACUAAACAAAACCCAAGGCUCCAUAGGGGGGCUCAUGGGGUAUAAAUAGGAGGAGGGAGAGAUAUUUUCGUCCACCUUGAGUAAGGAGGCCGAAAUCCAACUCUAUCUCUAACUUUCCUAACAAACUACAACUCUUUAGGAAACAGAAAAACAGAUCCGUCAGCUUGUUUUGUCCGUCACGGUCAGCACGAGUCCAAUCUCUUGAUGGGGCCAGAUCCGUUGGAAAGGUCUUGUAAUUACCUUUCCAACAAGUACUUGUUUGCUUGAUUUGGACUCCGGAUGCGGCCUGGGUGAUUAAAACAAAUUCAGGUCUCCUGACAGCUCGGACCCGAAUCGGAUUCAACUUUAAUUCGUGAUAUCUUUCUCUAGCAAGCUCCGAAUCAUGUGCCGUUUGAUUUGUUGGAAAGUAGACUUGAUAGGCUUCACUUUGAAUCUCCCUUUGCAGGCUAUCACACUUCAUCUUCACUUUGGACUUGUAAAGUUCAAUAAGAUGCCUACAUAAUAAGAUUACACAAGAUAGUAGCUCCGCCUCUUUGCAAGUAACAUAUUGAAAACAUUUUGUAAUUAAAUUCACCUGAUUAUAAUUGUUAUUAGAUACACCAACAAUUAGGGUUCUAAUGGUUGUAUCCAUGGUUAGCAUGUCCAUAUCAUCCUCCCUUUCUUGAAAGGAAAGCCGUCCUCGGCGUCGUUUGUGCUGAAAAGAGACUGACAAAAUAGACAAAGUGUGUGCAUGGUAUAUGUAUAUGUCAUCAAUUUUAACUCCACUCCCAUGCUGCACAUUCAAUGUUUCACAUAAAUAAAACUCAUAAUAGUUCAAAAGAUUAAUAGUCAUAUUCCAACGGCAAGUAUCACAUUUUAAUUUGUAAUUCUCAUCAUUAAACCAUCCUAAUGGAGGUGAACAAUAAUUCAAAAUUAUCAAAUGGCGAGUUACAAUAUGCGUCAAUGUGCAAUCAUGCCACAAGUUAUUUGUCAUACAACUAUCACCAAUAUUAGAGGUCAUAUCAAAAUGAUUGAGCAUAUGCCAAAUAUUGUUGUCUCUCAAAUCAAGAAAGUUAUCACAAGCAAUGCAAAUCUGAUGCACCCCAAAUUUAUUGUUAACAUCAUGUUCUCCAAUUAAUUGAAUAGUGUAUCCAUGGGCAUUAGCAAAAGAUUUUGAAAUUGUUAACUCAGAAACUUUAUCCAUUGCAUGUGACAAAUAUAUAGGUGCAUCAAGUUUAAUAAAACACAAAGAAUUAUUAGGUGGAUCGUUCUCAAUCACUCCAUGUGUAAUUAACUCGACACAACCUAAACCAAAUUUAUCUACAUCACAUGCUUCUCCCAAAACAUUAGCUAUUUCCUCACAAUAUUCAUUCUCAUCAAUAUCAAAAUUAAUAUGUGCACUCAAAUCAUUAGAAGAAUUAAUUUCAGCAGUAGGUGCACUCAAAUCAGCAUGUAAAUCAACAAUUUCACAUGGUGCAGAAAAUUCAACAUGUAUCUCAUUUAUUUCGUCACAUGUCAUAUUUAGUUCAGGAACACAAUCAUCUUUAUCUUUACCUUGUGGGCUCGACUCAUUUGUAGUAGACCCUCGCUGUAAUUUCCUCUCAACUUUACGAGCAAGAUUAAGCAAACAUAAAAGAGAGUCGUAUUUUCCAUAUUCAAUCAUGUAAGAAAUAUCAAAGUUAAGCCCACAAUAAAAUCUAUCCAUUUUUCUUUGUUCGGUUUGAUCUAAACUAGAUCGCAAGGUUAUAAUUUGGAACUCAUUGUAGUAAUCAUCAACAGUUUUAUCAUCUUGUGCCAAACGUCGUAAUUUUGAAUGCAAGUUAAAAGCAUAACUAAAAGGGACAUAUUUUUCUCUCAUGAUUUUCUUCAUACUCUUUUCUCUAACUAUCUCAUUCCACCAAGAUAAAGCAGCAAAAGUAAAUUUACUACUAGCAAUUUGAACCUUGCGACUAUCAAGUACAUGGAAGCAUGUGAAUUGUGCAGUUAAAGCUAGCUCCCAAUCUAUAUACGUUUCAGCAUCAUUUUUCCCCUCAAAGAAAGGUACACACAAUUUAAUUGUAUUAGAAGGAUUGUUUUGUACCGUUGCCGUGGCAUUAUCAACAAGAGACGUGGAGGAUGGCCGUGGUGAAAAGCACUCAUCGUGGUCGCGGGAUAGCAUCGGUCUAGUUGCCAUGCUUCGUGUAAGUCCUGUCAUGGUUAGUAGAAAACAAGAAACAAAUCACAGUAAUAUGUUCCUAUCAACUACUAGGAUGUGGCUACAAGUCGCUCAACUCUCAAGCUAAAAAUCAAGUUCUUACCAUGCAAAACAGGAAGGUGAUGGCCAGUGGCGUGACCAAGCCCUCCGAAUAUUAAAUGUAUCGAUGCCUCGGUAACAAACCAACCUAGGUGUAGAAUCUGUGGAGCUUGGAGGCUUUUGUGAGUAGCAAGGAAUAGCAAAUAAUCAAAUCAGCAAUGCAAAGUUGAAAAUAUGCUCAAUAAUGCUAGUCCUAGCUGCUGGAGUCGAUAAGAACGAAUUACAGAAAUAAUCUAAACCUAGAUACUGAAGAAGAUAUGAUAGAAAGAUCAAAAGAUGGCACAACAAGUAAAUCCCUGGGGAUUUUUUUCUUUUUUUUUUCUUUUUGUGGCCUUCUGUUUGGCUUCUUAUUCUUGUCUUCUUCUUUUUUUUUUCUUUUUUUAACCCCAGAAACUCACGCAAAAGAAGGACCCGAAAAAUGUACGUCGGUCUGUCGAAGAACAGCAAAGGCUGCGGUAAGAAAAUUUCAGAAAAAUAUGGAAAAAUAUGGGUUAGAAGCGUAUCGACACAAGCUUUCUAGCAAGGGCAAGAUCACUGAAAACGGAUGUCGGACGGUGGAGGAAACUGAGAAACACCGGGCUGCAGCGACGCCGGAAAACGAAUGCAGAAACUUGGAAGCUCAGAAAGUCCACCUUACAAACUGAAUUUGGGGGUCAAAGUGCAGGGCAUUGCCCUGGAUAUUUCCUGAUACGCCUCGUCGUGAGCUUUCCAAAAAGUCCAAGAACGUACAAAUCCGAGUUGGUACACAAAAGAUACGCCCGUUUUACUGAACACGGGUCAAACCCACCCGAAACUAAAAUUCUACUCGGACUCGGGUCCGAAACUGACUCGAACUCUUUCUCUUUUUUUUCGUUUUUUUUUCUUUCUUUCUUUCCUUUCUUUUUUUUUUAACUUUCCGAACAACUUGAUCUCUAAACAAAAUUCGAUCUAUGAUGAAACACUUUCCAAAAGCACUCCUUAUUGGACUCAGACUCGAACUCGCGGCUGAAAACUAUAAUUUGCCGACUCGAUGUAGGACUGGAAGAGGGACUCGGUGUAGGACUCGAUGAGGGACUCGAUGAAGGACUCGGUGUAGGACUCCAAGAGGGACUCGGUGUAGGACUCCAAGAAGGACUCGGUGGAAGAUAUGGUGGCGGUGGAAGAUUAUGGCGGUGGUGUGGCAGGAAGUUUGGCGGCGGAAGAUUGAUGAAGGAAACCUGUGUCACACGAAGAACAAGAAAACCAAAAGCAAGUUCGAUCUAGUAGAAAAAAUCUGAAAAACGAUCCAAUCUAAUCCAGCAACUCGACACGAUUAAUGCAGCAAAGAUUCAACAAUGCAAAUACUAAAGUGAAAAUUGCAAGGCUCAGAUUGGUUCUAGGACAAGGUAACUAAUUCUAAUUUUUAUUUGGCUUUUUCUGGACGAUAGGUAAAAACAGAUCUAAACUACGGAUAAACUGGAAAAAUCUCACCGAGCAACCUUAAGCUCUGAUACCACGUGAUACGGGUGCGGGUGGCCCGAUCUUUCGAUGAGAUUGGUAACUCUCGAUUUGGGUAGGAGGUGACGUUGACGAUCCGACUACGGCCUAGGAGCCAGCGCCUUAGCAAUCGAUACACCAACUCCAGAGGGUUAUUGAUCACGCGGGGGCACGAUCAACCUGACCACGAAGGUCUUUGUUUCUGCAAACAAUCGAAGAACAAGCAAGAACAAGAUAAAUAGCGGAUGCAAUCUAAAAUUGCGAAUAUACUAUAUCAAACCAAUGUCUCAACGAGACGAUAAGUUGGGGUUCCGAAAGCGGUAAAACAGGUGGUCUAACCGACACACGCGAUUACACGAAGUAGUAGCAAUGGCUAACUUUUAACUAAACAAAACCCAAGGCUCCAUAGGGGGGCUCAUGGGGUAUAAAUAGGAGGAGGGAGAGAUAUUUUCGUCCACCUUGAGUAAGGAGGCCGAAAUCCAACUCUAUCUCUAACUUUUCUAACAAACUACAACUCUUUAGGAAACAGAAAAACAGAUCCGUCAGCUUGUUUUGUCCGUCACGGUCAGCACGAGUCCAAUCUCUUGAUGGGGCCAGAUCCGUUGGAAAGGUCUUGUAAUUACCUUUCCAACAAGUACUUGUUUGCUUGAUUUGGACUCCGGAUGCGGCCUGGGUGAUUAAAACAAAUUCAGGUCUCCUGACAGCUCGGACCCGAAUCGGAUUCAACUUUAAUUCGUGAUAUCUUUCUCUAGCAAGCUCCGAAUCAUGUGCCGUUUGAUUUGUUGGAAAGUAGACUUGAUAGGCUUCACUUUGAAUCUCCCUUUGCAGGCUAUCACACUUCAUCUUCACUUUGGACUUGUAAAGUUCAAUAAGAUGCCUACAUAAUAAGAUUACACAAGAUAGUAGCUCCGCCUCUUUGCAAGUAACAUAUUGAAAACAUUUUGUAAUUGAAUUCACCUGAUUAUAAUUGUUAUUAGAUACACCAACAAUUAGGGUUCUAAUGGUUGUAUCCAUGGUUAGCAUGUCCAUAUCAUAAAGGCUUACGUGGCGUUUUGAGGAGGAUACACCAGUUGAUGUAGCCACCUCGAUAUUCUUUAAUUGACCCUGAGGUUGAGUCAAUGUGCCUUGUUGACUCCCUCCGCUCGUCCCCUGCGGACUCUCUUCCUUUACGCGGCUUAGCUUGAGGUUGAGUCGACUCGUCAUGUCGACUCCCUCUGCUCAUCCUCGGUGGACUCCUUUGAGUCGCUGCCCCAUGGGAGGCAGAAGAGCAUGAGGCUUUCGGGUCCAACUCAUAAUGUGAAGAUAAGACCUGUUAUCAGGCCUGGAAGCGCAUCAACUGUGUUAAUCUAGAAAGCUUCGACUCAGGGAACAUUCCCUAGCCACGCUCAUUGUGUGAAGAUAAGACUUCUUAUCAAGCCUAGAUACGCAUCAACUGCGUUUAUCUAGAAAGUUUCGACUUGCGAAUCAUUUCCUACACACCACACUCAUCGUGUGAAAAUAAGUCCUAUUACUAGGCCUGGAUAUGCAUCAACUGGACAUUAUGCAGUAAUACCCUCUGUGGGAUUUUUCAGUCAUUCACGUUCAUAACGUGACUACAUACAGGUUCUUUGAUGAGCCAAGGAAACGCACCAGCUGCGUACCCUAAUUAUACUCACAACAUUAAAAUCAUGACUCCUCACAUACGAGUCGAGUACGUGAAACGUCAAAACUGGAGUUCAACUCCGUAAGACGUCGUGGGCUGAGUCGAAACUCGCCAGUUGCCAGGUUCGAGCCCGGGGACUCGAGCCUGAAGAAGCUGAUAUAGCUUUUGCCCUAGCGCAAUUAGCUGGAUUCAACUUAACAAGAAUUAUAGGCAUAUUAUGCAUUAUCCCUAUGUGAUACGGGUGCGGGUGGCCCGAUCUUUCGAUGAGAUUGGUAACUCUCGAUUUGGAUAGGAGGUGACGUUGACGAUCCGACCACGGCCUAGGAGGCAGCGCCUUAGCAAUCGAUACACCAACUCCAAAGGGUUAUUGAUCACGCGGGGGCACGAUCAACCUGACCACGAAGGUCUUUGUUCCUGCAAGCAAUCGAAGAACAAGCAAGAACAAGAUAAAUAGCGGAUGCAAUCUAAAAUUGUGAAUAUACUAUAUCAAACCAAUGUCUCAACGAGACGAUAAGUUGGAGUCUUGACGACGGUAAAACAGGUGGUCUAACCGACACACGCGAUUACACGAAAGUAGCAAAGAUGGCUAAAAUUUAUCUAAUCAAAACCCAAGGCUCCAUAGGGGGGCUCAUGGGGUAUAUAAAGGAGAAGAGAGAGAUAUUUUCGUCCACCUUGAGUAUGGAGUCCGAAAUCCAACUCUAUCUCUAACUUUCCUAACAAACUACAACUCUUUAGGAAACAGAAAAACAGAUCCGUCAGCUUGUUUUGUCCGCCACGGUCAGCACGAGUCGAAUCUCUUGAUGGGACCAGAUCCGUUGGAAAUUUCUUGUAAUUACCUUUCCAACAAGUACUUGUUUGCUUGAUUUGGACUCCGGAUGCGUCCUGGGUGAUUAAAACAAAUUCGCGUCUCCUGGCAGCUCGGACCCGAAUCGGAUUCAAAUUUAAUUCGUGAUAUCUUUCUCUAGCAAGCUCCGAAUCAUGUGCCGUUUGAUUUGUUGGAAAGUACACUUGAAAUCCUUCCCUCUUAGCUGUAUGAAUGCUUGAUUCUUGUUGGCCCUCCCGUUCGCCUCCAUCGUAUCUCAUCUUGACCUUGGACUUGAAAAGCUCGACAAGAUGCCUACGUAAUAAAACGAGACAAGAUAGUAGUAGCUCCGCCUCUUCAUAAAUAUGACAAUGAAAACAAUUACUACUUGAAUUCACCUGAUUAUAAAUCUUGUCAAAUAUUAUAGAAUUGAGGGUACCAAAGGUCGUAUCCAUGGUUAGCAUGUCCAUAUCACUAUGACUCAAGCUUCAAUCAAGGAUUCGAUGCACUUCCGAAUCAAUAGCUUCUCAGCUGCUUAUCGUCACAUAUACUGAUUCGACUCAAGCAAUCUUUAUGAGUCAAUCCCUCAUCAUUUGAAGUAGAAGCAUCAACUCGAUGCAAUACCGAGGCUACAAGUCCAUCGGCUGCAACUUGCUCGACUCAAGAUGGAUGAAAUCUUUAUGAAGUCCCUACUCAAGUCUACGACUCAAAUAGGAACGUGGGGGCUACUGACGUGGUUAUGACUAAUCACGUACUCAACUCAAGGAUACCCGUCAUGGCCCACCACGGGGUCCAUGAGGAGAACGACUACAACUCCUGGAGUCAACAUGGCAAUCUCGACGACUCGAGAUAAGGAAGCUUUAAAUACAGCAUAUCUCAUCAUUGUAAUGGGCUUAGACUCUCCCUAAGACCUAAACUCUUACAUAUAUAAAGGAAUAGGCGGGGGGAGCCAGGAUAAGCAACAACGCGCAAGCCUCUCGCAUACACCCAUCUCCACGUAGAACCCUAGAGUCGCGAGACUCCCCUUUGCCAGAUCUACUCUGCGCAUCAUAGCCCCAGCGGCUCCAUUGUAAUCUCUCCAUCUAAAUCAAGAUCAGUCAAGCAGGACGUAGGGGUAUUACCUUCCGAGGGCUCUGAACCUGGGUAAAUUGUGUCCCUUGUGUCCUUGUUACCCAACGGAGUCGCCGAUACGCACGCUAUGUGUCUUCUCCCUAAUCUAAAGCUCAUCAACAUGGGCAUUGUCGAAGGUGACCAAGCAGCAGCAGGACCCUCAAGCUGGUGUGACGCGAAUCGCACCUUCUCAGCAUCUGAACAUCCCAGAGUUGCCAGCUUCUUCGAGAUGGUGCGGAGCCAGUCAUCCGCCACAAUAGGCUCAGAAUUACUUGAAAAAGUUGGCGGAUUCAAUGUAACAUCCCAAAAUAUUCAAACUUUUACAUGUGCAUUACAUCCAUGAGCAUCAUGCCACAAUUGCAUAUUUGAAUUCAAAUUUGAAUCUCAAAAGGCUUUGAAAGACUUUGUUUACACCCAUUUAAGCUUUGGAUUUUCAAACCAAUAGGGUUUAUUUAUAAAAGGGGUUUAAUGCAUAUAUAAGCUAUCCCAUAAUUUUUGGAUAAUUAUUUGGAGUUGAAAAAGUAUUUUAUUUAAAUAGACAUAUAGCCCUAAAGGCAUUGAUAGGGCAAAUGUAUUUUUAUAUAGUUUAUUUUGAGGGGAAACUACUCCCAAAAGUUGUAUCAUGAUAGAACAUGAUUAUUUUAUAGGGUUUAUUUUAUAAAAGGGGUUUACUGCAUAAAUGAGCUAUCCCAUAAUUUCUGGAUAAUUAUUUGGACUUGAAAAACUAUUUUAUUUAAAUAGUUAUAUAGCCCUAAAGGCAAUUAUGGGCAAUUGUAUUUUUAUAUAUUUUAUUUUGAGGGGAAAUUCCUCCCAAAAGUUGAAUCAUGGUAGAACAUGAUUUUACAAAUUUUCUGGAAUUUAUUUGGACCAAUUUGGAGUUCAAAAUCAAAAGAUAUCAAAGAAAUGAGAAAAUGAGAAAAAGAAAAGGCUAAAAGAAAAAAAAAAGGGGAACGGGACCGACCCAACAGGGCCGGCCCCGUCCCGCGCGCGCCCGAACCUGAGCAGGCCGCCGCCCCGCGCCACGCCUGCCGCCGCGAGACGCUGAUAGGCGGGGCCCGCUUGUCAGGGGCGUCUUCCCCGCAGGGAAAGGCCGCCCGUCUCGGUGUGACGCCCGCGCGCCAUCGCCGCCGCCAUCCGCGCCGCCCCGUCCGCUCCGUGCUUCCGUCGCCCUGCCGCCCGCGUCCCUUUAAAGCCCGCGCCCCCUCUGCCGUUCCCCUCUCCCAAUUUCUCGCUUCUCGCGCCCACGCUGCCGGGAUUCCUUGCCGAAGUUACGUCCGGUCGCCACCGUCCUCACGAAACCGCCGCCACUCCGGUGAGUUCUUCGCCCGUCGGCCGCCUAUUUCUCCCUUUGCUCUCCCGUGCGCACAUGGUGACGCGCUCAGAUCCGUUUUGGGUUGAUCACAGGUCGCCGACCGCCGCCCGUGCUCGCCGCCAACCACCGUCCCCCCGACCCCGCGCCGUCCGCCUCCAUCCGCUCGAGUCCGAGCCGCCCCGGCCGUCCGCGAGCCCGACCGCGCACCGAGCCCCGAGCCCCGAGCUCUGACCGCGUCGCCACCGUCCGGUCGCCGCCGUCACCGCUUCUCCUUCGUCUCCGGCCGCCCGCGCCACCGCCGGUGAGCCUCCCCCUGCCCUCCACCGUUGGAUCUCGAUCUAACGGCCCAAAAAGAAACCCUAGCUCGAACCGGUAUCGGCCAAUCACGUGGCGACACGUGGCAUUGCUUUAUUGAAAUAAAAAUCUAAAUUUAAUCCCCGGAAUUUUAGAAAUGGCACUUUUGCAGAGAAGCCCAUGUAACUUCAAAUGCUUAUAACUUUUAAACCCUUUGGCCAAAUUUGACAAACUUGACCUUUUUGGAAAGCUCUCAACCUGUAGAAUCUUUUGGCACUGUCCAAUUUCAAAUUUGAAUAUUUGAAUCACAUUCAAAUUACAGAAUAGGGUUUAAUGUCAUUUAAUUCAUAACUAAUUAUUUAGAAGUCCUUUUUUACUGAAACCAGUGCCCCAAUUUUUUUUAUUAUCCUCUGUCCAUUGGGACAGAGAAAUAAAUAUUUUGAAUCAAAUUAUUUGACUGAUGCCAUAAAUUAGGGUUUUAAUGAAUUGUUUUUGCCUUUUGUUUAAAACCUAAUGCAUUAAUUUUAAUUACCAAUGCUUAGGAGCUGUUGAUCACCCAAAUAAAAUAAACCAAAUCAUGUCACAUGAUUGCAUCGCAUCAUGGCAUAUUUACCUUGUAUUGGAUUGUGUGUUCAUAUGUGUGUAUGUUUGCUUCGUUUAGAUUAUCCGAAGAGCAACGUGUGUGUUGUGAAGAGUGCAUAUCAAACUACUGUAACAAAGGCAAGUUCACUUUGAUCAUUUCACCUAUUAUUUUACUAUGCAUUAGAUGUUUUAUUAGUUGCAUUGUUAGGAAUAUUAUUGUACCUAUGCUAGCUAUGAAUCUCCUAGUAGUAUAGGAUACCCCUGCCAUGUCCUUACCACCAAUCGUCAACGUAGGUAGUCAAAUGCUAUGCUAUGUUAGUAUUCGAGGGUGUUAUUAUUACAAUAUGUUAUCAUUGUCAUUGAGGAGUACUUUUGGAUACUUGGCAAAACAACCCCAACGAAUCAUCCUGGGUGGACGGCUUUGAGUAUUCGAGAUGUUAUGCGACGUCAGGUCCAUUUCUAUGGGUCCGUCUGAGUCGAGUCUCCGUGGAUUUGGAGAUGGAUCGUCCAUGGAGGUCUCUUCCGUGGAUUUGGGGAGCGCUUGCGUCACAAAUGUGGAAUGCCACCUGGGGUAUCAGAGACUGGACUAGUUUUCCUAUUUAGUAGCUUCCAGUACAACCAUAUGGUAAUAUGGGCUCUGCCAGGAUGGAUGUAAGAUAUAUGAUCCUGGAUCUGAGGGAUUGUGCAGAUGUAGCCGUGUAGGUGGGAACGUAAGUUCCUCAGGUGGUCUCGGUGAUUAUGGUCUGAAAAUUCCUGUAAUCGGUGCCGUUGCUACUCUACCCUGAGGACAGCAAGGGAUUAACACGUCAAUUUCUGUGGGGAAUGUGUACAACCUCUCGAGAGUGUCAAACUAAGUACUUAGCCGUGUCCCCGGUUAUGGACAAUUAUGAGCAACUAGAUAUGGCGGCUGUAAGGAAGGUCUCACUCAUUCCAAUUUCUUAAAUAAAACGAAUGGUUUGAACAGGGUAGGGGCACUUGAUGUUUGUACUCAAUGUGCUCCAGGUUAAUAAGAGCAUGGGUGUUUCUACCCCGUGUCCAAUAGUGAUAAAACUAUUUAAUAAAAUGAUAGGAUGAUACAAUGAUGCCUUUAUGCAAAUAGCCAAACCCCACCUUGCCAAUUACUGCAUAUACUCGACAGGAUCUGUUAUAACCCUUUUGUGAACUUGCCAAUACAUUCAAUGUAUUGACCCCUCCUUAGUGGCUGCAACGUUUAAAUGUUGCAGGUUAACCAGGUGAAGAGUGAGGUCCGAGUUGUUAGGGUUACGAGUUUACAUUCCAGCAUGUUUCGACUGUGGAGUUGUUAUGGGGCUCCUACAUCUUCUGCUUUCCGCUGCAAGAUUUUAUCUUCUUCUGAGCUAACCCACGAGGUUAUGCAAUAUGUAAGGUUCUGGAUCAAUACGAUGUAAUAUACUUUUGACCUUUGUAUCUUCAUAUUACAUCUUGAAACUGUGUGUGCUAGCGAGUCGAUCCAGGGACUAGCACUGUAAGCACAGAGAUCGAACCCUUGUAAGGGGGCGGUCGCUUCAGAUGGUAUCAGAGCAAUGUGUUGCCUGUAGAUUCGUGACCCUUAGAUUGGAAUUAACUUAUUAGGUACUUAUUUACCAAACUAAAAUUAUUUUUGAAAACUCUCAUAUUCUUUCCUCGUCCAGUUCUUUCACUCUCUCAUCCAGUUUUGAAGGUUUUCAAACAUCGCAACCAGCAUAGUUAGUCACGAUAGACGUAAUUUGUGAGCUGUCACUUUUGGAUUUAUUGAUGGCCACAAAUGAUAGUAGUAAAUUAUUUUGGAUAACAAAAAAAAACUCUGUUCGUUUGCUUUUGACACUUCUUUUCUUGGGCUUGGAUGGCUGAACUAUGUCAUUUGCUUAUUGGUUAUUACUUGGUUGGUGAUUGUUAUUCCUUACUUGCCUGUUGUUGGGUUAAGCUUCUUUUAGAUCCCAUCUGUCUAUGUUCUCAUCUAUGCUAUCCUAAACAGAUGCCUCCAAGACGUACCCCCAACAUCAACAUAUCACACACCACCAGCAACAGUGACAACCAUGAGGAAGGGAACAACAGUUCAGUUAAUGUGCAGACUCUGCUGGCAGACCAGAUUCAGUUUUUCCAGUUGGUAACCCAGCAGAUGACCAGUCACCAGAACAUUGACCAGAAUAACCAACACCCCAACCCACCACCUCAGGUGGAUAUGCUUACAAGAUUUCUGAAGUUGCACCCACCUACUUUCACCAGCUCCACUGAACCCAUGGUAGCAGAUGACUGGCUGCGUUCAGUGAAUAAGAACUUAGUAACUGUGGGCUGCACAGACGCUGAGAAAGUAAGGUUUGCAGCACACUUGUUGGAGGGACCAGCCGCAUUUUGGUGGGAGAACUACCUGAUCACCAACCCGAUUGAGGAUGUCACUUGGGAGAUGUUCCAGGAUGCUUUCCGCACCGCCCAUAUCUCCGCGGGAGUGCUAAGCCUGAGGAAGAAGGAGUUCCACAAACUGAAGCAAGGAACCCGCACCGUGAUGGAAUAUAUUGAGGAAUUCAACAAGUUGUCUCUCUAUGCACUUGAUGAAGUCAAUACCGUUGCCAAGUGCCGUGAGAAGUUUUUGGAUGGACUGAACGACGAGCUUUCCGUUCAGCUGUCAGUUUCUUACACCCCCACCUAUCAAUCCCUGGUAGACAAGGCUUUUAUCUUGGAAGACAAGAUAAACCAGAUUGAGGGCCGCAAGAGAAGACAUCGCCAUGGAAGCUUUAACACUGGACCACACCAGAAGCCGCGCACCUCUUAUGAGGGUAGUGGUAGUUCAUCAAGGAUCAAACAUGGAAGCCACCACCACCACCAUAUCCAUGGAGGGAAUGGCCACCAUGAGCACUAUCAUGGGGGUAGACACCGACACCAGCACGAGGGGAUUGCCCAUGGAAAAGGAAACACCAUUGGUCAAGGCAGUGGAAACAACAACGAGUCACCCAAUUUGACCUGAGUCAAGUGGAAUGUUUCAAGUGCCACAAGAUGGGGCACUACUCGAAUGAUUGCCCGGAGAGGUUCGAAGGGAAUGGAGUCAAGCCCACCCCGUUCCUAGAGGGUCAUGUGAACCAGGUCAGUAUGGAAGAAAUCACAGAGCCGGGCAUUGUGAUUGGAACGUUCCCCGUGAGUUCUAUCCAAGCACUCGUACUCUUUGACCUGGGUGCAUCACAUUCGUUCAUAUCAAGGAUGUUCGUGAAUGAGAACAAGAUACCUACAAACACCCUAAGAAACCCUUUGAGAGUGAGUUCACCUGGAGGACAAAUGGUAGCGACUCAAGGAUGCUGCCAGUUACCCCUGGAGAUUGGGAAACACACUUUUCCCUCCGACCUUAUUGUGUUGGGUUCCCGAGGUCUAGACAUAAUUCUGGGAAUGGAUUGGAUGACCUUGUAUGAGGGACUUGUAGACUGUGCCAAGAGAACAAUUACACUCACAACCCCUGAGAAGAAGCGAAUCCGCUUCAAGUCUACUAUGGAACUUAAGAGACCUAAGGUAAAUUCUCUUAAGGGGGUUAGUAUGGACGAAGUACCAAUAGUAAAGGAAUACCUAGACGUAUUCCUAGAGGAAUUACCAAGCAUGCCACCAGACCGAGAUGUGGAGUUUUCAUCGAGUUAAUGCCAGGAAGUGGACCCAUAGCCAAGAGACCAUAUAAGAUGGCCGUGGAUGAAUUGAAGGAAUUGAAGAAGCAGCUAGCUGAACAGUUAGCGAAAGGUUUCAUCCGCCCUAGUUCAUCACCAUGGGGAGCACCUGUCCUGUUUGUGGAAAAGAAGGACAAGAGCCAACGGAUGUGCAUCGACUAUCGUUCACUAAAUGAGGUGACAAUAAAGAAUAAGUAUCCUUUGCCCAUAAUCAAUGAUCUUUUCGAUCAAUUGAAGGGAGCUCAAGUAUUCUCAAAGAUCGAUCUGCGAUCAGGGUAUUUUCAACUGAAAAUCCGAGAGAUGGACAUUCCCAAAACAACUUUCACCACUAGGUAUGGACUGUAUGAGUACACUGUGAUGCCUUUUGGUUUGACUAAUGCACCAGCAUACUUCAUGAACAUGAUGAACAAGGUGUUCAUGGAAUUCUUGGACAAGUUUGUCGUGGUAUUCAUAGAUGAUAUCUUGAUUUAUUCCAAGAGCAAGGAAGAACAUGCACAGCAUCUGCGCAAGAUUUUGAAGAAACUGAGAGCGCACAAGUUGUAUGCCAAAUUCAGCAAGUGUGAAUUUUGGUUAUCGGAAGUCAGUUUUCUAGGGCACAUCGUGUCAGGAGCAGGAGUUGCUGUCGACCCAGCUAAGGUAGUAGCAGUGACAGAUUGGGAAGCACCUAAGAAUGUUGGUGAUGUCCGUAGCUUCCUAGGACUUGCUGGCUACUACAGGAGAUUCAUUGAGAACUUUUCCAAGAUAGCUAAACCCAUGACGGAACUCUUAAAGAAAGAGAAGAAGUUCGCUUGGAACGAGAAUUGUGAAGAAAGUUUCCGGGAGUUGAAGAAGAGACUAGUGUCUGCACCCAUCCUUGUCCUACCCAAUCUGCAGGAAGAUUUCCAAGUUUACUGUGACACUUCACGUCAAGGGUUGGGAGGAGUUUUGAUGCAAGGAGGAAGAGUUGUAGCGUAUGCUUCGCGAGAACUAAAGAAACACGAAGCGAACUACCCCACUCACGACUUGGAAUUAGCAUCGGUAGUGCACGCUUUAAAAACCUGGAGACACUACCUUAUGGGGAAACAUUGUGAAUUGUUCACGGAUCACAAGAGCCUGAAAUACAUAUUCACCCAGAAGGAAUUGAACCUGAGACAGAGAAAAUGGUUGGAACUGAUAAAGGAUUAUGACCUGAGUCUGCAAUACCAUCCCGGCAAGGCUAAUGUUGUAGGCGAUGCAUUGAGCCGCAAGGGCUAUAUAAAUGGACUGACAGCUGAAGAGCUACCGCCAGAAUUGUGCAAACAGUUCAAGGACCUGAGACUUGAGAUUGUGCCAGAAGAACAUUUGGCCACUUUGGAAGUACAGCCCACAUUGCUAGACAGGAUCAGAAAAGCACAGAAGGGCGAUUCAGAAAUAAAUGCGAUAAAGGAGAAUAAACUUAUCGGCAAAGCAGAAGAUUUUCAUGAGGAUGACCAAGGGAUCAUAUGGUUCGGUAAACGCAUUUGUGUACCGCAGGAUCCGGAAAUCAGAAAGCUGAUUUUGCAAGAAGCCCACGAUUCACUGUACUCAAUCCACCCUGGAAACACGAAGAUGUACAUGGACCUCAAGGAGACAUUUUGGUGGUCCGGAUUGAAGCGUGACAUCGCAGAAUUCAUUGCCUUGUGUGAUGUGUGCGGCAGAGUUAAGGCAGAACACCAGAAACCAGCAGGAUUGCUAAGACCGCUGCCUAUACCAGACUGGAAGUGGGAUAAAGUUGGCAUGGACUUUAUCACAGGUUUACCGAGAACCAGAUCAGGGUAUGACUCUAUUUGGGUAGUAGUUGACCGUUUGACCAAGGUCGCCCAUUUCAUACCAGUGAAGACCACUUAUACAAGUGCUCAAUUAGCGAAGCGCUAUAUGUCCAGGAUUGUAUGCUUGCACGGAGUGCCCAAGGAGAUUGUUUCAGACAGAGGUACGCAAUUUACCUCCAGAUUUUGGGGACAAUUACACGAGUCUCUGGGCACAAGACUGGAGUUCAGCACGGCAUUUCAUCCGCAGACAGACGGACAGACCGAAAGGGUAAAUCAGAUCCUUGAGGAUAUGUUGAGAGCUUGCACUCUAGAUUAUGGUUCUAGCUGGGAUGAUAAUCUACCCUAUGCAGAAUUCUCGUACAACAAUAGCCUCCAGGCUAGCAUAGGAAUGUCACCUUUUGAGGCUUUGUAUGGAAGAAAGUGCAGAACACCAUUGUCAUGGGAUGGUGUAGGAGACCGUAACCUAUUCGGCCCGGACAUGAUAAAGGAUGCCGAGGAAAAGGUUAGACUCAUCCGAGACCGACUGAAGGUAGCUCAGUCGAGACAGAAGAGCUAUGCAGAUUCCAAACUUAGGGAGGUUACCUACGAGAUCGAAGGUAGAGCGUAUCUCAGCGUUUCACCGAUACGCGGGGUAAAGAGAUUUGGUAUAAAAGGAAAGUUAGCACCCCGUUUUAUUGGACCUUUCAAGAUCUUGUCACGCCAAGGAGAAGUAGCCUACAAGUUGGAUUUACCGGAAUCACUGUCGAAUGUCCACAAUGUCUUCUGAUACGGGUGCGGGUGGCCCGAUCUUUCGAUGAGAUUGAUAACUCUCGAUUUGGGUAGGAGGUGACGUUGACGAUCCGACUACGGCCUAGGAGGCAGCGCCUUAGCAAUCGAUACACCAACUCCAGAGGGUUAUUGAUCACGCAGGGGCACGAUCAACCUGACCACGAAGGUCUUUGUUCCUGCAAGCAAUCGAAGAACAAGCAAGAACAAGAUAAAUAGCGGAUGCAAUCUAAAAUUGCGAGUAUACUAUAUCAAACCAAUGUCUCAACGAGACGAUAAGUUGGGGUUCCGAAAGCGGAUGUCGGACAGUGGAGAAACAAGAUCAGGUGAAUUCAAUUACAACCAUAAGUGUACUUGUGUCGAUACGCUUCUAACCCAUAUUUUUCUGAAUUUUUCUUACUGCAGCCUUUGUUGUUCUUCGACAGACCGACGUACAGUUUUCCGGUCCUUCUUUUGCGUGAGAUUCUGGGGGUUAAAAAAAAGAAAAAAAAAGAAGAAGAAAAGAAUAAGAAGCCAAACAGAAGGCCACAAAAAGAAAAAAGAAGAAAAAAAUCCCAGGGAUUUACUUGUUGUGCCAUCUUUUGAUCUUUCUAUCGUAUCUUCUUCAGUAUCUAAGCUUAGAUUAUUUCUGUAAUUCGUUCUUAUCGACUCCAGCAGCUAGGACUAGCAUUAUUGAGCAUAUUUUCAACUUUGCAUUGCUGAUUUGAUUAUUUGCUAUUCUUUGCUACUCACAAAAGCCUCCAAGCUCCACAGAUUCUACACCUAGGUUGGUUUGUUACCGAGGCAUCGAUACAUUUAAUCUUCGGAGGGCUUGGUCACGCCGCUGGCCAUCACCUUCUUAUUUUGCAUGGUAAGAACUUGUAAGAACUUGAUUUUUAGCUUGAGAGUUGAGCGACUUGUAGCCACAUCCUAUUAGUUGAUAGGAACAUAUUCCUGUGUUUUGUUUCUUGUCUUAUACUAACCAUGACAGGACUUACACAAAGGAUGGAAAAUAGGCCUAUGCUAUCAAGUGACCGACAUGAGCGUUUUUCACCACAUCCAUCCUCCUCGUCUCUUGUUGACAUUGGCAAGGAAAAGGUAUAUCGCAAUCCUUGUAAUGUCACUAAUUGUUUUGGACCUUUCUUUGAUGGAAAUAAUGAUGCUGAAGCUUAUACUGAUUGGGAAAUAGCUCUAAUUGAGCAAUUCACAUGCUUCCAUGUACUAGAUAGUCGUAAGGUCCAAAUUGCUAGUAGUAGAUUUCGUUUUGAUGCAUUAUCAUGGUGGAGUGAGAUAGUUAGAGAAAACAAAAUACCUCACACUUGGAUUGAUAUGAAGAAAAUCAUGAGAGAAAAAUAUGUUCCUCCAAGUUAUGCUUAUGAGUUGUGUUCCAAAUUACGACGUUUGACACAAGAUGAUAAAACUGUUGAUGAUUUGUAACAUCCCAAUUUUCAAAACCCUUCAUACGCAUUGCAUAUCAUAAGCAUCAUGUCACCCUUGCAUUUGAUCACUUUCAAAACCCUAAAGUUUGCCUAGAAAACCCUUUUUGCAAAAAUGCUUUUAUUUGAUUUUGGGCUUUGAUCUUGCUUUUCAGUAUUUGCAUUUUAACCCAUGAGGGUAUUGUGGUAAAAAGGGAUUUAAUGCAUAUAUAGAGCUAUCCCAUAAGUUGGCUUUUGAAAGUAUUUUGAAAAAAUAAUUUGUUUCGAUAGCCUAAGGGCCCUAAAAGCCAUUUUAUAGGCAAAUGUAUUUUUAAGUAUUUUAUUUUGAGGAAAUUCUUGUUCCAAAAGUUAGAUCGUAUGAAAAUAUGAUUUUACAAAUUUUGUUGCAUUUUACUUGGAGUGAUUUGGAGCUCCGAAUCAAUUUUGAGGUUCAAAAACAGAAAAUAGAUAAAAGAAAAGGAAAAACCGAGGAAAACCGGCCGAACCGGCCGAACCGAACCGGACCGGCUCCGCCCAGCCCGAGCCGCCCGCUCUCACUGACCGGUGGGACCCACGCGUCAUCUUCAACCUCCGUCCGAAAAAUCCGGCGAACUGCCCACGACUCCACCUCCGAUUUCUCCGUGCUCGGGCCGUUUUCUCCAAAUCCUUGCGCGUCACCCCGAAGGCCUCGCUUUUCUCCUCCACUUCCCCCAAACCCCACGUCCAAUUUCGCACCGGUUAGAAAGUAAUUGCUCGCCGGAGUUCGUUGCUGCCACCGCCGUUCUUCGCGUUUUCACCGCCGUUCUUCGCGUUUUCACCGCCGUUCCGGUGAGGUCCUCCCCGCGCCACUCCCCUAGCCUCCCUCCUCUCCCCGUCCUGAACGCCGUGACGCGCUCGCCUUUGCGUUUGGCUGCCGCCGCCGCCUCCGCGCCGCCCGCGCGCCCGCCUUCCCGUGCGCCCGCGCCGUGCCCGCGCUCCCGUGCUCCGCCCCGCGCCCGUGCGCCGCCGCCGCCGGCCGCCCUCCGCGCGCAGCCGCGCCCCGCGCCGCCCGCGACCCCGCCGCCUGCCGCGCCCGCCCUACCCUGCGCCGCCCGCCGCCGCCCCGCGCCGCCCGCCGCCAUCGCCGGCCAACCGCGCCGCCUGCCGAAAGCCUAGCCUCGGGCAAAUCCCGCACUGCCACGUGGCAGGGCUUUUGUUUUAUUUUUAUUCGGCCGAAUUAGAUAAUGCACUUUUGCAGAAAAGACCCUACAACUUCAAACCUUUAUAUCUUUUAAACCGUUUGUCCAAAAUUUGUGUUCCGCACCUUUCUGGAAUCGUCACAACGUGUAGAAUAUUUUGGCACUGUUUAUUUUCAGUUUUGAAUAACUUCAACAGUAGCUAUUUACAGAAUGGUGGUUUAUGGUUUAAAUUUCAAAUGAAUUGUUUCAAAAUAGUUUUGAGCAUGUUAGCUUGCUAUAAAAUUAUUUAAACUUGUUCUCUGUCCAUUAGGACCAGAGAAGGAAAUUAUCUUGUGUAUAAUCAGGGCAUACAAGUUAAAUAUUGCUCUAUGUUACAAAAGCCGCACAAUCUUUUGUUUUAAACCCUAUCCAUGUUUCUUGCGUAUUAAUUACCACUUUGAUGUUGUCUAAUCUGUCCAAACCAUUUGAAAAAAAAAAACUUUUCAAAACAGAAACGAAGCUUCUUACCUUAGAAGUAACCUUCGUUGUGCAUCAUCAUAGCAUAUGCAUCAUGGCAUGAUUUUGUAUUGAGUGUUGUGUUUAUUGUGUGUGUUCCUUUUAUUUUAGAUUGCGUGGAGUGUAAUCAUUGUUGUUGCGAAGAGUGCGAGAACUACCACAACCUUGGACAAGGCAAGUUCACUUUGAUCAUUCUCCUAAAUAUUUUACUAUGCACUAGAUGUUUUAUUAGUUGCAUCAGGAAUAUUACUCGUACUUCUAUGCUAGCUAUAAAUCCCAGGUAGUCUAGUUUACCCUCGCCAUUACCUUGCUACCAAAAUUGCCAUCGGUUGUAGUUGAAUGCUAGGCUAUGGUAGUAUCGUGGGGGAAAUAACUACAUUAUGAUAUUGUUAUGCCUUUGGCGAUAUGAAAUGAUUUUGUUAGAUGUAAGGCAAAACAAUUAAUUUAAUGAACCGUCCUGGGUGGGCAGCUUUGAAGAUUUUGAGGAUUAGCGGCGUCAGGUCCAUUUCUAUGGGUCCCUCUGAGUCGAGUUCCUGUGGAUUCAGGAAUGGAUCGUCCAUGAACGUCUCUCCCGUGGAUUCGGGGAGCGCCUACGUUGCAAAGGUGGAAUGCCACCUGGGGUAACCGAGACUGGACUAGUUUCCUAUUUAGAAGCUUCUAGUACAACCACAAUGCUAUAUGGGCUCUGGCGAGACAAGAGUAAGUUGUAUGAACCUAGACCCGAGGAACUGUACUGAGGUAGCCGUGUAGGGGGAGCGCGAUUCUCUCGUGGUUUAGGGAAUUACCUCUGAAAAUCUCGUAAUCGAUGCCGUUGCUACUCUACCCUGAGGACAGCAAGGGAUUAACACGUCGGUUUCUUGUGGGGAAUGUGUACAAACUCUCGAGAGCGUCAAAACUAAGUACUUAGCCGUGUCCCCGGCAACGGACAAUUUGAGCAACUAGAUGUGGAGCUGUAAGGAAAGUCUCACUCAUUCCAAUUUCUUAAAUAAAAUGAAUGGUUUGAACAGGGUAGGAGCACUUGAAGAAUCCACUUCAAUAUACUCUAGGUUAAUAGGAGCAUGGGUGUGUCUACCCCGUGUCCAUUAGUUAACAUUACUAUAACAUCCCUUUGUAGUAGGGUAAUAUAUGUUCUGCUUCCACGCAAACAACCUGAACUCCACUUUGCCACAUUAUGCAUAUACUUGGUAGGUUCUGUUAUAACUCCUAGUGAAUCUUGCCAAUACAUUCAAUGUAUUGACCCUAGCGGCUGCAUCUUUUAAUGAUGCAGGAUGCUCCGACGACGAGUAAGAUGUACGUUAUGUUUGUUGGGUUAGGGGCAUACAUUCCAACACGCUCUCACCGUGGUGUUGAUGUGCCCUUGUAUCUUUCGCUUUCCGCUGCUAAACAGUUGUUUUCUUUCCAGCUAACCCGUGAGGUUAUGCGAGUUGUAAGUACCUUUUUAAAUUCUGGAUGAUUCGUUGUAAUAUUGAGACCUUUGUUCUAUGAUAUUACAUCUUGAAACUGUGUGUGCUAGCGAGUCGAUCCAGGGACUAGCACUAAAGCACAGAGAUCGAACCCGUAUACGGGGGCGGUCGUUUCAGAUGGUAUCAGAGCAUUGUGUUGCCUGUAGGAACGUGACCCUAGCGUGGAUUAGACUAAAAGAGACCAUAGGAUUGUUCUAUGCAUUUCAUACCACUCUAAAUUUGCAUAUUGAGAUACGUGCAUAAUCAUAUACACUUACAAUCAUAUCAAGGUCCAAUGCAUAUGUACUACCUGUAUUUUAUUUCAUCCACUUGCAUCCUCAGAUUUUAUAUGCAUUUAUAUAUACACCUCAUACUACAAAUGUCAUGUUUUCCACUAUUACAAGCAUAGGUCAUGUUUGCAUAACAUACACCUUAUAUUAUCAUCAUUACAGUUAUGCAUCCACCUACUUGAUCAUGUGACUAAUUCUUUUCCCCCACCAUCAAUCUUGUAGAUGAAUGGACCACCAAAUUUCGGAGAUGAGCCACCUUUCACACACGUCCAUUACCCGACAAUUGACGACGACAUCCCGUUUGGGAGACAGCUUGCUACUUUGUGCACGACACUGCACCUGGCAGCACCUUGUUUCCGAGGACGUGCUGAGCCGGUGGGAUCUCAGGGAGGUGCACGCCGCUGGGAGAUCGACACGGAGAUCAGAGGACGGACUGUUGUUCCAUUGACACCCGACAUCACCUACUCCGUGCGCUACCCCGACUUCAUGCUGGGACUCCAGUUCGCCAUGCAACAUGCGAUAGCUCGUGUGUGCGAGGCGUACCAUGAUGAACUGCCUCCGGACUCUGUCUUCCGUAGCUUCGGAAGGCGAGUUGUUGGCGGGAAUGCCGUGGGACCGGAGAUCCUAGGCGAGGAUCCGCACAUGGAGGAUGUUCAGUUUCAAGCUCUGGAGCAGAACAUGGUGGACAUGGGGAAGAGUCUCUACAACGAGAUGACCCGUACAGACAUAGCUGAAGACCAGGUGGGGAUACUCCAAGGUCAACUGACGAUGAAGACAAACGAGGUGAACCGCAGGGGAGAUGUUAUCCUGAACAUGCACGCGAUCAUGGAGCAGAUUAUGUACGAGAAGGAUCUCCUGCAACUUCAGUAUGAUCAGCUCCAAGCCCAGGUCAACAACGCCAACCCUGCACCAGCACAAGCUCCACCACCCCCUCAGGACGAGCAGAUGGAGCCACAGGAGGAGGAACCUCAGGAGGCGCAGGAGAUGGACACACCUGCCACCCGCACCCGUUCCAGGGCGAAGAACUCCGGGAACACCAAUUUCCUCUCACUUCCUUAGUUUUGGUUUAGAGCCCGCCAAACUAUUAUUAUAUUAUAUUCGUUAUCGUGUUAGUCAUUGACCAUGCCGUCGUUGUGGUAUGGCAAUGUAGAUUCGUGUGUUUAUUUGCAACUCUACACUUGUGUUUAGGCUGGUACGCCUGGUGAACUAUUCGUUUUGGAUGUUAAAAUCCUAGUGAAUGCUAUUGCUUGUUUUAUAGAUGACUUGUUUCAUGAUUGAAUUGUCAUGCUUGUGUUAUGCUUGUUGUUUGAACUGUUGUAUUGCUUGUGUUGUGGGGCUUAGUUUUCUCUUAGAUCCUGUCUAUCUAUUUUCUCAUCUAUGCUGUCCCAAAACAGAUGCCGCCGAGACGUGAAACCCGCCGCAGUGCCGACAACAAUGAGGAGGGUCAGGACAACAACGCCACUAUGUAGCAACUACUGGCUGCACAGACUCAGAUUUUACAAGCCUUGACCCAGCAGAUGAACAACAACAACAAUAACAACCACAACAACCAGAACCCCAACCCACCACCUCAAGUGGACAUGUUAACCAGGUUUCUGAGGCUGCGUCCACCAACAUUCACCAGCUCCCUGGAACCGAUUGUAGCUGAUGAUUGGCUUCGUUCUGUGAGCAAUGAAGCUGACAAGGUGAGGUUUGCUGCUCACCUGCUUGAAGGACCUGCCGCAGCUUGGUGGGAGACUUAUCAGAUUACCACACCCAUGGAAGAAGUCACAUGGGAAAUGUUCCAAGAAGCCUUCCGCACCGCCCACAUCUCUGCAGGUGUGCUGAGCUUGAAGAAAAGGGAAUUCCACAAACUAAGGCAAGGGAACAGGACCGUGUCAGAGUACAUUGAAGCUUUCAACAAGUUGUCUCGCUAUGCCCCGGAUGACGUCAACACUGAUGCAAAACGCCGGGAAAGGUAUUUGGAUGGCUUGAACGACGAACUCGCCGUUCAACUGGCAGUUGUUUACAUCCCUACCUACCAGUCCCUCAUCGACAAAGCCAUCAUUCUUGAGAACAAGCAGAAUCAGAUGGAGAACAGAAGGAAGAGGCCUCACCAUGGCAACAACCACGCUGGUCCACACCAGAAGCCGCGCACCUCGUACGAGGGUAGUGGCAGCUCUUCGAUGGUUAAGCAUGGUGGAAAUCAUCAGAAUCACCAUGGAGGGAGUGGACACUAUCAUCGCCAUGGAAAUCAAGGACACCACCACCACCAGGGAGGAAAUGGCAGCCGGAACCACCAGCACCAACACCAACACCAGCAUCCAAGGAUCAACAGCAACAAAGGCAGUGGCCAUAACAAUGGAGGAAACCCAGGACAGAACCACACCACUGGCAGGGAUAUGAGCCAAGUGCAAUGCUUUAAGUGUCACAAGAUGGGGCACUACUCCAAUGAUUGUCCGGAGAAGUUCAAUGAGGCUGGAGCAAAGCCUAACCCAUUUCAGAAGGGCAAUGUGAACCACGUCAACGUGGAAGAAAUCACGGAGGAGCAAGGUAUCGUAAUCGGCACCUUCCGUAUAAAUUCUUUUGUUAUGCCUUUGGCGAUAUGAAAUGAUUUUGUUAGAUGUAAGGCAAAACAAUUAAUUUAAUGAACCGUCCUGGGUGGGCAGCUUUGAAGAUUUUGAGGAUUAGCGGCGUCAGGUCCAUUUCUAUGGGUCCCUCUGAGUCGAGUUCCUGUGGAUUCAGGAAUGGAUCGUCCAUGGACGUCUCUCCCGUGGAUUCAAUGUAUUGACCCUAGCGGCUGCAUCUUUUAAUGAUGCAGGAUGCUCCGACGACGAGUAAGAUGUACGUUAUGUUUGUUGGGUUACGGGCCUACAUUCCAACACGCUCUCACCGUGGUGUUGAUGUGCCCUUGUAUCUUUCGCUUUCCGCUGCUAAACAGUUGUUUUCUUUCCAGCUAACCCGUGAGGUUAUGCGAGUUGUAAGUACCUUUUUAAAUUCUGGAUAAUUCGUUGUAAUAUUGAGACUUUUGUUCUAUGAUAUUACAUCUUGAAACUGUGUGUGCUAGCGAGUCGAUGCAGGGACUAGCACUAAAGCACAGAGAUCGAACCCGUAUACGGGGGCGGUCGUUUCAGAUGGUAUCAGAGCAUUGUGUUGCCUGUAGGAACGUGACCCUAGCAUGGAUUAGACUAAAAGAGACCAUAGGAUUGUUCUAUGCAUUUCAUACCAUGGAUUAGACUAAAAGAGACCAUGGAUACACUAUUCAAUUAAUUGGAGAACAUGACGUGAACAAUAAAUUUUGGGUGCAUCAGAUUUGCAUUGCUUGUGAUAACUUUCUUGAUUUGAGAGAAAAUAAUAUGUUGCAUAUGCUUAACCAUUUUGAUAUGACCUCCAAUAUUGGUGUUCAAUUCACUACCAUUUUGACGGUAUUUUGUUUUCUCUAACUAUCUUACACCACCAUGAUAAUGCAUCAAAACGAAAUUUACUACUAGCAAUUUGGACCUUACGACUAUCUAGUACAUGGAAGCAUGUGAAUUGUUCUGUUAAAGCUAGCUCCCAACCUAUAUACGUUUCAGCAUCAUUUUCCCCCUCAAAGAAAGGUACACACAAUUUAAUUGUAUUAGAAGGAUUGUUUUGUACCGUUGCCGUGGCAUUAUCAACAAGAGACGUGGAGGAUGGCCGUGGUGAAAAGCACUCAUCGCGGUCACGGGAUAGCAUCGGUCUAGUUGCCAUGCUUCGUGUAAGUCCUGUCAUGGUUAGUAGAAAACAAGAAACAAAUCACAGUAAUAUGUUCCUAUCAACUACUAGGAUGUGGCUACAAGUCGCUCAACUCUCAAGCUAAAAAUCAAGUUCUUACAAGUUCUUACCAUGCAAAACAGGAAGGUGAUGGCCAGCGGCGUAACCAACACCUCCGGAGAUUAAAUGUAUCGAUGCCUUGGUAACAAACCAACCUAGGUGUAGAAUCUGUGGAGUUUGGAGGCUUUUGUGAGUAGCAAGGAAUAGCAAAUAAUCAAAUCAGCAAUGCAAAGUUGAAAAUAUGCUCAAUAAUGCUAGUCCUAGCUGCUGGAGUCGAUAAGAACGAAUUACAAAAAUAAUCUAAGCCUAGAUACUGAAGAAGGUAGGAUAGAAAGAUGGCACAAUAAGUAAAUCCCUGGCAUUUUUUUUCUUUUUUUUUCUUUUUGUGGCCUUCUGUUUGGCUUCUUAUUCUUUUCUUCUUUUUUUUUCUUUUUUUAACCCCAGAAACUCACGCAAAAGAAGGACCGGAAAACUGUACGUCGGUCUGUCGAAGAACAGCAAAGGCUGCAGUAAGAAAAAAAUCAGAAAAAUAUGGGUCAGAAGGGUAUCGACACAAGCUUUCCAGCAAGGGCAAGAUCACUCAAAACGGAUGUCGGACGGUGGAGAAAACUGAGAAACACCGGGCUGCAGCGACGCCGGAAAACGGAUGCAGAAACUUGGAAGCUCCGAAAGUCCACCUUACAAACCGAAUUUGAGGGUCAAAGUGCAGGGAAAGCCUUGGAUAUUUCCUGAUGCGCCUCGUCGUGAGCUUUCCAAAAAGUCCAAGAACGUCCAAAUCCGAGUUGGUACGCAAAAGAUACGCCCGUUUUACUGAACACGGGUCAAACCCACCCGAAACUAAAAUUCUACUCGGACUCGACUGACUCGAACUCUUUCUCUUUUUUUUUCCUUUUUUUUCUUUCUUUCCUUUUUUUUCUUUCCUUUCUUUUUUUUUUUGACAACUUUCCGAACAACUUGAUCUCUAAACAAAAUUCGAUCUAUUAUGAAAACUUUCCAAAAGCACUCUUGAUUGGACUCGGACUCGAACUUGCGGCUGAAAACUAUAACUUGCCGACUCAAUGUAGAACUCGAUGUAGGACACGGUGUAGGACUCGACGAGGGACUCGGUGUAGGCCUCGAAGAGGGACUCGGUGUAGGACUCGAUGAGGGACUCGGUGUAGGACUCGAAGAGCGACUUCGUGGAAGAUAUGGUGGCGGCGGGAGAUUAUGGCGGUGGUGUGGCAGGAAGUUUGGCGGCGGAAGAUUGAUGAAGGAAACCUGCGUCACACGAAGAACAAGAAAACCAAAAGCAAGUUCGAUCUAGUAGAAAAAAAUCUGAAAAACGAUCCAAUCUAAUCCAGCGACUCGACACGAUUAAUGCAGCAAAGAUUCAACAAUGCAAAUACUAAAGUGAAAAUUGCAAGGCUCAGAUUGGUUCUAGGACAAGGUAACUAAUUCUAAUUUUUGUUUGGCUUUUUCUGGACGAUAGGUAAAAACAGAUCUAAACUAGGGAUAAACUGGAAAAAUCUCACCGAGCAACCUUAAGCUCUGAUACCACGUGAUACGGGUGCGGGUGGCCCGAUCUUUCGAUGAGAUUGAUAACUCUCGAUUUGGGUAGGAGGUGACGUUGACGAUCUGACUACGGCCUAGGAGGUAGCGCCUUAGCAAUCGAUACACCAACUCCAGAGGGUUAUUGAUCACGCGGGGGCACGAUCAACCUGACCACGAAGGUCUUUGUUCCUGCAAGCAAUCGAAGAACAAGCAAGAACAAGAUAAAUAGCGGAUGCAAUCUAAAAUUGUGAGUAUACUAUAUCAAACCAAUGUCUCAACGAGACGAUAAGUUGGGGUUCCGAAAGCGGUAAAACAGGUGGUCUAACCGACACACGCGAUUACACGAAGUAGUAGCGAUGGCUAACUUUUAACUAAACAAAACCCAAGGCUCCUUAGGGGGGCUCGUGGGGUAUGUAAAGGAGGAGGGAGAGAUAUUUUCGUCCACCUUGAAUAAGGAGUCCGAAAUCCAACUCUAUCUCUAACUUUCCUAACAAACUACAACUCUUUAGGAAACAGAAAAACAGAUCCGUCAGCUUGUUUUGUCCGUCACGGUCAGCACGAGUGAAUCUCUUGAUGGGGCCAGAUCCUUUGGAAAGGUCUUGUAAUUACCUUUCCAACAAGUACUUAUUUGCUUGAUUUGGACUCCGGAUGCGGCCUGAGUGAUUAAAACAAAUUCGGGUCUCCUGACAGCUCGGACCCGAAUCGGAUUCAACUUUAAUUCGUGAUAUCUUUCUCUAGCAAGCUCCGAAUCAUGUGCCGUUUGAUUUGUUGGAAAGUAGACUUGAUAGGCUUCACUUUGAAUCUCCCUUUGCAGGCUAUAACACUUCAUCUUCACUUUGGACUUGUAAAGUUCAAUAAGAUGCCUACAUAAUAAGAUUACACAAGAUAGUAGCUCCGCCUCUUUGCAAGUAACAUAUUGAAAACAUUUUGUAAUUGAAUUCACCUGAUUAUAAUUAUUAGAGACACCAACGAUUAGAGUUCUAAUGGUCGUAUCCAUGGUUAGCAUGUCCAUAUCAUCUUCCAUGUAUCGCAACUGAAGAACUGUCAUCCUGAGAUGGCCGACACACCACUAAGGGAUACAAUAUCGCUAGAAGAAGUCCAACUGCAGAGGGACCUCACCUAUGAGGAGAAACCGAUCAGAAUCUUGGAUACAGCUGAGCGACAAACCCGAUCCAAGACCAUCAGGUUUUGCAAAGUUCAGUGGGACCAUCACGCUGAAGAGGAAGCCACUUGGGAACAUGAAGAUGAUCUUCGAGAAGACCUCUUUGCUAGCCACACCGAAUCUCGAGGUCGAGAUUCAUCUUAAGGGGGUUAGGUCUGUAACAUCCCAAAAAUUUCAAACUUUUACAUGUACAUUGCAUCCAUGAGCAUCAUGCCACAAUUGCAUAUUUGAAUUCAAAUUUGAAUCUCAAAAGGCUUUGGAAAUAUUUUAUUCCAAUUUAAACCUUAGGGUAUACACCCAUUUGAGCUUUGGAUCCUCAAACCAAUAAGGUUUAUUUUAUAAAAGGGGUUUAUUGCAUAAAUGAGCUAUCCCAUAAUUUCUGGAUAAUUAUUUGGAGUUGAAAAACUAUUUUAUUUAAAUAGUUAUAUAGCCCUACAGGCAAUUAUAGGGCAAUUGUAUUUUUAUAUAUUUUAUUUUGAGGUCAAAUUACUCUCAAAAGUUGAAUUAUGGUAGAACAUGAUUUUACAAAUUUUCUGGAAUUUAUUUGGACCAAUUUGGAGUUCAAAAUCAAAAGAUAUCAAAGAAAUGAGAAAAUGAGAAAAAGAAAAGGCUAAAAGAAAAAAAAAGGGGGAACCGGACCGACCCAACUAGGCCGGCCCCGUCCCGCGCGCGCCCGAGUCCGAGCAGGCCAUAGCCCCGCGCCACGCCUGCCGCCGUGAGACGCUGACAGGCGGGGCCCGCCUGUCAGGGGCGUCUUCCCCGCAGGGAAAGGCCGCCCGUCUCGGCGCGACGCUCGCGCGCCAUCGCCGCCGCCAUCCGCGCCGCCCUGUCCGCUCCGUGCUUCCCUCGCCCUGUCACCCGCGUCCCUUUAAAGCCAGCGCCCCCCUCUGCCAUUCCCCUCUCCCAAUUUCUCGCUUCUCGCGCCCACGCUGCCGGGAUUCCUCGACGAAGUUACGUCCGGUCGCCGCCGUCCUCGCGAAACCGCUGCCACUCCGGUGAGUUCUUCGUUUUGGGUUGAUCGCAGGUCGCCGACCGCCGCCCGUGCUCGCCGCCGACCGCCGUCCGCCCGACCCCGCGCCGUCCGCCUCCAUCCGCCCGAGUCCGAGCCACCCCGGCUGUCCGUGAGCCCGACCGCGCCGCCGCCGUCCGGUCGCCGCCGCCGCCGCUUCUCCUUCGUCUCCGGCCGCCGGUGAGCCUCCCCCUGCCCUCCACCGUUGGAUCUCGAUCUAACGGCCCAAAAAGAAACCCUAGCUCGAACCGGUAUCGGCCAAUCACGUGGCGACACGUGGCAUUGCUUUAUUAAAAGAAAAAUCUAAAUUUAAUCCCCGGAAUUUUAGAAAUGGCACUUUUGCAGAGAAGCCCCUGCAACUUCAAAUGCUUAUAACUUUUAAACCCUUUGGCCAAAUUUGACAAACUUGACCUUUUUGGAAAGCUCUCAACCUGUAGAAUCUUUUGGCACUGUCCAAUUUCAAAUUUGAAUAUUUGAAUCACAUUCAAAAUACAGAAUAGGGUUUAAUGUCAUUUAAUUCAUAACUAAUUAUUUACAAGUCCUUUUCAACUGAAACCAGUGCGCAAAUUUUUUAUUUAUUAUCCUCUGUCCAUUGCGACAGGGAAAUAAAUAUUUUGAAUCAAAUUAUUUGGCUGAUGCCAACAAAACUAUAAAUUAGGGUGUUAAUCAAUUGUUUUUGCCUUUUGUUUAAAACCUAAUUUUAAUUACCAAUGCUUAGGAGCAUGUUGCACCAGUGGCACCCGGGGUACCACCGCUGUGCUACGCGCGAGCCCCUCUUCCUGGUUCCUGGGAAGGUCUCAUCCCGGGGAGCGCCUAUGAGCUCCCCGGCAAGCUACCAGCCCGAAAGGGGCUAGCGGGGCUUCGGGUAAUAUUCCCGCUUGGGCACCUCCCGGGAAGCGGCUUCCCAGGAGGGGAUUCCGGGGUGCGUUGGGCCCGGGUGCUUCCCGGGGUCGACUUGCUGGGACUGGGGGUUCCCGGGCGCGUGCCCCCGCCUCGGGUCGUGGGGCCCAGUGGACAGCGCCACGCGGGCGCGUGGCAGGCGCGGGACGCGCGGUCCCACCAAGGCAAGGAGUAAGGUGCGCGGCUCAGUAAACGAGCCGACCGACGGGUAGUUACCCGUCCGAUCCAAGGAACAGUGGUUGUCUAAUCCUAACCUAGGAUCUUAGGCCCCUAGCAGCGGAGGUGGCACCCAUGCACGCCACCAGCUCACCGGGGGGAGUUGCAUGCCUCCCCGUUGGACACUUGUAGCUCAUGCACCGUGGCACAUGUGGCAUCCCCUUGUGUAUAAAAGGAGGACCCAUGCCAACGGUCAAGGGGGUUAGUCAGUUGGUCAGUUAGUCAGCUGGACAGUCGUUCAGUUCCGCAAGUUCCCUUCGCUGGCUCGAUAGAUGCUUAGUGGCUCCAGUAGGCAGCCAGCAGAGAGCGGUGAGGAGUGCUUAGACACUGAGAGGAAGCCUGGGAGCUUGUCCGGCAACCUAUAAACAUUUGAUCCGUAAUCAAUAUUAGACUAGCGCGUACCCUUAGCACUUCAUCUCGCUGGCCCCGUAGGGCCUCAUCGGCCGUGCCGGCGAUCACCGGGUCUCCGCCCCAGAUGCCCCUGCCAAACCUAAAAAGGGGACGUGGCCGCACGCCCCCGGUGUCGGAGCACCGAGCGACGACAUCGGGCGCGCCAGGUAGGGGGCGCGGGAGUGGACAACGCCGGGGAUCGCCGACAGCAGAAGUUUCCAUCGGCGUUGGCUUCGCUCUUCUUCACCGACAAGCCUAGUCACCAUGCCCCCCAAGCAGGCUGGUGACUCACGCAUAGACCCGCGUGAGGCCCCAGCGGCGCACAUGCGGUCGCACGACCCGAGGCAAGGCUCAAGAGAACCCCGAGCCCUCGAGGGUGCAGCAAACGCAGCUGCCUCCGCUGCCUCCUCAGCCGUCGACCGACAAUCGUCCAAGGGGACCGGCUGCCCCCAGUGCCAGGGGCAGUCGGGCGAGCACGCACGUCGUCGCCCGGGCCAGCCAAUGGGUUGAGUCGCGGCCUGAGGACGCCCCGCGGCAGCGGCACCAGGAGCACGUCGCGUCACGGGCAACCCCUGGGGGUUCGCACCCUGCACACCCGGAGGCGUCCGGGGCCAGGGCGGGAAGCAGCUGUUCAGGAAACUGGCUCCCCCUCGUGCGAACCCCGACUGAAGCCAUCGUCGCCAUGCGCGUCAUGGUGCGGUACGAGCAGCAGCAGGGCACGCCGGCGCACGAGACGUGGGGCGAGGAGUUGGAAGCGCUUCUCGCCCUGGCCGCAAGGCGAGGGCUCCCCGGUAGGCUCCGGCCACGGGCAGAACCCGGAGCGCGGAGGCGCGCCACCCGCCUCACGACAGGGGGAGAACCCUCCCCCUCCUCGGCGAGACCAAGGAGACGGGGGCCCGGAGGGGUCCUCAAACUCAUCGCCCACCGUUCUGGGGGGCGAUGCGCGUGGCAUCUUGAAUGCCCGCCAGCAGGAGGAUCUGCGCCCGCGCUUGGAGCGCCGACACAGGCGCGAGGUGGAGUGCCCGCGCCCACCGGAGCAGGAAGACGCUCCCCUGGGCCCCGAGGACGGCUGCACCACGUUCACGCGCGAGUUGCGGCGGGUGACGUGGCCCCGUAAGUUCCCAGCGCCUGCGCUCGGUACGUACGACGGGACCGCUAACCCCAAGGAUUUUCUCCUGACCUACACGUUGGGCAUGCAUGCCAUCGGCACUGACGACAAGGUCAGGGCGAACUGGUUCCCGAUGGUCCUGAAGGGAUCAGCGCAAACCUGGUUGCUCAACCUGCCCGCCGGGUCCAUCGCCACAUGGGCAGACCUGCGCGAGCAGUUCGUGAGCGAGUUCCAGGGCGGUUAUAAGCACCCGGGAACCAUGGCGGAGCUGCACACUAUCGUGCAAAAAUCGGGAGAGACGUUGCGGGCCUUCGUCAACCGUUUCUCCAAUCUCUCCUAUUCCAUCCCGGAGGCAGAGGCGGCCGCCAUCAUUGACACCUUCGCCAUCAACGUCCGCGAUCCCAAGAUGCGUGAGAAGCUGAGCACGCAUCGGAUCCGGACGACGCGGGACUUGUACGCCUUGGCGCACAAGUGCGCCAUGGCCAAGGAAGGGUGCCUACCGCCCGAGCUGGCAGCCCAGGCUGCCGCGAGCCCUGGCGAGGGCUCGCAGAAGAAGGGUUCCCGCAAGCGCAGCGGGAAGCAAGUCCUCGCUGCAGACUCGGGGGCCCCUACCGCGAGGCCCGCGAAGAAGGCGUCGCCGGGUGGAGAGUCUGGUGGGAAGCCGGGCGACGCGCCCCGCUGCCCCGCACAGCAAUUCCACCCACGACGCACAGAAUAUCCGCAUCCUGCAGGGGAUCAAGCAGCGGCGGGAGCAGCGCCCCGAGGAGCGCCGCGCCGCCGGAGCCUGCUUCAAUUGUGGUGACAUCGGGCAUCUCUCCCGAGAUUGCCCGAACGAUCCCAGAGCGGGUACGAGGCUGGCCGGCGGUGGUGCCGGCAGGGGUGAACCCCAAGGGGGGCGCAGCCAACCCCGCGCUGCGUGGGAACGCCCCCCUCGGGGACGCGACAGGGCCCGCGCUGAGGAGCAGCGCGAGUCCGACUAUACCGGCGGCGACGAACCGGGCUUCCAAGAGCCUCGUGGCAUCGCCUGCAUUCAUGGGGGAGCUUACGCUCUCCCAUCUCACGCCGCGGUGAAGCGCCUCACCCGUGACGUGUGCGCGCUAUUGCCGGAUGCGGAGCCGCAACAGCCGCUGAGGUGGUCGCAUGUGCCGAUCACCUUCAGUGCCGACGAUCACCCAGCGCGACAGUUGGGUUCAGGGGUAAUACCCUUCGUCGUCUCGCCGAUCAUUAGCAGUAUGAUGGUGACCAAGGUGCUGGUGGACAACGGAGCGGGGCUUAACCUCCUGUCCGCCAGGCUGGUGGAAAAGCUCCAGCUGCCGAUGGAGCAGCUGCAGCCCACCGAACCGUUUCGGGGGGUGAACCCCGGGAUCGUGCGCCCGCUGGGACGCAUCACGCUGCCGGUCACCUUCGGGUCCCGGGAAGCGUUCAGGACCGAGCACAUAGUGUUCGACGUGGCGCAUACCCCGUUGCCCUACAACGGGAUCCUUGGUCGGCCGGCACUGAUCAAGUUUAUGGCGGCUACGCAUUGCGCCUAUGGCGUAAUGAAGAUGCCGUCUGUCUAUGGAGUCCUCUCCAUCAGGUGCGACCUCAAAGACGCGGUUUGGUGCGUUGGCGAGGUCGUCCGGGCCGCUGCUGCAGCUGAUGUCGGCGACGAGGAGGUUGUCGAGGACGACGGCUUGCCGGGUGAUGCCCCAGCAACGAAGAAGGCUCGCGCCACCCCAGAAGGGCUUCCCAGGGGAGGCGCAGGCUCGAUCUCGUGCCCCGGCAAGGGGCAGGGGCUCUAGGAGGAGGCCACCAAGGUGAAGAAGCUGCCCUUCCAAGCCGGCGACAAGGAGCACACCGUUACCGUCCGUCGCUCACCCAAGGAGUAACGGACAGGAGGAGCGAGCCAACGCAGAGGUUCUGCGGGGUGCUCAAGACGAGAACCUUUGACAAGCUCAAAGGCCAUGGGAAGCACUGGAUCGAAGAACUCCAGCCCGUGCUGUGGUCCAUCCGGACCACACCUAGUCGGGCAACGGGCAAAACUCCUUUCGCCCUUGUCUACGGGGCAGAAGCGGUGCUGCCCUUCGAGCUCAAGUACGGAUCUCCCCGAGUACGCGCGUACGGCGACACCAGCCAACAUGAGCAAAGUGUCGUCGCUCGGUGCUCCGACACCGGGGGCAUGCGGCCACGUCCCCCUUUUAGGUUCGGUAGGGGCGUCUGGGGUGGAGACCCGAUGAUCGCCGGCACGGCCGAUGAGGCCCUACGGGGCCGGUGAGACCAAGUGCUAAGGGUGCGCGCUGGUACAAGAACAAGUGCACGCACGUUUUUUACCCAGGUUCGGGCCACCCGGAGGUGUAAAACCCUACGUCCUGCCUGUCUGAACUGAUAUUGAUGGUGGAUCAAACGUUUACAAGUUGCCGGGCAAGUUCCCGGGCUUCCUCUCAAUGUCUAAGUACUCCUUACUGCUCUCUCCUGGCUGUCUACUGGAACCAACUGACCAACUCACUAACCUGCCAACCGUCUAACCCCUUUGACCGUUGGCAUGGGUCCUCCUUUUAUACACAAGGGGAUGCCACAUGUGCCACGGUGCAUGAGCUACAUGUGUCCAAGGGGGAGGCAUGCAACUCUCCCCGAUGAGCUGGUGGCGUGCAUGGGUGCCACCUUCGCUGCUAGGGGCCUAAGACCCUAGGUAGGAUUAGACAACCACUGUUCCUUGGAUCGGACGGGUAACUACCCGUCAGUCGGCUCGUUUACUGAGCCGCGUGCCUUACUCCUUGCCUUGGUGGGACCGUGUGUCCCGCGCUCGCCACGCGUCCGCGCGGCGCUGGCCACUGAGCCCCACACGCGAGGCGGGGGCACGCGCCCAGGAACCCCCGCAAGUCGACCCCGGGAAGCACCCGGGCCCAGCGCACCCGGGAAGCAGCUUCCCGGGAGGUGCCCAAGCGGGAAUGUUCCCCGAAGCCCCGCUAGCCCCUUUCGGGCUGGUAGCUUGCCGGGGAGCUCAUAGACGCUCCCCGGGACGAGACCUUCCCAGGAACCCGGGAGAGGGGCCCGCGCGUCACGCAGCGGUCGUACCCCGGGUCCCACUGGUGCGACAGUAGCCCCCGGGCGUGGGCCGGCAUCACCCGUUCCCGGAAGGGUCUCCCCCUGGUCGGUUGCCGGGCUACGCCCUUAACCGACGCGUGGGCCCCGAUCAGUUGCCGGCCCGCGUCCCUUCGCUGCCCCGCGUACGGCGCCGUUACAGGCGGAGUAGUGGGCACGCGAUCUCCGCCCUAACUCCCCCCCUAAAUAGGGUAGUUCAGGCCACUCCGCGCAUUACUCCCAGUGAUUAGGAGUUAUCCCCGCGCACCCGUAGGGUACGGAACCGGCCAUUACCAAACGACCGGGCGACAUAAAGCCUCCACUGUUGCCAAAAGGGGAACAACACUUUGCCCUUUCGCCUCCAUCCUCUUCCGCAUCUCGUAUCCCUGCGCUCCUGCCAGCUUCCGCCCUCGCUUUCCAUGGCGCCCCCCACCACCAGGAAGGGGAAGGAGGUCCAAACCUCGACGCUCCGGCACGCCGUCGCCUCAAGCUUCAACGAGCACGGGGAGACGCAGAUCUUCCCGGCGGGCGUCGAGCACCAGGACAACGAUUUCCGGGUGUUCGCGCGAUUCCUCCUCUGCGGCAUGGUGCCGCCCUUCUCUUUGUUCCUCCACGCACUGAUGGAAUCUUAUCAGUUGCGGGUGGCGCAGCUCCACCCCACCUCGCUCUUCCUCCUCGCCACCUUCCAGUUCCUCUGCGAGGCGUUUGUGGGGGUGAUGUCGUCGGUGGGGCUCUUCCGCCAUUACUUCUACCCGCGCAUCGACAACGCGAAGGCGAUGUCGUCAGGGGUGGUCUUCCACGCCCACAAUCAGAUGAAGUCCGAGUUCAUCGUCUGGUCGGGGAAGAAGAUUGAAAAAGAGUGGCGGGCCGACUGGUGCUGGGUCCGGGUGGAGGACCCCCAGGAGUUCAUCCAGCCGCCGACGGAGUUGCCGAUACCCCAGAACGGCUGGCAGGACAGGUACCAUCACGACGCCGACCUCCUCCCCAUCGUGGAGAAGAUCAAGGCGUUGCGGCUAGCGGGGCUCACCGAUGUCGACGUGGCACGCACCUUCGUCCAUCGGCGCAUAGCCUCGCUGCAGCUACGUUCCCGGCCCGUGUGGAUGUACAUGGGCUCCGAGGACAGGACACGCCUCCAGGCGGACGGCAUGGACUGGGAGUCCCUCAGGACGUGGGUGAGGGGGAUCUCCGGCAAGAUCUUUCAGUCGACGGAGUUUCCGCCGGGGGUUUCCGCUCUCCACGCUGGCGUCAGGGCGCUCAGCGACAUCGUCGGCGCCUUCCCGCCCUGCAACGAGUGGGGGCUGAUGGACGACACCCCCACCCGGGUCCCUCACGCUCCCCCGCAGGCAUCCUGCGGGAAGCAGGUGCUCGAGGAGAGCGUAGGCGGGUCCGAGCCCAGCUGGCCCUCCCUCCGGUCGCUGGACGACGAGGCGGGCCAGGUGGCCGCGUCCCCGGAAGUCGUCGCCGUGGAGGACGUCGACGAGGAAAGCAGCGACAGCGCGCCCUUGAUCGUGAGAAGAUCGAGGGCGUUCGCAGCGGCUGCAGCAGUUUCCUCAACGGCGACGUCCGCCCCAGCAGCGGCCACCAACCUGGCAGCGGCGACAGCUUCCGGGGCACCCGCCGGUACCCCGACGGCAUCCGCGGCAACAGGGGCCGCGAGUGCCUCGGCGGUAGCCCCUGCCUUGGCGGCGGCCGCCAGCUCUGCGUCCAUUUGGCAUCAGCAAGAGCAUCGGCAAGGUCUAGAGGGAAAACUUUCUAUAUGGAAAUGGGAGAGGAGAGGCAAAGGCUCAAAGUGACGCGCGUGGAAUUCUUUUAUACCGGCCGAGGAGGGAGAUCGGGAGCGGGAUGCCAACGGGCGGCAUUCGGGGCGCGACAGUUGGAAAUGGCGAUUAAGAUAGGAAACGACAAAUUGAUUGCCUGAAUCGGUUCCUGGGAUGGUGGGGAUGGACGAGGUGGUUUCUUUUCGAAGAAGAAAAUGCGGGAAGGAAAGAAUCGAAGGAGGGAAUCAUGGCUGCAGUUACAGGCACAUGGACACGUCCUUCUGUUCGUGCGCGUGCGAGAGGAGGAGGACGAGCUCGUGGCUGCUGGGCAGGGCGUUGGGGAGGUAAGUGGGCCGGCCCAGUUGGGUCGGUCCAAUCCUUUUUCUUUUUUCUUUUUUUUCUCUCUAUAUCUUUUGAUUCCUAACUCUAAAUAAGUCCAAAUAAACUCCAGAAAAUUUGUAAAUUCAAAUCCUCCAAAGUGUGAGCUUUUGGGACUUGAAUCCUUUCAAAAUAAAAUAAGUAAAAAUACUUUUUCUUAUAUAAAUGUCAUUAGGGCUUUAUAACUAAUAAUUAAAAUAGAUUUCAAAAUCUAUUAUGAAACUUUGUUUCAUAAUUUUGUUUAAACUCCAAUAAAAUAUUGGGUUGGCAUACUUUGCACUAACAGCCUUCCUUACAUAAUACUCCAUUGGGUUGGACUCCAAAUAUAAUCUUAUAAUAUUUAUAUGGUUCAAUAGAUUUAUAACACCAAAUCACAAAUCAUGUAAACCAUCGCAGAUGUUUCCAACUAUAUAUUUAUUUGGGAUGUCACGUUAUCCCAGUCUCAAUGACGGAAUAUAUGUUGGAAUAACAUUUGCACAUGAGGAUGUCACGUUAUCCUCUUCUCGAAUAUUUGAUAGUUUCCUCUCGGAAACAAAAUGAACACGACAAAAUAAAUAUCGAGAAAAACAUAGGUGAAUCAUUAAAUAUGUUUUCCAUCCAUAUACUUGGGAAAGUCAUAUUAUUCUCUUUCUUUAACAUUUAAAUAAAUGUCGGAAAUCAUUUCUAAUUGAUUCAAAUAUUCCAAUGAUGCUCUCAAAUGGUCAUGGCAUCCAAAUCGGAAACUUUGUGUGCUAAUAUAUCCUUCAAAAGGAAAUAGGAUUUAUUAAGAUGCGAAUAAUAGUCCGGAUAGAAUCAUAAUAUGCAAAUGGUUUCAAAUAAAAUACUUUGAACUUAUAUAAAUCUUCCAACCAUGUUGUAUAAUUUGGAUAGUCGUAUCAAUGCAUUCUUUUGUUGAAUAUUCAACCAUGGUGUGAAAAAAAAAUUAAAUAACUAGUAAAAAUUCAAAAUCCUUCAGAAUUUCAUAACCAAAAUAUUUCCAAAGCAAAUAUUUUAUGUAAAAUAUUUAUUUUAUUUAACAUUCCAAAAUUGGAAAAUUUGGGAUGUUACACCUUGAUAGGAGCACGCUUGAGCGGAGGCUGCUUCUCUCAAGGUGGAGCUGGCUGCAGUGAGUGACGGCCCGAUGCUCGCUCCUCGUGCUCGCCCUCCUCCCGAUCGUCGUCCCGAGGUGGUUUCGCUUUUACUUCCUCAGGCCACCGAGAUUCGAGAGACGAUGAUUUGCUUGAGGAGCAUUUCCCAGCCGGAGCUUCCUCCGUGUCGUACGGUGGAUGAGGCGAGCAGGGUGCUUACUUCCCAGGUAGAGCUCAUCGAGCCUACCGUGAAGAAGUGCCUCCUGAGUACGGGUGCUCGACUUGUUUCGUCGGCGGUUGUGGCAGUCCUGGAUGGCGGUGCCGCGAUGAGCGGGCUUGAGGGUGAGAUGUCUCACGGGGCGAAGAAGUUUUUGGCUAACUAGGGUGCUCCUCUUCGCGCUCAGGCUCGACGCUUCGUGCGUCGCCUUGAGCCCGCUCUUCAGGAGGGGACGGUGAGGUGUGAGCCUCGUCGCCCUCGGAGCUGAUGAUGUACCUCAGCUGCUUACUUAUGCGAUGUUGCAUACAUUUGACUUAGCCUCAUGGCUAGCAUGUUUAGGCUUUUGGUCGUAGAGGUUGUAAGGCAGUUUUUUUGUUGUGUUUCAUGCUUCACUUUGCAGUCAACAUUAUCGGAAACGUUACGCUCAGCCGGGCAGCAUGAGGGGCUGCGAGAUGAGAUGACACAUUACAGGGCCCGGGAGGGGGUGAGUGCACUUGAGAAUAUCUCAAAGCAGCUUGCUUAACCCUGUGUGGGCCAAAGCAAAAAAAAAACAUGGUACUUUACCUUUCAUGGGCGUCUGCCACGUGGGCCCAGAUGGCGCCUCAAGCCAGCACCACUCGAUCAUGACCAGCUAGUUAGCUUAAAAAGUUAAAGUCCUUAAAAAAAGCUUACAAGCAAACGGGUUGUAAAAUACUCUGAAAAUACAUUCCCGAAAAAGAAUAUCAAAAGAAUCCAAUCAUACCAUUCGAGGACAUGUCACCUGUUGUGUUUUGAUACUUCACUAUGCAGUCAACAUUAUGGGAAACGUUAACGCUCAGCAUGUAUUUCUCAUGUUUCACCAUGUAGUCGACAUUAUCGGAAAUGUUAAUUUGGCUCAACAUGUGUUUCUUGGAACUAUAUUUCCUCAGUUUAUACAGCUCGCGAUCGUUCGCUGUGAUUACACUUUCAUGUUAUCAAUUGCUGCGCCGUUGGGAUACGACUUGCCUUCGGUGCCUUAGGCCAUGGUUACGAGCCAUGGAUCCUAUUACCGUUGUGAGGGUCGCUAUCUGACGUGGUUAUGACUAACCACGUACUCGACUCGAGUAUACCCGGUACAGCCCAGCUGGGGGCCCACAAGGAAGCCUACUUCGACUCCAGGAGUCUACAUGCCAAAUCUUGCGACUCAAGGCAAGGAAGGUUAAUUAGAGUAUAUCUCCUCAUUGUAACCGACUUGGACUCUACCUGAGACCUAAGUUUCUGCAUAUAUAAAGGACCAGGAGGGGGAGCCAAGAGGACACCCCCAACUUAGAUACAAGUCACCUAGACGCACUCGACGACUCGGUGCCUAUAGACUCUGCGGCACCCCAUUGUAAUCGACUCAUCAAUACAGAUCCGACAAGCAGGACGUAGGGGUAUUAUGUCAUCGAGGGCCCUAAACCUGGGUAAAUCGUGUCCCCUGUGUCCUUGUUAGCCGACGAGUUAGCCAACACACACUCGAAAUCUUUCCUUGAUACAAGUCCAUCAAUAUGGACAUUGUCGAAGUCACGUCUUCGUCAUUCGCGCCAUCUAUGGGAAAGACGUGUGUUGGAAACACGAUCUCGGUGGUUUCAGAUCCAGAAGAACCAUCAUCGACUUAGGCGAAGUCGACAAUCCUCGAGUCUUCUGCCACUCGCCUCCAGUCCAACCCCGCAGUCUUGGACAAGCUUGAUGCCUGCCUGGACCUCAUAUUCGGCGAGUUUCACGUCCGAUCCGGUAUCCGCCGACUACCGUGUCUGACUCCCUCGACUCAGGAAGAAUUACUUCUCCUUUCUCAUUCAGAGAAAGACCCGCCGACAGGCUCGUCGGAGCCACUCAAGGAAACAAAGCCAGUCUCCUCUUGGACUUGCUCUGAUUUUAAAGACGAUCCAUCCUCACGUGCGGACAACCCCGUCCCUAGUGACGCUGGCGACCCCUCGGAACAAGAGAGUUGCCAUGACAACCUCACCUCGCCCGGUUCGCCCGACGAAACAGAGCAGGUUUCCCUAGGAACCUCCUCCGAUUCUGAGAGCAAUCCACCCUAGUCUGCAGAAAUCCCCGUCCCAGGCGACGCCGGCAACUGCUCAGAGAGGGAAGGCUGCCAUAGCAGCAGCGAUCUUGCGCCCGAGUGCGCCAUUGCUCAAGUCUCCUCCAGCCGCAAGUGCAUCCGCAAGUCUACCGGCUGGAUAUUCUACGGCAGAGAAAGCUCGAGUCCAGGUAGCUCUUGAGUCGGGAGUCCUCAUGAAGGAUCCCCCCACCGCUGAGUUGCAAUUAUAUGCGUGCCACUUGCUAGGGCCCAACGUGACCUGAACAAGGAGAAGGAGGAUUUUGUCAAGAAGCAAAAGCUUGAAGCGGAGAGGCUGAAGAAACAGGAUGAAGAUAUCCAGGCACACAAAAGAACUCGUCCGGGUUCACUCAGCGACUCUGAUGGAGCCACACCUCCCAGAGAUCUCCCCAGACAAAUCCUGGCUCCAAGCUUCAUGUCGGUUGACGACCACGACGAUAUGAUACCAGAAACCCCGGUUGCAGCCAAUACCUACCUACAAACAAUCCAGCCACCUGACAGUGACCCGCGCUCACGGCUUCACAAACAGAUUCUGGAAGGACUGAAUAGGGCAGGAGCUUCUUGUAAUCAGCAAAGAUUUCAACAACCGAAGGCAGCCGCGGGAUAGGACUCCAUCCCACCGUGAGGAGAAAUCCAGCACGACCUCGACCCGCCUCCACGAGGUUGCAGGGAGCGCGACUCGCACCCGAGGGAAACACAAGGGUCUCCCCGGGUCGCAAACCGCGAUCGGCGAGACAGGUAUCGUGACCGCUCGCCGAACUCCGAGCACGAGACUGAGACAUGCGGAGCGCCAUGCUUCAGCCGUCGCAUCCAUCAAUCUAGGAUGCCCGGAAAUUGCAAACCACCGACCGAUCUAGCCAAGUAUGAAGGCACACAAGAGCCCAAGACUUGGUUGGAAGAUUACCUCACCGGGAUUCACUGCCAAGGUGGUUCUCAUACUACCGCCAUGCAGUGCCUGCAGGUGCAACUCAAAGGCCCUGCACACACGUGGCUAACCGACUUACCACGAGACGACAUCGACUCGUGGGAGGAGCUCGUCCAAGCUUUCACCCGCAACUUCAGGUCCACGUACAAACGACCCGUCUCCCACGAACAACUCCGAGCCUGCAUUCAAAAAGAAGGAGAAUCUAUCCGUUCGUACAUCCAGCGCUGGACCAACACCAAACAUGCUUCUGAGGCGGUCUCCCAUGAAAGCGCCAUUGACGCCUUCAAACGAGGACUCUGACGAGUCGAACUCAAGGAAGAAUUGGGUUGUGUCCGGCCCACAACCAUCAGCUAUCUGAUUGAAAUCGCCAAUCGAUGGGCUGACGGUGAAGACUCAGUUCGCAAUGAACGCCACCGGUCUCCAAAAGAAGAGGGUGAUCGCGGUCACGAUCGAAGGAGGAAGCACAAAAACCGAGCUUUCGAAGAGUCACACCCACCUGAUUUCAUCGCAGCCGCCUCUCUGUCAGAUUUUGGCUCUCGGGAGAACGGAAAUCGCGGUGGAGGUUUUCGAGGUGGUGACAAGCGCAAACACCAAUGGCAGAGAAAAGGGAACCAACCCACCCUCUCCCAACUGCUAGCUUCCCCUUGCCCGUUCCUCGUCUACAGGGAUGAGCAAGGCAACAUCAAGCUAAGUAACCCCCUAGCCGAGUGCCGGCAUUUCAAGGAACUACAGGCUGAGUUUGCCAGGACACAGCAGUCGGCAACCAGCGCUGGCUUCUCACAAUUACCUGGGAUGCUUCCAUACCCUAACAAAGGAGUCAAUGCACCCUUGCCGCCUCUCAUACCAGGAGCUCUAGCCAUCGGUGCUCCUCCUCCUCCGUGCCCAGCCAGUUUCACCGGUGCAGUGCACCCAGUUGCACUUGUACCGCCACUAGAAGCGCCGACUCCGGUCGCCAGUUCAUAUCCGACUCCGGUCGGUCACAUCUGCAUGAUCCAAAAAGGGAAACCCACAAAUCGGGUCCAAAAGUCCAUAACUCGGCAGGUCCAUAUGGCCGUAAGGUCACCUCCCUCUUCAACGGAGUACCUCGACUGGUCUGAAGUGGAGAUCACGUUCUCCAGAGAAGAUCACCCACCCUGCAUCCCGCAACCGGGAAACGCAACACUGGUGCUCGACGCAUAGAUCGGGGGGUACAUGCUAAACAAAGUGUUCAUCGACGCUGGAUGUGGGCUAAACAUCAUCUACGCCGACACCCUACGAAAGGUGAACCGCUCAACAACAAAGCUGGCUCCCACAAAGACAACCUUCCAUGGGAUCAUCCCAGGAGAAGCAGCCACUCUACUGGGCAAAGUUAGCCUUGACGUGGUGUUAAGCACACCCGACAACUUCAGACGCGAAAAACUCGACAUCGAAGUGGUCGACUGGCCAUCCCAGUACCACGUGGUCGUGAGUCGUGUCGCGCUAGCAUGCUUUAUGGCAGUCCCGCAUUACGCUUACCUUAAGCUCAAAAUGCCUGGACCCAAUGUCGUGAUAACUAUUUCUGGAAGCUUCCUGCGGUCCGAUCACUGUGACCGUGAAUUCCAUAAAAUUUCCGAGUCACUUGCCAUGCAGGACCAGGCUGGCCAGGCCUACUUCUUAACAUACGACGACCAAAAUUCCGUCCUUAAGAAAAGAGCCAUUGAGGCCCCAGGCGGUGUAAACUUGAAGACAGAGGAAGCACAGGCCUUUUCAUCAAAGGUGGCCAACGCUGGCUCAGCCAGCAGCCCUAUCAACUAAGUGAUACUGGCUCGCUGGGCUCCCCCAAUUGCAACAACGGGAGCCCCCUCUAGCAGGCGCACUAAAACAACGAGCACAUCAAGCCGGCUUCGCAGCCCGUGCAGUGUAACUCAGAAGACGCUUGCCGAAGAGUGAGACAGUUCAAACACAUACCUGCGAGCUCAUCCACGCCUCGACAUGGCUGUUCAGCCAACUCGACUGCGGGAUAUGAGAAUCAAAAACCUCCCCCUCAGACUCCAAUCCAGAGCCGGGGACUCAAGAAGCAACGCGCUGAACACCCCGCAAUUGCGCCGCCAACGCGCCAGGCUUUUUUGCUUGAUUUCUUCUUAGUUUCUCAUCUAUUUGUCCUCUUUUCUCUGCAUCUUUAAGUACCUUCUUGUACAACGGUACGUAAUAAAAAAUAUUUAUGUUCCUCUACUCAGAGUCUUUUCCUUUUACUUACUUUGUGCGGUCGCAUCACACUCAGAACUGAGAGAUCGAUCCCAAAACUUGUCAUUGGACACACCCGACAUUCGGGGGCUGCAUCCAAUCGACCACAAACUUGUCAUUGGACACACCCGACACUCGGGGGCUGCGUCCAAUCGACCACAAACUUGUAAUUGCACACACCCGACACUCGGGGGCUGCGUCCAAUCGACCGCAAAACUUGUCAUUGGACGCACCCGACACUCGGGGGCUGCGUCCAAUCGACCGCAAAACUUGUCAUUGGACGCACCCGACACUCGGGGGCUGCGUCCAAUGCACCGCAAAACUUGUCAUUGGACGCACCCGACACCCGCGGGCUGCGUCCAAUCGACCGCAAAACUUGUCAUUGGACACACCCGACACCCGGGGGCUGGGUCCAAUCGACCGCAAAAUUUGUCAUGUGAUGCACCCAACACUCGGGGGCUGCGUCCAAUCCACCGCAAAACUUGUCAUGGGACGCACACGACACUGGGGGGCUGCGUCCCAUCGACCGCAAAACUUGUCAUCGGACGCACCUGACACUCGAGGGCUACGUCCCAUCGACCGCAAAACUUGUCAUUGGACGCACCCGACACUCGGGAGCUGGGUCCAAUCGACCACAAGCUUGUCAUUAGACGCACCCGACACUCGAGGACUGCGUUCAAUUGACCCUAAAACCUCUCGUUGUAUGCACCCGACAUUUACGGGUAUCGCGUAACAAGCAUCAGCAAAAUCAUUCAACGGUCGGCGGCUUCCAAUUACUCAAAAUUUGGAUCAAGAUGUUUUCUCAUACAAAAUCAAAGAAGUUACAAAACAAGAAGGUGCGACCUCUUCAAAGAUGCUAACAGCUUUCAGCUACAAAAGAUUUCAAAGUAUUUGGGUCUUCACAUGACUGCAAACCAGUCAUGCACAAACCCGGGGGCUACUCCCACCAGGAGCGCUGGUCGUGCACCCGGUUAAAAUACCACUCAAGCAACUACACCUACAUCCUUAACGAAUAUCAAAGUCUACUCUACCCCAAGGCCAUAAGAGUCACCAGCUGACGUGCCGUGUUCUCCAUCAUGUCAUAAACCGGUCCAAGCUAAGCAUCGUCUAGAACAUAGGAGGGAGUCAAAUGCAGGGAGUCCAGAUUCAAUGAGGGGUAACGAAGACGAACAAAUGAGAGGGCUACAACAGCCCCCUCCACCAAUUGUUCAUAAGUAGCCCCCCUCACCACGGCUCCUUCGCAAAAUCUCUCGAUCAACCCCUUCAGGUGAACAGGAACAGGAAGCUCUGGAAACAAGUUAUGUGCACCUCAGUCAAACAAUGGCUGCAGGACUUCAGGCAAACCACAGCUCUUGCAACUCGAUCAUGCAGCAGUGCAAGGGCAUAACCCUUGUCGUGGUUUGACAAGAAGGAUGGGGUCUCUGAACCAGAUCGUGCUAAAGCAUCAAGACGACUUUUUAUGCGUUCAGCUUCAACGUAUGGUUCUGGCAUCAUAUUUGCAAAAUAUGGCGCGUCCAAGUCAGUCGAAAUUCAGUUAACUCAACAAUAUCAAGCAGAGGACUCAGCCGUUACCUCGCAAAUCUGAACUCAGCUUCACGAUUUCCCCAAGAAGGAAAUCUUCUCGGCCCGACGCGGCCUGAUUCUCCGACUUAAGCAAGGAGAUCUCCUCCCGUGCUUGUGCAAGUUGGUAUUCAACAUGUCCCAAACGGAUAUGCAUAACCUCGAGUGUAUCGGAGGAAUCCAUCUCUUCUAGCGAGACCUAAGUGCUAAUCAGCAGGACGAAUCCCUUGCGCUGGUUAGUACGUUCGAGUCCGCACUCGGUUAUUUAUAUCCGACCGCGAGGCGCUCCCACCGGGAGUACUCGAAGUCUGACUUAAAUUCGACUUCGACAAGUCGGAAUUCGACUCGGUGCUGAUUGGCGAGUCAUAGCGUUUCAUUUCCAAAAAAAGAAGGGGAGCAACUUUGUCAAGAAAUUCAAGGAUAUCAAAUUACAACCUUGAGUCCAGUCGCCACUACACACAGUCGCAACCGAACUCGGGGGCUACUCCCACCGGGAGCGCUGACCGCGCAACCGGUAGAAUAUUCUUUACAAAAAAGAAAAACUACAUGACUAUCUAAUACGAGGCGUGGUCUCCUCCGGGCUUCUUCCCAUUGCCGGAUCAUCUGCAGCGCUGCCGCCUGCCCAGCCUCCAGGAACAACCUUAUACCCUGGGUGAGAGUAGCUGGUAGUGUAGCAACUUGCCAGAAAUCCAACUCUGGGCAGUUGACUCGCACAAAUGCGAGGGCAAUCUGGGCACCCUUCACUAGCUGGAGUCGAACCAAUCCCUUCAUCUUCUCCUCGCCGUGAAACUUCACCAUCAGGCUGCCUAGUUUACGAGGCACCUUCUCCCAUGGCCAUGAGGCCCGGUGAGUCGAAGCUAGCAUGUCAUGGCAAGAGGUGAAGUAUCUUUUGACCUGCUUGAUCCGCUCGAUCAACAGCAUCAAGUCGUAGCUCCUCGACUGAUCCAGCCAAAAGGGUGAUGGGUCAUGCAAUCGGCGAGCUUGAAUGGCAGCAUUCACUCUGGCCUUUUCAUCAUCAGGGUCGAAGUGAACAGCUGCACAGAAGACGGCAAGAUUACUUUGCAAACCGACACGAAAGGCAAAGUCUUGCGAUCCUUUACCUUGGAUUUGACCGCUCAGGUUACAAAGCUCUCCAAAGACAAACUCUUCCCGGUUGGUCGCAGCUUUCAGGCUAGACUUGCUACUUUGAGCGUCACCCAGCGUGUCAUGCUUCAGCUUAGCGAGCCGAGCCUCAACUUCUCGUAACUGCUCUGGGGACAGAGUAGUCCCAGCCUGACCCUUUUCGCUAGGAUCGGCUGAAGCAUCGUUGUGAGAGGCUGCCUCUGCAGCUGGAACCUAAUGACUUGACUGUCCUUUUUCCCUCUGCGCAAAAAAGACUCAAGUUACUUCAUCGUUUAUCCUAAAGAACCCCUUCAGAGGUGGAAAUAAAGAUCCUGGAUUCCUUUCCAAAAAAGGCUCAGCUAGAGCAGUUCUUUACAAAGCUAAAAGAACAGAAGAAGAAGAUUCACGUAGGAAAAAGAGAGUCAAAUAUAUCUAGUGAAAGAUCGCCCACCUCUGGGCCGCCGGAUCAUCUCCUUGAUUGAUCUAUGAGGUUGCCGCAACGAGAUCUCAGCCAGCUCUUUGCCUUUUCCCAUAAGGGGCCCUAGGCUGACCGUGUCACCUGCUCUCGAUCGAGUCGAUUGAGAGGCCACUCGACAGAGGGUGUCUUCCUCAACGCCAUGCACAAGAGCAAGCGUGAAGAAUAAUUCAGCGUCGUUCGUUGACCGAUGCUGGCAGUACUCCUCUACUGGGUCUUGACUUGUAGCAAAGAAUUCGAUGAGGCCAUUCAGCGACUCCGGCACUGACCCAUCAGGAGACAUCUUCCUGAUUACGGUGGUCAGAAUCUUCGUCACUUGCCGGAGCAUGCCCUUGGCUUCAACGUUGAUGACUUCGACGUUUUCUAGAGCCUCAUUGAAGCUCCGGCUUCUCUCAUUGAAUUGAACCUCAGCAGAGGCAUCAAGGACUCCUACAAAUGGACAGAGCAACGGUCAAAUUUUACACGAGAAGGUAAAGCCACUUGGGUGACAGAUUCAAACGCUCACCAGCAACACAGCGAGUAGCACUUUCGAGCCGCUCGAUCCAAAUCUUUUCCCAUUCUUUCUCCGCGGAAGUACGGGAGUCUAUACGUUGCUGGAGACGACUCUUUUCGACGGCUGCUUCUUGCAGCUCUUGGCGACACUGAUCCAGCUCUGCUCGAAGUCGCUCCCGCUCUGCCUUCGUCUCCUCAAAGUCUUCAAUAAGAGUUGUCAUGGAGCGGAUGAUUGGCUAAAAACAAAUAGCAGUCUCAAGUCAUUUCUUGAGCAUCACUCCCACCGGGAGGCAAAAUAAUAGCAAAGACAAAUUUGCUCACGUGUUGACUCGACGCAGGAGACAUCGCCUGAGGGAUGCUGGACUCAUCUGGUCGACUCGUUCUGCUCGUUUCAGAAGGAUUGGCCGCUGAGGCUCCUUCGGUGUGAGCUGCCUUUUCUUUAGUCGGCUGGUCCGACCCUUUCGAGUCCUGACCAGUUGAUUGAGUCUCGGGAGCCUUUUUGCCCUUGACGAGCCACCAGUAUGGCUAAGCAAGAAAUUUUAAGAGGUUUAGAUAAAAUCUCUAGAAUGCUGAAAUAAGAUUGCCAAAAUAUUCACGUGGCACGGUUAAAUCGAGCCAAAAGGCCAAAGCGACGUGCCACGAUUGGCCCGUCAGACUUCGUCCUCUGGAACGCGGGUACAGACACCGAUGACUUGACAUUUGGGUCCCUCGAGCCUGUUGGUUGGGUCUGUACCGGCGGGUCAUUAUCCUCUCUGCCGCGCUUCUUUGCCGGUGGAGAAGCGCUGCUCGGCUCAUUAUCGGGUCCCUGGAAUCAAAGCCACAAUUAGCAAUAAUUCAUGUCAAAAACGACAGGGUUUGUCAGAUGCUUCGAUGAUCACCUUUUCCCGGGGCCUGUCGGGUCCAUAGGGAGCCACUGGAGGGUCAAUCUCGCAUGGCUCUGACUCGCCCAAGUCAGUAAGCCGCCGAACUCGUCGACACACUUCAGUCGAACAAAAUUCCACAGUACUAAUCCGGGUCGGGUCACGAAACCCCCGAUAUGCCCACAUGGGGUGAGCACGAGCCUGCAGAGGCUGAAUUCUUCUCUGGAUAAAAGCGGCGAUGAGGUGAAUUCUAGUCACCUUCAGCUGAGGAGUCUCCAUGAUAGACAUGACUCGGGCCAACAGAAUCUCGGUCUCUUCGCCCUCUGUUCCUCCCAACUUAUGACUCCAGGCCGUUGUCUUCUUCACCGAUGCGGUCGCGGAGAAUUUGGGAAGACUGAAGCUGCGCCCUUCGGCCGGCACAUCCAUGACAUAGAACCACCUCGAUUUCCAUCGAGAAGAUGAUUCCCUCUCUCGGAGGUUGAAGAAUUUGGCAUCCGCCUGAGUUUGAAUAUCCACACAUCUAAUCGCGUCCUUGCCCUGGCGCUUGAUUGUAAACAUUCUCUUCCAGAGACCCAUAUGGGGAUUUAUUCCAAGGAAGCAUUCAAACAGUGUCACGAAGCACGCGAUGUGGAGGUAGGAGUUUGGAGAAAGAUUAUGACGUUGGAGCCCGUAGGCCAAAAGCAAGCUACGAAGGAAAUGGUGGACUGGGAAUGCUAAACCACGAGUGAUGAAAUCAUAAUGCACCACUCGCUCUACGUGCAUGGGGCGAGGGAUUACCUCCUCGCUGGGAAAACGCACAUGCCCCGGCCACGGGGACAACAACCCUUCCUCUUGCAUGCCGGCCACCCUCUCGCGAUCCAUGGAGGACAGCGGCCACGCUUCCGCGCUUUUCUUGUUCUUCCCCAUCUCGCUGGGUCGAAGGACGUGAUUAACAAGAAACACAAAGGGUUUUUGGCUAUGGAAGCUAAAGUCUUGGGCGCCUGAGCUCUGGGUGCGAGGAGGAAGAAGGGUUAAAACUAAUUUACCCCACCUCCAUUUUUAUCCUUACCUUGGCAAAAAAUCUGGGACGCACAUUCUCGAUGAUAGCCACAUGUUCCGCAUCAACCGGAAUACGAAACGACAAGGGUGAAAGUAACUGCUUACUUCAUGGGCGCAAGAACCAAUGAGAGCAUCAUUGUGUCUUGUUUACUGCGCGAAGUGUGAUCGCUUCUCCACUGACGCACGCCUACAGUGUGCCUAGCUGUCAGGCUAGGCUGUACGUUCAGUCACAUCGGCUGACCAAAACGGCUCUUCACCUCCAGCGGGUAUGUCAUCAAUGACGAAGUCUUACUCGAAUAUCAUGACUUGAAAUUAUCUUUUAUAUAGGAUAACGGACUUUAUCUUAAAGGUUGAGACUCAUCUCGAGUCCGAUCAUGAAUACUAUGACUCUCAUUCAAGUCGCUAACUGACCGACUGUUGGUUUAUAUUUGUUAAAGACUUCAUACAGUCAGCUAUUGUUCAUUCUUUACUGACAACAGUAAAAACAGGGCAAUGACCCUGACACAAGACAAUCGAUUUUAUAUAGUCGACUCAAGUGAGUCGCACCAGCUGCGACACCUCAGUUGUUUAUGCUCAUUCGCAUAACAGUAAGCCUCUUGGAUUUCGUCCAAAGAGCCUGGAGCCGCACCAGCUGCGCUGCUCUAGUAAACCCCAUGCUCAUUGCAUGAAGAUAAGCCUCAUGGGUCAUUGCCUCGAGCCUGAAAUCGUACCAGCUGCGUAUUUCAGUAAAUCCAUGCUCAUUGCAUGAAGAUAAGACCUGAAAGUUCUCUUACGGGCCUGGAGUCGUACCAGCUACGUUAUUUCUAGUAAAAUCCAUACUCAUUGUAUGAAGGUAAGUCCUAAAAAUUUAGGUCUGGAUAUGCAUCGACUGCAUCUGAUAGCCUCGAGGGUGUCCCGAUCUUUCGAUGAGAUACCUAAUUAUCGAUUUGGUAGGAGGUGACGUUGACGAUCCGACUACAACCUAGGAGGCAGCGCCUUAGCGAUCGAUACACCAACUCCAGAAGGUUAUUGAUCCCGCGGGGGCACGAUCAACCUGACCACGAAGGUCUUUGUUCCUGCAAGCAAUCGAAGAACAAGCAAGAACAAGAUGAAAAGCAAUCUGAACUUGCGAAUAGGAGAUAUGAAGGUUCACGAAUCUGAAUACUCAAUAUAGUUGGAGUCUUGAUGACGGUAAAACAGGUGGUCUAACCGACACACGCGAUUACACGAAAGUAGCAAAGGCUAAACUUUAUCUAAUCAAAACCCCAGGCUCCAUUGGGGGGCUCAUGGGGUAUAAAUAGGAGGGGAACUAGGUGGUUUUCGGACAGGCCCUUGAGGGACUCCGAAACGGCCUAGGAAUCCUCCUAAAACACAACGAAAACAUCUAAAAAUUGGCUGGACCCUAUUACAUGGCCUUAGGCCCAAUAAAGCAAGGUUAUAACCCUCAUCUUUGGCCCAUAGAUACCCAUUGGAGGGAGAAUCCUCCACUUGGCCGAAAUCCCAUUGAUGAAGAGGAUGAGGCCUUCUUCUCAUCUCUCGUUAUGGCGGUUUCAAUGUUCUGAAAUCAUCACUUGAGCUAGCUCCCGCCACCUUGCUGCCACCUCCAUGGUUUGCUGUCCAACGUUGAUCCUUGAGGUUCAAGCUAGGUCCUUCAUUCCUAAAACACAUAAAAGAACCCAUCUUAGGCAGCAGCAUAUUCUCAUUAAUAUUAAAUGAAGUACCGAGGAACGAAAGUACCUGAUAAUUUAGUUGUCGUGCACGAGCUCUAGUAAUUGGUCCAUGUAUCUCCGGUACUUGAGGUGUAUGUGCUGUAGGGGCUGUGGUUGUAUCAUUAGUUGGGAUGUCCUCAUCAUCCUCCCCUUCUUGAAUCGAAGUCGUCCUCGACGGUAGUUCAUCUUCUCCCAAAUAAGGCUUCAAAUCUGCAAUAUUAAACGUGGGACUAACCCCAAAAUCUGCAGGUAGCUCAAGUUUAUAUGCAUUAUCAUUAAUUUUUGCUAACACCUUAAAGGGACCAUCAGCUCGUGGCAUUAACUUAGACUUGCGCAAAUCAGGGAAACGAUCUUUGCGCAAAUGCAACCAAACAAGAUCUCCAGGUUCAAACACAAUUUGUUUUCUGCCCCUAUCUCCCGCAAGUUUAUACUUAGAAUUCAUGCGCUCAAUGUUCUCUUUAGUCGUCUCAUGCAUUUUUAUUAUAAGUUCAGCAAGUUCCUUAGCAUCAAAGUUAACUUUUUCAGAAGUUGGCAAAGGUAACAAAUCAAUUGGUGCACGAGGCAUAAAACCAUAAACAAUUUCAAAAGGGCACAAUUUUGUGGUUGAAUGCAGUGAACGAUUAUAAGCAAAUUCAAUAUGAGGUAAACAUUCUUCCCACAUUUUCAAGUUCUUCUUUAAAACAGCCCUAAGCAUAGUAGAUAAUGUUCUAUUAACAACUUCAGUUUGUCCAUCUGUUUGGGGAUGACAUGUAGUACUAAAAAGCAGUUUAGUCCCCAACUUAGCCCAUAAACAUCUCCAAAAGUGGCUAAGAAAUUUUGUGUCACGAUCUGAAACUAUAGUAUUGGGCACACCAUGCAAGAGAACAAUUUCACGAAAGAAUAAAUCAGCAACAUUUGUAGCAUCAUCGCUCUUAUGACAAGGUAUAAAAUGUGCCAUCUUAGAAAAUCUAUCAACAACAACAAAUAUGCUAUCCCUCCCCUUCUUAGUUCGAGGCAAUCCCAAAACAAAAUCCAUUGAUAUAUCUUCCCAAGGAACAUUAGGAACAGGGAGAGGCAUAUAUAAACCAUGAGGAUUGAAUCGUGACAUAGCUUUUUGACAUGUAGUGCAGCGAGCGAUAAAUCUCUCAACAUCCCGUCUCAUCCGAGGCCAAAAGAAAUGAUCAGCGAGCACAUCUUCGGUCUUCUUCACGCCGAAGUGACCCAUCAACCCUCCUCCAUGUGCCUCCUGUAACAACUAAAGACGAACGGAGCUAUCUGGGAUGCAUAACUUGUUAGCACGGAACACAAAUCCAUCAUUAAUGACGAACUUGUUCCAUGUUCUGCCCUCUUUACAAUGCUGCAAAACAUCCUUAAAAUCUGCAUCAUGUUCAUAUUGUUCUUUUAUAGUCUCCAAUCCAAAUAUCCGAAAAUCAAGCUGAGAUAACAAGGUAUAACAACGUGAUAACGCAUCAGCAAUAACAUUAUCUUUACCCUUCUUAUGUUUAAUAACAUACGGAAAAGACUCAAUAAAUUCAACCCAUUUAGCAUGACGACGGUUCAGCUUUGCUUGACUACGAAUAUGCUUCAAAGAUUCAUGAUCAGAAUGUAUAACAAAUUCUUUGGGCCAUAAAUAAUGUUGCCAUGUUUCUAAAGUCCGAACGAGAGCAUAUAAUUCCUCAUCAUAAGUAGAAUAAUUCAGACUAGGCCCACUCAAUUUUUCACUAAAGUAUGCAACAGGUUUUCCAUCUUGUAACAACACAUCUCCUAAACCCAUUCCACUAGCAUCACACUCCGACUCAAAAGUCUUAUUAAAAUCAGGAAGUUGGAGUAAAGGAGCAUGUGUCAACUUAUCUUUCAAUAGGAGAAAAGCUUCUUCUUGUGCAGCGCCCCAUACAUAUGGAACGUCCUUCUUUGUAAGCUCAUUAAGCGGUGCAGCAAGGGUGCUGAAAUCCUUUACAAAGCGGCGAUAAAACCCAGCGAGUCCAAGAAAGCUCCUCACUUGGGUGACUGUUGUUGGAGUUGGCCAGCUUUGAAUUGCGUCGAUCUUGGCCUUAUCAACUUCUAUGCCCUGUGGAGUGACAACAUAGCCAAGAAACGAAACUCGAUCGGUGCAAAAGGUGCACUUCUCAAGGUUACCAAACAAACGUGCAUCUCUCAAAGCAUCAAAAACAGCACGUAAAUGAUUCAAGUGGUCUUCUAAAGAGCUGAUGUAAAUCAAUAUAUCAUCAAAAUAAACCACCACAAAGCGUCCUAUGAAAGCACGUAAAACUUAGUUCAUUAACCGCAUGAAAGUGCUAGGUGCGUUAGUAAGACCGAAAGGCAUGACUAACCACUCAUAUAGUCCAAACUUAGUUUUAAAUGCUGUUUUCCAUUCAUCGCCUAAUUUCAUUCGAAUUUGGUGGUAACCACUACGUAAAUCAACUUUAGAGAACACGGUAGAGCCACUUAAUUCAUCUAACAUAUCAUCAAGUCUAGGAAUUGGGUGACGAUAGCGAAUAGUAAUGUUAUUAAUAGCUCUACAAUCUACACACAUACGCCAAGAACCAUCUUUCUUUGGUACCAAAAUAACAGGAACAACACAAGGACUAAGGGAUUCACGAAUAUAACCUUUGUCGAGCAAUUCUUGAACUUGUCGUUGAAUCUCCUUCGUCUCCUCUGGAUUGGUACGGUAGGGCGCACGGUUGGGCAGCGAAGCACCAGGAAUUAAAUCAAUUUGAUGUUCAAUCCCUCGAAUAGGUGGUAAUCCUGGUGGUACGUCUUGUGGAAAGAUGUCGGAAUACUCCUGCAAAACGUGAGUAACAGCAGGGGGCAAAGAGGGAGGCAUAUCCUCAAAUGAAAACAAAGCCUCUUUGCAAAUGAAUGCAUAGCAAACAGAAUUAUUCGUAUCUAACUCAGAGAUAUCGGAUUUACUUGCAAGCAAGCAUGCACCUUUCAAUUUAAUUUCAUUAACAUGUUUCGGUUCAGAUUUGCUAGUAGACGCUUGGUGCUUAAAUUCUUUAGCGACAUUAUGGUUCUCACUCUUAUCCUUCUCUUUGCUCUUUGCUCUACUAGCUCUAGCAAGAUCAUCUUUCACAAUUUGUUCAGGAGUCAUAGGUUUCAAACCAAUUUUCUUACCAGCAUGCAUAAAAGAAUAAUGAUUAGUUCUACCAUGAUGAACAGAAUCUGUAUCAUAUUGCCAUGGACGACCGAGUAACAUAGAACAUGCUUGCAUAGGUACCACAUCACAAUCCACAAAAUCAGAAUAUGUACCAAUAGUAAAGUGUGCACGGACUGUUCUAGUUACCUUGAGCUUACCGCUUUUGUUAAACCAUUGAAUGUAGUAAGGGUGGGGGUGCGGCCUGGUGGUAAGAACAAGUUUUUCCACCAUCUCCGUGCUGGCCAAAUUAUUGCAACUUCCCCCAUCUAUGAUGAUACGAACAGCGCGCUCCUUGAUGACCCCUUUUGUUUGGAACAAGUUAUGCCGCUGAUUUUGUUCGGUGUGGCUCAUUUGGACGCUCAAGGUGCGUUGUGCAAUCAAACUCAAGUACUGAUCAGCGGCUUCAGCUCCCAUUAACUCCUCGUCAUGGUGGGCAGCGGGGUCUUCUUGCUCUUCCUCGACAAUGAGAGCAUAGGUAGCUUCGUCAAAAUCACUGGCUGAAUCAUAUACUCCGUCUUCACGUAUGAUCAUAACGCGUUUGGUUGGACAGUCCCGCUGAAAAUGCCCGUAUCCUUUGCACCUACGACAUUGGUUAUCUCCGGUCCGUCCGGUGGAAGCAACGGACGCUGCUGAACUUUGUGCAGAGGCAGCGGGUGUAUUUCUUGUUGCUGCUGGUCCAACCUUUGCGGAUGUAGGUGUAGAGGUACUUUGCUUGUUGGUGGAAGUAGUCGGAACAGCCGGACGUGUAGGGGGUGCAGCUGGGCGUGUGGAAGGGGCAGCGGGGCUGCGUGCUGCCCAUGAGGAAGUACGACCUGCAGAAAAGUUAGUCCGCGCGUUCGCGUGUCGUCCCUGCACUUCCCUUUCAGCUUUGCAAGCAAUGUGAAACAAUCGAUUGAUAGAAUUAUACUCCUUAUAAUCAACAAUGUCAGCAAUUUCACGAUUUAAACCACCAAAGAAUCUAGCCAUAGCAGCUUCCUCAUUCUCAACUAAACCACAACGUAACAUGUUCUUUUGCAUUUCUUGAUAAUAAUCUUGGACAGAAUUACUACCUUGCCUUAAUUGUUGUAGUUUCUUUAACAAGUCACGCGAAUAGUAUGAAGGAACAUAUCUAGCGCGCAUAAUUCUUUUCAAAUCAUCCCAUGUUGGUGGUAUAGCGUUAGGAUGUGCAAUACAAUACUCAUGCCACCAAACAGAAGCAAAAUCAGUAAACUCACUAGUAGCAGCCCUAACCCUCUUAUUAGCAGGAAAAUCAUGGCAAGUAAAUUUUUGACUCAAUUCUAAUUCCCAUGUAAGGUAAGCAUCAGGGUCAUAUUUUCCAUCAAAAGGAGGAACCUUAAGUUUAAUAGAAUGCAGCGAGUCAUGUUCCUCUCUGUGAGGUCGUGUCGGUCCCAUACCUCGACGGUUGAAACGAGUUCGGCGAUGAUCACGGUCGUUGUGAUGGUUUACGGCCCCGUCGUGUUCCGUAUCCGCGGAGUAGUCGUCGUCGUUCUCCUCAACCUCGCUUGCAAAGGUACCGUUAUUAGCGGUCCGCUGGUUGUGUGUAUUGUUUCCUCCCGGUGUAGCGAUGGUCGUUGCAGCAAUUGCCGCCAGUUGCGUCGUGAUUUCUGCCAGAGAAGUACUAAUGGUAGCAACAGAAUUCUGUAAAGAUGUUAGCUUGGUAUUUGUUUCAAUGUGCGCGCUCUCCAAGGUUCCAAGUCUCUCAUUCGCAACCCGAACGUCCUCAUCCAGCUCCUCGUUACGGAGCCUAAGCUUGCGAUCAAAAUGUGAAAUAAUGCCCUUUGUGCGUGGAGAGUGGCCUUGUGAAUCAUCGUCAGAACCUGCCAUCGUUAGGAGAAAACAAGAAACAAAUCACAAGAAAAAGUCCCUAUGCACUACUAGGAUGUGGGGUUCCAAAGAUCACUCCACUCAACUUUUAAUCAAGUUCUUACUCGUUCUUACCCAGCAAAUAGGAAGGUGAUGGCCAGCGGCGAGAACAAGCCCUCCGAAGAUUAGUGUAUCGAUGCCUCGAGGCAAACCAACCUAGGAGUAGAAUCUGUGGAGCUUGGAGGCUUAUGUGAGUAGCAAGGAAAAGCGAAUAAUCAAAUCAGCAAUGCAAAGUUGAAAAUAUGCUCAAAAAUGCUAGUCCUAGUUGCUGGAGUCGACAAGAACGAAUUACAGAAAUUAACUAAGCCUAGAUACUGAAAAGGGUAGAAAGGAAAGAUCAAAUGAAAGGUAAAACAAGUAAAUCUCUGGGGAAUAUUUUUUUUCUCUUUUUUUUUGGCCUUCUGUUUGGCGUCUUAUUCUUUUCUAUUUUUUUUUCUUUUUUUUUUAUCCCCAGAAACUCACGCAAAAUAAGUUAAGACCGGAAAGCUGCACGUCGGUCUGUAGGAGAAUAGCAAAGGCUGUAGUAAGGAAAACUCAGAAAAAUAUGAGAAAAUAUGGGUUAGAAGCGUAUCAAAACAAGCUUUCCAACAAGUGCAAGAUCACUCGAAACGGAGGUCGGACGGUGGAGAAAACUGAGAUAUACUGCGCUGCCCCGGUGCCGUAAAACGGGUGCAGAAACUUUGGAGCUCGAAAAGUCCACCUUAGAGGCCGAAUUUUAGGGUCAAAGUGCAGGGAAACACCCUGGAUAUUUCCUGAUGCGCUUCGUCGUGAGCUUUCCAAAAAGUCCAAGAACGUCCAAAUCCGAGUUGGUAUGCAAAAGAUACGUCCGUUUUACUGAACACGGGUCAAACCCACCCGAAACUAAAAUUCUACUCGGAUUCGGGUCCGAAACUGACUCGAACUCUUUCUCUUUUUUUUUUUCGUUUUUUUUUCUUUCUUUCUUCCUUUUUUUUUUCUUUCCCUUCUUUUUUUUCACAACUUUCCGAACAACUUGAUCUCUAAAUAAAAUUCGAUCUAUUAUGAAACACUUUCCAAAAGCACUCUUGAUUGGACUCGGACUCGAACUCGCGGCUGAAAACUAUAACUUCCCGACUCGAUGUAGGACUUGAAGAGGGACUCGGUGUAGGACUCGAAGAGGGACUCGGUGGAAGAUAUGGUGGCGGCGGAAGAUUAUGGCGGUGGUGUGGCAGGAAGUUUGGCGGCGGAAGAUUGAUGAAGGAAACCUGCGUCACACGAAGAACAAAAAAACCAAAAGCAAGUUCGAUCUAGUAGAAAAAAUCUGAAAAACGAUCCAAUCUAAUCCAGCAACUCGACACGAUUAAUGCAGCAAAGAUUCAACAAUGCAAAUACUAAUGUGAAAAUUGCAAGGCUCAGAUUGGUUCUAGGACAAGGUAACUAAUUCUAAUUUUUGUUUGGCUUUUUCUGGACGAUAGGUAAAAACAGAUCUAAACUAUGGAUAAACUGGAAAAAUCUCACCGAGCAACCUUAAGCUCUGAUACCACGUGAUAGCCUCGAGGGUGUCCCGAUCUUUCGAUGAGAUACCUAAUUAUCGAUUUGGUAGGAGGUGACGUUGACGAUCCGACUACAACCUAGGAGGCAGCGCCUUAGCGAUCGAUACACCAACUCCAGAAGGUUAUUGAUCCCGCGGGGGCACGAUCAACCUGACCACGAAGGUCUUUGUUCCUGCA